AAAGUAAUGGUAUUUUCUUAAUAUAUCCUUCAUGAGGAAAAUGGCAUCUUUCCCAUGUGAGCGAGGAAGUCAUCCAUUGAUAAAAUUCAUGGUUGUCAUGUAAUAUUGCAGCCUAGAGAGAAAAAUGUACAACUCAAGACCAGGGAACCCUUGUACUGUAGUUGAUUUUGCAAUAUCGCCAAGAAUACCCCCAUUUGGCAUUUGGCAUUUGGGUCAACAAUAUUAAGUCUUUGUAUUAGUUAUUGUAGUUAAGGGUCUUGCUGCUAUUUUUCCUUGGAAGUAUAUCAAGCCAAUUAAUAGUAGACAAGGAUAGGGUCAUGACUUUCAAUAUUGAACAUACUCUAUAACGGACAAAGCCAGAGAGAAAUAAGAGAAUUGUAUGAGGGUUUAAAUGUUUAUUAAAGAUAUUUGGUGGUAGAAAUUAUCCUUUUAUUCUCACAAUCACUUGAAGUUGGAGCAUGUGACACGGCAUGGAUCGAUGUGUUAGGCAUGGCCCCCACGUGCCUUCGAUGGGAGAUAUCCCUUCCAUACCUUCUCAGGUUAUAAAUGAGGAAAAAUGUCUCUUCCCAUAUGCUUUUCUGUAUCUCAAAUAUAUCAAUUCUAGAAGGAUUGAAACUCAACCAAGCCUUUCAAAUAGGUGAUCAUCCAAUGAACCAGAUUUAAGGCCAUUAGUCCACCCAGUACUUGUUCCUGCAAUGAUAUCCCACAAUGAUGUCUUCAAAGUUGGCCAUAUCCCACUACUUGAUCUAGACUCUCAGAUUUAUUGUGCUGUGAUAUUAGAUCAUAGGGGAGCUAGCUAAUCAAAUUUGAAUCCUUUUCCAUAUCCUAAUUUUUUUGUCAAUUCCUUUGUAUUGACUUUUAAUUAAUAGGGUUAAUUUAUAGUCCCGAUUUCCUUGAACAAUGAAUGUUAAUGAAAAUUAUUACCUACAUAUACAACAAAUAAUCAUAUUUCUUAUAAUACUACUAUGUCCCUUUUUUCAUAAGAUCAGCAGGAUAACCCUGGAAAUUAAGACAAAGAAAACAAGGAGCCGACAUGCUUUGAAGUACUACUAUGAAUUUAUUAUACUUGGAAAUUAAGCAUCUCUCUUGAGUAUUUUUGAGUACAGAAGGAGAAUAAAACAAGAUCUUACUGAAAAACUACCUCAAUUAUAUCUUCCUUGGUCAGCUAAAAGCACAAAGUUGAUCUUAUUUGCACUGACCCAUGGUAUAUAUGCUGAUCAGCUUAUUACAUAUAUGUAGUACUUGCUUAGAGGUCGUUUCAUAAUGUUUAAUAAGGCCGUUGUCCCACAUAGUUGCCCGGUGGAUCGUAGUUGCAUGUGACGAACCACCACCCAUUGUUGCACUGAACCCUGGCGCACCCAAGGCGAACUGAGUUGCUCCAAACAACCUGAGUAUAGUGCAGGCACUCCCCACCAACGCAUGAGUUGGAGUUGUAGUCAUAAUUAGGCUUCUCCCCCACCCACAAGUUCACCGCAUCGGUGCCUGUCAAUGAACCACUGCCCUUGGCCAGGUUCUCACCAUAAGGCCCACCUGAGUGCACUAGAUUGCAGUCGCUAAUCCUCUUGUUAGCAUAGUUCUGGGCGUAGGCAGCUACAGUGUCGUUCCAUGUCAUAGACCCAACGCCAACUUGUGCCCGUGCUGCAUUGUGAGCAUUGACGUAGUCCUGUGGAGAGUUCUGGGCACAACAGACGUGAGCUAGGGCUAAUCCCAUGAGACCAACAAGAAGUGGCAAUGAAAUCUUACACAACCCCAUCCUUUUUAGUUUCUUUGAUGAGAAGUGAGGUUAUUGAUGAGAAAUGAGGCUUGGUUUGAAGGGUAUUUAUAGGGGAGACAGAAGCAUCAUAAUCUCUAAGUCAUGCCCUCCCAAACUUCCCCCUUGGACACAGUCUUUGUGGUCGCCUUCACACGUAAAGAUCAACGACUGAAAAAAUAGUUAGCACUAAGAUCAAAAUGACUUCCAUGCAUGUUCAAUUUUUUCUUAAGGAGUAAUCAACAAUAUUGAAAAUUCUUUGUGUUUUGGAUAUCUUCUAGGGUUUACCCCUGGCGGCCAGACCAGUUUGAUCAAGACUCGUGAACUUCCUUCUAAAAGAACAUGUAUAAAGAAUUAAAAGGGAAAAACAAGUGUUGAUGUUAAAUCAAAAUUAUUUUAACAAUCUUAGAUGCUGAAAUUCUUGACAUUGAUCAGCUAGUAUUUUUUUUUUUUUGAUUCAAAAUAAAACAGCACAAUGGAAUCACAUUUUUUCAGUUCAAAAAAUGGGUAUUUAAAUAUAAUUUAAAAUCAAUAAACUUUUUAUAUCCAGAUAAAUAUCUAAAAAUAAAAAUUUAACUUAAAAAGUAAAUGAUGUUAAAAAGAUUGUAAAUAGAUACAAAUAAAAACUAGUAGGGCCUUGUAAAACUAUUUUUAAUUGAAUUUCUUUUAAGCAUUUUAACUUCCCAUAAUAUGAAAAACUUCUAGAUCCAAAUUUCUCAGUAUUAAAAAUAUUUAACAUGUGAUAUUAUAUUUGGUUCCUAGGAAAUGCAAGAAGGAAAAAAACAAAAAGUCUAAUUAUUUUUUUAUUUUUAAAUAAUGUGGACAAAAAUAAGCAAAAUACAAAAUAAGUUGAUCAAAUGGUUAUAGAUAUAGAAGUCUUGAGAGCGCCCUGAUAAUGAGGCUACAACUUAGGAAUUACGUUUCCAAUUGCCAUGCUUGGAAAAGUCAAAUGAUGGCUUUGUUGGAUGAAUCUAGAUGAAGUUUGGCCUACAUAUAAGGAAGAAUGACAUCAUGGUCACUGGUUGUAGGCGUCAAUUCCGGGACAGCCAUGAGCUUGUGAUGGAAAAUUCACCAGACCCUCCGUUAGUGUAAUCUCUUAACUACCUCAACUUACUCAACCGCUCUCCAUAUAAAGGCAAAGACUGGAGUCAGUAGUAAGGGAUUGGGGUAGACCCAGAGUUCAGCUCAGUCUAGGGCCCAUUUAAAGUUCUGGAUUGGGUUGAGUCUUACAUAAAAGCGGAUAAGCUCUAUUUGUUAAUCUGUGUCAACUUAAUUUAUACUAUUGUUACUCAUUUAACCUAAUUCAUAUCUUAAAUCUAAUCUAAAUUACAAUUUAUUCUAAUAUUUUUGGAUGAUGCACAUCAAAAAAUGUUUCAUACUGUAUAUAUUUUCUAUCAUUUGAAAAUUUUUGGAGUGUAUCAUAGCCCCUAAUAGCUCAAAUUUAUGUUACAUUCCUAUUCAAGACUUUCUCACAAUUUUCAUGUCUGUAGUGUUUAUUAAAAGUAUGAUGAGCUUUGUGAGCACAAGUACAGGUUAUAAGGGUCAUUUUGAGCAAUUUUAGUAACCUCUAUGGGUUUUGGAAGGAGAGGGGAGGCCAAAAGUAAGAGUAAAUAUGCAAGAUAAGUAAAACUCAAUUAGCAUCUCCACAAGCUCGAUUCUAACUAGUUUUGAGUUUGGAGUUGUUUGAAAGGGUUAUAUGCAUCCAAAUAGAGUAAGGUAAAUUUUAUCAAGUUCUAGACUCUAAUAGGGAAGAAAAGGGGGGUUAGGAGAUUUUAUUUUUGAAACAAAGAAAAUACCAUUGCAAGAUAACAACAUAAAGUUCCACUUAAAUAUGAAAAAGGGAAUAAAAAAUAGCUAAUCUACUAUUGCUUUGUAAUUACAUCAAUUUGCUGACACUUCCUAUAAGUGAGCCAACUAUAUUAUUAUUGGAUCAUCUCCUGAAAUUUCUCUCUUUUAUUUUGAUAACUAAGUCUUAGAUCAAGUUUUGACCAUCUCAUUUAAAAAUUAAUUGGUUCUAAGUUUUUUAUGACAUCAUUGUUAUUUGGGUAACCCAUUCAUUAGAAAGUGAUAUGAUUAGACCCCAAAAAUCCCUCCACCAAUAGAAGGCUUUCAUGGCUCUAAUCCAUGACAUUGACUUUGAUAUCAAUUUUAGAUUGAACUUUGAUCAUUUCAUCUUAAAACCAAUUGAUUUUUAGAUGAGAUAAUCAAAACUCGAUUUAAAACUUAGGAAAUUACUUAACCGUUCAUUCUUCUUGAAAAAGCCUUAUUCUCAAGGUUUGAAGUGAGUAAAACAACUAAUAAGCCUAUGCUAAUCUUCCUAUCUAGCAACUUUUGGGAAAUAAUUAAAAUAAUGACAAAAUGCCACAGCCUUAUUAUUAGGGCUACAAGUGCCGUUACCCCAUAUCUGCCACAUCAAAAGACCUUUCCAUAUGAUGUUGAUUAGCUUGCCUACUUAUAUGGUGUUGAGUCUUCUCUAAAUUUUCUUUCAAUAGAAGUAAGAUGGCAUGCAUUUCAAUCAUCAAGCGCUUGCCCUAUUGAUAUCACCUUGGUGUCACCUCCCCCAUACAUAGGCAAAGAAGAUGAACUCUGACGAUAAUCUAUUUUAUAUAGAAUGAGCUCGAUGGCAGUGUGGAAGGAAGUUUUGAAGUUUUUAGGAUGAUUGCCCAUUACACAAUAAAGAGAAUUUUUUAAACAAUGAUUAAGGCUGUAUUUGGAAAUUGUUUUUUAAAACACUUUUUAGGUAUUCAAAAUAAAAAAAAAUAGAAAAACAUAUUUUACAAUGGGAAAGUAGAAAAUAUUUUUUAAUUAUUUUUACAUAUUUUUUAAUGAUUAUUUUAAAAAUAACAUGAAAAGUGAGUUUUAACUUACUAAUUUAAAACCCCAAAUUUUAUAAAUUAUAUUUAGUUUUUAUUCAUUUAAAAAUAUUUUAAAAUACAUACAUUUUUCCAUUUGUCAAAUAAUUAGUUUCUAAAAUGACCCUUUUAUUUAUUAGGUUAAUAAUACCAAUUGAUGAAUUUUUUUUUUUACAAGAAUUGUUCUGACCUCAAUAAAAUAAAAAAUUUUAAAAUUUAAAAUUAAAACUAAAAAAACUUUAAAACUAAAGACAUAAAAUAAAAUAUUAACUUUCAUUUUGAAUUGUGACAAGUAUGCUUGAUACGAGAUAAGUCUUGUGGACAACAGAAUGACCUCCAAUGGGGCUAUCAUGGUUGUCAUGUAAUAUUUCAGCCUUGUACUGUAGUUGAUUAUGCAUUAGCCAAUAUACCCCCUUUUGGCAUUUGGGUCAACAAUAUUAAGUUUUUGUAUUAGUCGUUGUUGUUAAGGGUCUUGCUGCCAUUUUUCCUUGGAGGUAUCGAGCCAAUUAAUAAUAGACAAGGAUAGGGUCUUGACUUUCUAUAAUAAACAUAUUCUAUGACGGACAAAGAGAGAGAGAAAUAAGAGAAUUGUAUGGGUGACUUUCUAUUAUAAAUCUUUAUUAAAGAUAUUUGGUGGUAGAAGAAAGUUUUAAGUAAUUUUUUUAAUAAUUAGUCUUUUAUUCUCACGAUCACCUGAAGUUGGAGAAUGUGACACGGCAUGAAUCAAUGUGUUAGGCAUGACUUCCACGUGCCUUGGAUGGGAGAUAUCCCUUCCAUAAGGAAAAAUAUCUCUUCCCAUAUGCAUUUUGGUGUCUCAAGUACAUCGAGUCUAGGAGGAUUGAGGGAAACUCAACCAAGCCUUUCAUUUGGGUGACCAUCCACUGAACCAGAUUUAGGCGCAUUAGUCCACCCACUACUUGUUCCUGCAAUGAUAUCCCCCAAUGACGUGUCAAAGUUGGCCAUGUCCCACUACUUGAUCUAGACGCUCAGCUUUGUUGUGCUGUGAUAUUAGAUCAUAGAGGAACUAGCUAAUCAAAUUUGAAUCCUUUUCCAUAUAUAUAUAUAUAUAUAUAUAUCCUAAAUUCUUUGUCAGUUCCUUGUAUUAACUUUAAUUAAUAGGGUUUAUAGUCCCAAUUUCCUUGAAAUUUCUUAUAAUACUACUGUGUCCUUUUUUCAUAAGAUCAGCAGGAUAACCCUGGAAAUUAAGACAAAGAAAAAAGAGAAGCCAACAUGCUUUGAAGUAUAACUAUGAAUUUAUUGUACUUGGAAAUUAAGCAUCUCUCUUGAGUACAGGAGGAGAAUAAAGCAAGAUCUUACUGAAAAGCCACCUUAAUUAUGUCUUCCUUAGUCAACUAAACGCACAAAGUUUUAUUUGUACUGACCUAUGGUAUAUAUCCUGAUCAGUAUAUUACAUAAAUGUAGUACUUUGCUUAGAGGUAGUUCCAAGAAGUUUAAUAAGGAUGUUGUCCCUGAUAGUUGCCCGGUGGAUCGUAGUUGCAUGUGACGAACCACCCUCCACUGUUGCAUUGAACCCUAGCGCACCCAAGACGCACUGAGUUGCUCCAAACAACCUGAGUAUAGUGUCGGCAUUCCCCACCCACGCAUGAGUUGGAGUUGUAGUCAUAAUAAGGCUUCUCGGCCACCCACAUGUUCACUGCAUCGGUGCCUGUCAAUGAAGGGCUGCCCCAGGCAAGGUUCUCACCGUAAGGCCCACCUGAAUGCACUAGAUUGCAGUCGCCAAUCCUCUGGUUAGCAUAGUUCUGGGCGUAGGUAGCCACAGUGUCGUCCCAUGUCAUAGACCCAACACCAACUUGUGCCCGCGCUGUAUUGUGAGCAUUGACGUAGUCCUGUGGAGAGUUCUGGGCAUAGCAGGUGUGAGCUAGAGCUAACCCCAUGAGACCAACAAGGAGUGGCAAUGAAAUCUUACACAACCCCAUCUUUUUUAGUUUCUAUGAUGAGAAGUGAGGUUAUUGAUGAGAAAUGAGGCUUGGUUUGAAGGGUAUUUAUAGGGGAGAUAUAUAGAAGCAUCAUAAUCUCUAAGUCAUGCCCUCCCAAACUUACCCCUUGCAAUUGGACACUGUCGUUGUGGUCGCCUUCACACUUAAAAGAUCAACAACUGAAAAAAUAGUUAAUUAGCACUAAGAUCGAAAUGACUUCCAUUCAUGUUCAAUUUUUUCCUAAGGAAUAAUCAACAAUAUUGAAAAUUCUUCUAUGUUUUGGAAAUCUUCUAGGGUUAAACCUGGCGGCCAGACCAGUUUGAUCAAGACUAGCGAACUUUCUUCUAAAAGGACAUGUACAAAGAAUUAAAAGGGAAAAUAGUGCUGAUGUGAAAUCAAAACUAAUACCACUGAUGUUUAACUCCAAAGUAGAUAGAUUUCAGUGAAUUUCAUUAAUAUGCAUAUGGGAUCUGAUCAAAUUUUUUAGGAGGAUAUUUAUCUCAAUUACAACCCAAAAAAAAAAUGAUUUUUUUUUUUUUUUUGGAGAUAAUAUUGGGGUGAUUCUUUCAUUCAAUCAGUUUUUAGUGGAGAUUUUUGGAAAUUUUUUUGUUAAAUGGAGGCCUAGAAGUCAGAAGAGAGAUUUGCCUUUAAUGAUGGCCCAAUUUAUCAAAUCAAAUUUGAAUUGAAGGGAAAGAAAAGAAGGAACUAAUACCAUGUUUGGAAGGUAUUUUCUAAAAGAAUUUUGAAAAAUAAUUUUUUAAUAUUUUGUAAAGCAAAAGUUCAUUUAAAAAUCUACCAUUUUUUAACUUAUUUUUUAUAUUUUAGAAAUAAUUUUUACAUUUAGUGUUUUAUUUUUAAUCAUUUUUUAUAUUUAUAUAUUUAAUUUUUAAAACUGUAUUAUUUUUUUAUUUUUAAAAAUAGAAAAAUGUUUCCUAUUUUUUAUUCCCAUAUGAAUUUAUUAUUUUUGAAAACCCUUACCAAACAUGCAUUGUGAGGAGUACUUCAUGGAGAGUUGAUCUAAAUUCAAAGAAAAAUGUAGGGCUCCUCCCAGAACAAUCAUUUUAACUAGGUCGUCAAGUAGCAUCUGCAUCAACCCCCCAUAUUAAUAAAAAGGCAGUGAAUGCAUGCAUUCAAAUUGUUCAUGUCUUUAGAUGCUGAAAUUCUUGACACUGAUCAGCCAAUAUUUUUCUUAUAUUAAAAAACAAGAAAAAAACAGCCCUUUUAAAACCUUUGAUCACGGACGAAUUUACACGUGGUUCUUCAGAUUCUGCAAAUACAUGAUACAAAUUAUCCUAACCGGUUUGAAUGCUUGACUAAAACAAGGUGUUUGGUCUUUUAAUGUUAGAUUUCGAGAUUCCGUGGAAAGUUGGUUACGACUUAAGAGACACUUGUGGGUAGGCCAUGAAAGUUGAAUAAUUUAUCGUGUAACACAUUAUUUGAGCAAGCAAGUAAUGUGUUACACAUUAUGUGAUUUAAUUUUUAUGAGUUUGAAAUGGUGAUACAAUAUGAUUUUAUUCCUUAUUCUUAUUCUUGGCUAUUAUCGUGACAUCACGAUUGGCGGACUAAUGGUAGCAAAGGAAGACAAAAGUUACAAGGACUUUUAGCUCCUAAUUUAACAAAAAUUAUUGAGGAUGUAGAGUUAUUCUUGAAAGACUAGAAACAUUUUUUAACAUUUAGAAAUUUUUUCUUUAUAGAAAUUAAGUAUUUGAUAAGCAUUAAAAAUUUAAGAAAUUUGGAAUUAUCACUUGAUAUGAUAUUUAUUCCAAAAAUUAUUAUUAUUUUUUGUUAUGUAUUCCAUUCCAUUACUAGAAAUGUUUUCAAAUUUAUCUUUUAAAUUAGAUUCAAACAUUAACUAAAUCUCGAUUAAGUUUUUAUGAUAGAAGUAUUAUCAACAAAAAUUUAAAAGUGCUUUUACAAGAAUUGCCCCCGAGCACAUUGACAAAAUCAUGAUGAUUUUGAGUGAAAAUUUCCAUGGUAUUAGACUUAGUUCUUUUCUAUUGUAAGGUUAUAUAUGUUAUGCUAGAAUAGGAGAAUAUCAUGACUUCUAAUGAAAUAUAACAUCUUUGAAUAUUAUAUUUAUAUCUAAUUAGAUAUUAAAUCAUGCUCAUGUUUGAUUUAUAGAAUGAAUAAAUGAACUGAAAAAUAUACUACAUUUUAAAGUUAAUUAUUUUUUUCUAAAAUAAAAAUAUAUUGCAUUUAAUUGCUUGUUUUUAAACAAAUAUAAAAUCGUUUAUUUGUUUAUUAUUACUAUUUGAAAAUCAUUCUAUAAUUUAUUAUUUGUGUAAUUAUUUUUAUUUAUUUGUUAUAACAUUUAUGAAUAAAAUUAAUAUUUAAAUAUCACAUAAUGUCUACUAUUAGUAUAUUUAAGUUGUAGUAUCCAUAUUUUUUAAUUAUUUUUUCAAAAUAAAAUUUUAAUUUUUCUAAUUUAAUUUAAUUUAAUUUUAUAAAAUACGAUAUAUAAAGAAAUUUUAAAAAUAAAAAAAUGUAUGACAUGAAUAAAUUGACGAAACAUGGAAUCUGUAUAUAUCAUGUCUCAACUUAGAAUUAUUAUAUCUCAUGAUAUAAAUAUGAGGUUGGAUGAGUUAUCCUAUUGUAUGUAUGAUUAAAUAUGAGAUACAAAGAGCAUUGAGAUAAUUAAUUCUAUUCAUCCCUAAUCAAAUAUGAAAUAAAACAUGUUUUUCUAUUCUUUAUCCAAUUAUAAUAACUAACCAACAUAAUUUAAGUCUAAACGAAAAACUCUGUGGUAUUUAUUUAAUUUGAUUUUGUUUUUAUUUAUACAAUUCUUGAUAGAAAUUAAUAUAAAAAUAUCAUUUAAAAUUCAAAUAAAAGUUAAACUCUUUUUAUUUAGAUAAAAUAUCUAAAAAUAAAAUUUAACUUAAAAAAUAAAUUAUAUUGAAAAGAUUGAAAAUAAAUAAAAAUAAAAAUAGUAGGGCUUUGUAAAACUACUUUUAAAUUUAAAAAUAUUGUAAGCAUUUAACUUCCCAUAAUACCAAAAACCUCAAAAUCCUAAACUUCUUUGUUUUAAAAAUAUUAAGAUGGGAUAUUAGAAGUGUGUUUGGGAUUGUUUCUUCUUAGAUGUGUUUUUAGUGGAAGUGUUUUAUUUCUAAAAAAACAUUACAAAUAAUAUUUUAAUGCUACAAGUGAUUUUUCAAAUUUUAAAAAAAUAUUUCAUAAAUUUUAUCAAAUAACUAAUGUUGUUUUAAAAACACUUUUUAGGUUAAAAAUAUUUUCUAGAAUUAUUAUCAAGCGGAUUUUUUAUUUGGUUAAGAAGUUUAGAAGGAGGAAAACAAAAACUCAAUAUAUAUAUAUAUAUAUUUUCCUAUGUUUAAAUAAUAUGGAAAAAAACGUGUGAAAAAUAUCAAGGAAUCCAAGAACAAAAUAAAUUAUAAUUUUCUUUAUCUUUGUCUUUUCUUUUUCUUUUUUUCCUUCAAACUUUUCACAACCAGCCAUAUGCUCAAAGUUAACGUAUAUAUUAUAACAAUCUAAGUUGUCUAGACGGAUUAAAAGCUUUGCCAAAUUAAUUGGGUCUUGGUAGACUUUAAGAAAAAUACAAAACAAAUUGGUCAAAUGGUUAUGUAGAAGUCUUGAGAGAGCCCAACUUGGGAAUUACGUAUCCAAUUAUAAUGCUUGGAAAAGUCAAUAUGAUGAAUUUCUUGGAUGAAUCUAGAUGAAGUUUGGCCUACAUAUAAGGAAAAAUGACAUUAUGGUCACUGGUGGUAGGCGUCAAUCACGGGACAAACAUAAGCUUGUGAUGGAAAAUUCACUUGACCGGAGAUUAAUGCUGUAGGAAUAAUAUCAUUGGACUAAGGAUUUUGCUAAAGAAUUUUCAGAGCUCACAUGGUGUGGAGUAGUUUUCUAAUUUGUGACUCCGCUUGAUUGGACAGCUUAGAAAAAUUGUUUAGUUUUAGUUUCUAAUCUCUUCGAUCUAUUGUGCCAGCUUGGGAGUAGCUUAUAAGUUAUAACUUUGAAAAUUUGAUGUUAAACAGUAGUCAAUUUUGUCUUUUUUUUUUCCAUAUGUCAAAAAUAAAAAAGUAUUUCACUGUUCAAUAAAAAGUGUGUAGGAGUAAUUUUAGUAAAACUAGAUGAGAUUUUUAAGGUUUAAAAAUGUUUGUAUUGCAAUAAUUAAGAGUGUGUUUGGUACUUAUUCUAUAAAACGUUUCUAGUUUUUAUAAUACUUGGAUGAUAACAUUUUUCAAGUGUUAAAAAUAUUAGAAAUGCUUUCUAAAAUUAUUGCCAAAUGAGCUCUAAAGAUUUGACAAUUCCUUGAAAUGAUUUUUGAAUGGAUGCUUGAGAAAUAUUUUUAUAAGGGGUAAAUAAUAGAUAAAGAUUAUUGGAUUGUAAAAUUUGAAUCAAUUUUGUUAUGCUUUUUAUAGGAUCCUCACUAAGUUUGUAGAGAUUGAACCACCCUGUCAGCUCACUGAGGUUGAAAGAGACAACAUCUCCUAGAAAUUUUUUUUUUAUGUGAUGAAUGAUGAAUUUAUCUUUAUUGUAUAUUUAACCUUAUUAUGAUUUAGAGAUUUUUUAGACAAUGUGAUUACAAUUGAAAGGUGUGUGGAAGUUUUAUCGUUGUAACUUUUCUUUUUUAUUUAAUUAGUGGAUUUUUUUAGUGUUGAUACAUUUUAUGAACGUAGGAUCACAUUGAUCGUUAAACCACAUUAAAACUCUAGUGUUUUUCAUUUAUUUUUCUACUUAUUUGUGUGGUUUGAUUUAUAAAUAAUAACUCAAUAAAAUAGGAAUAGUUAACACAUAUGACCCCACCGAAAAAAUUUCUUUCACUUCAAUAAAAAAGAGUGAAGAGAUUUAAUAAUGAAACUUUCCCAAAAAGAUUGAUGAAGGAACUCUCACAUUCACAACCCUAGAAUAAUCCUAGAAAAACAACCCUUAUUGUUUUCUCCAUUUUUUUUCCAUAUCAUAUGACACUUCUCAGUUUUUUGGGCAUCCACAAAAGAAACCCUACUUGCACCUUAUAUUUUAGCUUAAAAAAAAGAGUCUAAAUAUGGGCUUGAAAAACUUUUCAUGACAGAAUAAACCUAACCUAUCAAUUUCUUCCAAAAUAAUUACUUUUUAUUACGGAACACAUUAUCAAAACACUCUAGUUAGAGUUUUUGUAAUGUAGGCACCCUUUCUACUAUGAUUAAGGUUUAAAUUAUGAGGUGUUAGAUUAGUUUCAUCAGGAGUAUAUAGUAAUUCAUUAUUGUUGAUGGUUUCGAUUUUACUUGGAAGUUACUCCAUUGUAAUAGUUCAUAUAGAAAUGAGACUUUUUUCUUACCCAUAAAGGAUUGUGCUCGGAUCAAUUAAGACCCUUUUACAAAUGUCAACCAUUAUUUCUAUUUGGAGCGCAAUUGGUUGAGUUGUGUUGGGUUUUCUAUUAAUGGGUAUACAUUCAAAUAAAACUAAUUCUCGAGUUUUAGAAUGCGUUGAUUUUAAAUAUAGUUUUUAGCAUUUUUAAAACUUGAAAGAUAAAAUUCAUAAAAAAAAUUAAAAACUAAAAAUAUUUCUUAAACUUACUACCAAACAGACCCUUAAAAUGCUUUAUUUAAGCUUCAUACUACCUUAUUUUUUGUAAAGAUCAAAUUUGAAUUAAGUGACAUUAGAUUGAAUUCAAACCAUUUAUAAUGGUUUCUCUUACUUCAAUUUUUAUAGAUUUGUAAGAGGAUCUAAAUAAUAAAUGUGAUGAUAUUUUUAAAAUAUUAAUAGUAUCUUUUGGACAAAAUGAAAUAGUACAUAGUAUAACAAUUAUAAUAUGAAGCCAUUUUUCUUAAAAUUGUUUUAGAAAUAUAUAAAUUAAAUUAAUUAAAUUGGGUUUGAAUUAAAUUUCCUAAAAAUCAUCAAAACUUUAGCUUGAGGCCAAUUUAAACUUAAUUUAUAUUAUAAAUUACAUAAUAAUAUGAAUUAUAAAUAUUAAUUUAGGUUUGGAUUAAGUUUUUGGACAAUUACCAAAACAAGGUAAGGUGAACUCCAACUUAAUUCAUGUUAAAAAAAAAAACUCAAUCAAUUAACUAGAAAACAAAACAAUGAAUGCAUAGCGAAAGAACUGAACUCAACCGCUCCUAACUAGGGUCAAGGCUUGGUUUAAUAGGUGUGAAGAAAAAUAAAACAUUUUUAUCCUUUACUAAUUAUAUAAACAUAUAUUAUGUAUAAAAUAUGGAUGAAUUUAAAACUCAAAAAAGUCAUUUUCAUGCAUUAAAGUAUUAACUUUUGCGCAUGUUUUAAAUAUUACCCUCCAACCAACUAAACCCUCCAUAUGUAUGGAAGGAAAUUAGCUUCCCUCCAAAUAUCACUCGAAAAUCCCAACAAAUCCGAAAUUAUUAAAAAAAAAUUCAACAAAUCGUGAAAAUUGAUUGAAAGGGCAUCGUGGAUAUUUCUCCAUGUGUUGUGUUUGCUACCUUUGACAAACCAAAUUUCAUCAAAAUUUUUGGAUAUUUUCAUCAUUGCUUAAAACAAAACUCUUGUGGCUGAGCCCAAACAAGAAAAAAAGUAUUUAUAUUAAUACUUAAUUUACAAAUCUACCGAGAUCUUAGGUUGGUAUUCACUGUGAUUAUGGACAUUAAAUUUUUUCCUUAUAUGUAUCAAAAGAAAUUUUAGAAAAAAAAAAAAUUCAUAUUUCAAUUGUUACUUUGCACGUAUAAGUUUCAAUAGAAAUACGAAGACGUGGUACAUUUUCUCCUCCGGUGGACAAAAGAUAUGAAGUACAAAAUUGUGGUUGCUUGGGUGGGGCUUGUUACACAACUCAAACAAAAUGAUCUACCGUAUAAAAGCAUAAACAUUUCACUUUAUUUCAUUAUAAUCUUCUAAUACAGAAGUGAUUUUAUUAGGGACCACUCCAACAAGUCUUUAAUCAAAGUUCAUGUAGAACCUUUCUUAAUAUAAGGACGUUCUCCAAAAUAGUUGCCUGGUGGGUCUUAGUUGCAGCAAACAAUCCACCAUUCCCCAUUCUUGCACAACAAUCUUGCACACCCCACAUUCACUGAAGUGUUCUACACAACCUGAGUGUAGUGUCCACACUCUCCUCCAACGCAUGAGUUAGAGUCGUAGUUAUAAUAAGGCUUCUCAGACACCCACAUCUUCACUGCAUCAGCGCCAUCAAAGUCAGUAGCACCCCCUGCAGCCAGGUUCUCACCAUAAGGCCCUCCUGAGUGUUCAAGAUUGCAGUCACCAAUCAGCUUCUCACUAACAUAUUGCGAUGCGUAGUUAGCUAACUUUUUGUCCCAUGUCAUGGGCUGGACUCCAACCUCUGCCCGCGCGGCGUUGUGGGCGGUAAGGUAGUCUUGUGGGGUGUUUUGGGCAUGGGAGAGAUGCGCUAGGGCUAAGCCAAGGAGGCAUAGAAGGGCCAGUGAUGUCUUGCCCAUUUUGGCUUGGAUUCUAUGAUGGAGGACAAGAGCCUUUGAUGGUUAAGAGUAUUGACUUGUUGCAGAGAAUUUAAUGGUGCAAGGUGUUCUUUCUUGAUAUAGCUUUUAAUCAUUAUGAUAGAUAAUCCAAAGAAAUCAAUAAAAAGUGCUCAGCAAUUAAUUGUAGUGCAAUUAUAAAAUAUUAACUUAAUAGAAAAAAAAAAAGGUGGGGUGGGGGGGAAUUUACACGAGUAGGAGAUAAGGAUUGAUAUUAAUUCUCUUGAAGAUGACUACAGCAUGUUAAGAAGGGAUGAUAGUCAUCUUCACAUCUAUUUUAUUCCUUAGGCACGAUUUUUUUUUUUAAUACUGUGGUUGAUGAAUUUUGAGGAGCUCUUCAAUUUGUGAAGUUCUCAUACCCGAAUUAAUGCAUAAAUAUUUUGUUUUGAUUGUUGAUGUAAGAAAACUGGCAACAUCAACCACAAAAUAAAUUUUCAGCUGUAAUUAAUAGUUACAUUAUGUUUGUUUCCUACGGGAAGAAAAAAAUGUUUGUUAUUUUUGUAACCCUGAAAUAACUAAAAAAAAAAUACAAAUAAUAAUAAUUUUCUCAUGAUUUGUUUGUACAAAAUAAAAAAAAUAAAAAAUAAAAAAUGGUUAAACUUAUUUGUUUUUAAAUUAUUUAAUUUUUAUAUAAGAUAAGAAAAAUAGGUGAAACGAGUUUGAAGAAAUGUAUAAAAUUAAUUUAUUAACUUUAAUUUUUUUUUCUUAUUUUUUUCUUCCCAUUUUCACCUUAUUUUAUUUUUAUAUUUUUCUUAUUACAAACCAAACAAAACCUUAAGCUAGUUGAGAUGAUGGAAACUUUUAAGAAUUUACUGUGGGGUAUAUUUUUGGAAAGUAAAGCUGAAAGUCAAAUAUAAUUAAAACUACUAGAAAAAAAUUAUAAAGAUGCAAAUGACCCUCUACAUAAUAAUAAUAAUAAUAAUAAACCAAACAAAACCUUAAGCUAGUUGAGAUGAUGGAAACUUUUAAGAAUUGACUGUAGGGUAUAUUUUUGGAAAGUAAAGGUAAAAGUCAAAUAUAAUUAAAACUAUAUAAUGAAAAAGGUAAAAAAAAAUUAUAAAAUUUUUUCUUGGUUGUUUAUGGGAAUUUGAAAGAGAAGAAAAUUAAAAUGUAAGGAAUAUCCAUGAUAAGAUAAUAGGUUUAUAGUCAUUGCCAAACCACAUUUAUUCUGCAAUUAAAAGGAUUAGUAGUUGAGGUUGGUAAGGGUUUAUAGUCGUGGAUUUUUUUCUGAUAUUUUGGGUGGUUAAUGCAGGUUAAUAGGCGGUCAACGUGGGGUCGGGGCAGUCAAUAUGAUGCUAUAGUGACCGCUAUAGUGAAAGCUCAAAAAUGCCUUUUAAUUGAUGGUGUUUAUUUUUUUGGCUUUUUGCUGAAAGCAAUUUACUUUCAGAAUUUAGGUUUUUUUAAAAAAAAAUUUUAAUGACUUAUUACUGUUUUUUUAAAUUUUUGGCUAAAUGUAAAAAACUAAAAUAUUUGGCUUUUUUUAAAUAGAAAAAUGCAGUUUUUGAAACCUCCCCACAUACGAUUUUCAACCCAACGCCUGACCCUAGCCCACCCAUCCCUUGUAGCUUUCUGCAAUUGGCAUCCUCAACCCUCACCUCAUCCCCAAAGCGGUAAUUUCUUCAUUCUCAUCCUCCAUCCGAGACUACAUAGUUGGAAAGACGCUCCACUUUCAUUCGACAUUGUUGAUCUAAUCGAAGGUAACCCUCAACCCAAAUUUAUUUUGGGUUUUAGGAUUUUAAUAGAGUAACCGAGUCUCAUUUCUCAGUACUUCUCUCUCUAAAACUCUCAUUCUCUAUUUUGGUUCACAAAUGCAAGUGCUCUGUUUAGGGUUUUUGAGUUCACAUGUUGCGGGUCCUAAGAUAAUUUUAGGAUUUCUAGGCUCUAUUAAAAGAGCUAUGUGGGUGUUUUUUUUUGUUUGAGUUCAUUUUUAAGAAAAAAUUUCUAGGCUACUGAUUUUGUUUGAGAUUACAAAGAAUGUGGGUAUCGGGUAUUUGGGUUUUUUGUCUCAAUGAGACCAAAUCAGGAGUAUUCAAUGGGUGGUUGGGAGUUUAAUUUCUAUCUUUUGCAACCCUUCCCCUUUUGCAGGAAUCAACUAAAGCAUAAAAUAAUUCAUGACUUCUUGUCUGUUUAUUGAAAUAUAAGAGAUUAGGUAGAUGGAAUUCUAGGGUGGUUUUGAAACAUUACCAUGCUUUGAGUCUGCUUUGCGUGUGUCAAUGUUAUCUAACUUGGUCCUUGCCCUUCAAACGUUUGAAGGUUAAAUUUUAUCUUGGACCUUUUCUUUUCCUCCUUAAACAAUACAAACUUUGAUGUGCUUCUUGGUCCAAAUAAGAAUAUUGUGUUGGUUGAAUUUGUGUAACAUCUUUCUCUGUUCCUUUGAUGACUAUAAAAUUUCUGGAUUUUGGUUGAAUCAGUAGCUAUGCGGCUAUGCCAUGUUACAUAACCUAUUUUAUUUGGCUUGAGUUUGGACACAUGAAUUGCCCUGUUUCGGUGAUUCUAAAGAAGAAAGUUAGGGAAUUGUCUCUGCGGAGAUUGUAGUUUUAUGCCAUGGAUUUUGAUGCACAAAGGGUUGUUAUUUUGAUUGUUGAAGUUCUAUUUUGUGUUUCAUUUAGUACUUUGGAGUCCCUGGAGUACUGUUUGAAAGCUAUCUUCUGCAAUUAUCCGAUCAUUUAGUGCUUUGGAAGGGAAAGUAAUUCAUGUUCCCACAUGAGAACAAUGAAUUCUAGCUGCAUGAGAGGCCAUUUGCAUCAUGGCUGGAGUACUUCACUCCUAAGAUAGUUUUCUAGGGUGCCUUUUAAUGUUCUUUUGUGUUUUUCAUUGAUUUCAAUACAAUGGAUUCUGCUGGAAGAAAAUUUGUUUUAUCGGAUUCCAGUGGGCAUAGUUUAAUGACCAACAAUUCUGUAAUGACUGUACAUUUACACAAUGAGACUAGAGUAGUUUAGUAGCAAUUCAAUGCAUCUUGUGAGAAGUUUAGUAGCAAUUUAGUGUAGUUUGUAAUUAUUGAUUCGGAACUAAGAAGCAAUAACCCUUUUCAUAGGUUCCCUUAAGAUUUAACAACUAGACUAGAGUAGUUUGUAAUUAUUGAUUCAGAACUAAGAAGCAAGAACCCCAAACAGAGGUGGAAGUUCCAAACAUAAAAUUCUAUAUAAUUCAUCAACCAUAGCAUCUGAUGGGGUCAGUGCAACCCUUUUCAGCAAACUGGCAUAAGCCUUUACCUCCACCAUUUUCCAAAUAUUGCUGAUGGUACUCCUCUGUUCUGUAAAACCUCUUUGCUGGAAGAAUUUCAGUUACAAUGUUCUUAUCAUUCAAAGGUCCCUUAGUCCUAUGAAAAUAUUCUUAGUUAUAAAGCCAUACCCUACUAAAAACCUGAAAUCUCAGGAACACUUUCGCCAGCAUGAAUUAAGUCUGAAGCAUUUUGAUCCAAAGGGAAGUGUUCUGAUGUUAUUUGGGAAGCAACUUUCAACAGAAAAUCAAUCAAAAUGCAUAUUUACUAUAGCAACUCUUUAAACAGAGUCAUCAAGCACUAGACAUGAUUGCAAGAGUCUUUAACUCAAGAAAGCAUGAUCCUAAAACUCAAAAUCCAUUGGAACCCAAUAUGUUGGCAAAACUGCAAUCAACAGAGAUAUCUCGCUCAUCAAUCUUAAAUUCUCAACACAUUUUCCAACAACCAAACAGUUAAAACCAAACCCUUUUCUUUAAUCAAGAAAAUAAAAACACCCUUUUUUUUAUAAGUAAUUUCAUCGUUUUUUUACAUUUCACCUUUUUUAUUCUCUAUUUAUUGUUGGGUCUUGCACUCAUCCUUUAUUGUCAAAUGUGGUUUUGUUCCUCGGCAGCGUGAUUGAGCUGCGUGGUUGGCACAUCCGAAGGAUUCUUUAGUUGACACAGUUGCUAAGAAUCUUUUGGAUCGAUUGGAGGUACUAGUUUACUUUGGAAUUCAAGUUUUUUAGUGCCCAUCUACACUAAAUUGCUACUAAACUUCUCACAAGAUGCAUUGAAUUGCUUAGUAUCAUUUUUUUUUCCUGUAUCAAAAGGAAAAAAGACAUAAAAGAAGCUGCAUAGGUAUUAUGGAAACUGCAUAUUGCUAACAUUUUCAGUUUUUUUUUUUUUUUUUUUUUAAGGAAAAGUAUAUCUUGAGAAUGGAACCAGUGGCUUUGAGCACUACUUUGAUGAUAUAUUUUAAGCAAAUGGAGAUUAAUGUUUUCUAGAACUUUUUUUUUUAUAGGCAAUGCUUUUCAGAACACAAAUUAUAUUAUUGUCCAAUUUGAUGAACGGUUGUCUUCCACUGUUAUACUUUGAGAUAUCACUUCCUAGGAAACACUUCAUCCAUCUCUUGCUCUUUUUGAUGUACAGAAAUGCACGUGCACAUGUAUGUGAGCAUUCAUGUAGACAUGUGUUGGCAUAAAAAGUAGUGAAUAGGCUGGGUGUAAAUGAAUAUGCUAAAAUAAGAAAUAAGAGCCAAUGAGAUAUAAUCAAUGAAAUGUAAAUAGAGUUUAGCCUCAAAUUCACAUAAGAAGGUUACACUAAGUAUAAAGCAAGCCAUACUCAAACUUUAUAUUCAUGAAGAUUUUUAUUUUAUUUUAUUUUAUUGUCUCUAAUUGAAAAUUGAAAAUUAAUCAUUAAUGUUGGUUGGUUUUUUGUAGAGUAAUGAGUCAAAAUGUUGAGAUUAGUAGGGCAAAUUGAACUGACCCCAUCGAAAGAAAACACUUUAUUGAUCUUUGUCUUCAAGAGGCAAACAAAGGCUUUAGAUCAGGUGGAGGUUUAAAGUCUAGUGUUUGGCCUCGAAUUGUUGAAGAGUUGGAGAAGUUACUUGGAAAACGUUAUACUUUAAAACAACUUAAAAAUGGGUGGGAUUACAUGAAAAGACAAUAUCUCAUUUGGAGUAAAAUGAUGACUAUGACAGGACAUGGUUACAACUCUAUAACCAAAACUUUUGAUUGGCCAGCUAAAAAAUGGGAAAAAUAUCUACAGGUAGUUUUUUUAUGGAUUUGAGUGAAUUUUAAAAAUAAUUGUCUUAUAUAUGUAUACAUGACUAAUUUGUUGUUUAUCUUAUAAAAUAUAGAUAUCCAGAAGCUAAACAAUUCUAUUUUAAACCAUUAGCAAAUGUGGAAGAAUUAGAGGCAUUGUUUGGAGGAGUGUUAGCUACUAGGUCUAAAAAUUGGAGCUCUGGAGGAGUGAUAGCUUCUGGGGCUGAGGAAUCAUCAACACAUUCUACAUCUAUGCCUAGCGAAACUUCAAUUAGUUUAGAAGAAGAUGAGGAUUUGCCAAGAAAUACUAAUGAUGAAGCAGAAGGUUCUAAGAAAAAACAAAAGAAAGGAAAGAAAGAGCAAACUCAAGAAGAAAUGAAUAGAAUAAUGAAUGUGUUGGAGAAUUUUGAAGGACCCUAAGUCAAAGAAUUUUGAAGAGGCUCUUGACUUAUGAGGAUCCAUUAUACUAUGUAGCAAUUAAUUCAUUUUGCAAGAAGAAAGAGUAUAGAGAGGUGUGGAUGGAGAUGGAAAGUGACGAAGAGCGAAUGGGAUGGAUUCAAAGCUUGCGAAAAUAACUUUUUGAAUAUUUGUUUUAGAUUUGUGGAAUGCAUAGGGUAUAUGACUUAUAUGAUGAUUUUAAUUUGGUACAUUUGGUUUGUUUGUUUUGGAUAUUUGAUACAUUUAAACUUUUCCAAUUAUAAAGACUUUCUCUCUACAUUUUAUUGAUAUUUGUUUUGGAUAUUUGUUACUCAUACAUUGUUAUAACUAUUUGAUUAUAUUGUUAUGCUUUUAUUUCAUAACUAUUGUUUUUUUAUAAUAGAUAUUCUUAUGGAGAAUCCUUCACAUCACUCAAAUAGUUCAAGUUCAUCAUCAUCAAGUGAAGAUGAAGAUACAAAGUUAGAAGUGACAAGAAUUUUUUUUAAAAAAAAGAUUGGUUGUGUUGUUGCUCAAAUUAUUAAGUGACUCAUCCAUUAAUAAGGAACGAGUCUCUACUUCAUCAUUUAUAGGUUCACUUUUCAUUCAAGAGCUUUUAAAUGGUUCAUCUAGCACAUGUUAUGAACUAAUGCGGAUGGAAAAACAUGGAUUUAUUUCUUUAUGUCACAUGUUUCGAGAAAAAGGAUGGCUUGUUGACAGUAAACAUUUGAAUGUUGAAGAAAAAAUGGUCAUGUUUCUUAUGACUAUUAGUCAUAAUCUUCGGAAUCGAUUGAUUAAGAAUAGAUUCCAACACUCAAGUCAAACAAUUCACAAAUACUUCCAUGAGGUUUUAGUGGCCAUGGUGAAUUUCUCAAAAGAGAUGAUUACUCUUCCAUUAUUCAAUGAUAGUUCAAAUGGUAUCUCCAAUCGUCGGCUAAGACAAAUUUUUAAGGUAUAUUAUUUUUAUUUCUAAUUAUUCAUAUCAUAUUUGUAUUAUUCUCAUAUAAAAAUAAUUAUUUAUAUUUUAAGGAAUUAUUACCAUGUAGAAUGUUGUUGGUGCAAUUGAUGGAACUCUUAUCCAUGCAUGUAUUCCUACUAAUCAACAAGUACCUUAUCGAGGUCGUGGGAAAGGAGAAUGUUUUCAAAAUGUUAUGGCAGUUUGUGAUUUUGACAUUAUAUUUAGGUUUGUUGUUGUUGGAUGGGAAGGAACAACUCAUGAUUCAAGAGUCUUGACAGAAACUAUCCAUUACCCGCAACAUAAUUUUCCAAUGGCCCCAUCAGGUAAAUAUUUUAUUUUCAUUUUAUUUAAUAUAAUUUGUAUUUAUUCAUUAUAAUAAUAAACUCAAUCCUUUUUUUCUUCAGAAAAAUAUUAUUUAGUAGAUGCAGCAUACACACACACUCGAGGUUUUAUGGCACCAUAUCGUAAUGUGCGCUAAUAAUUGGUUGAGUGAUUUUCGUAGUGGUGGUAAAGCUGUAGGAAAAAAGGAGAUAUUCAACCAAUGCCAUACAAGAUUAAGAAAUGCCAUUGAAUGUGCUUUUGGUAUUGGGCGCAUUUCCCAGUAUUGAAGAGAAUGACACCUUAUUCGUUUACUACUCAAACAAAAAUUGUCAUGACAUGCUUCUCCAUUCACAAUUUUCUUCGACAAAUCUCAGUUGUGGAUAGAUUAUUUUCUAAAUAUGGCAAUGAAGUGGAAUUGGAAAGUGUUUAUGCAAAUCAAAAUCAAAACUCAACUACAAGCAGUUUUUUUGCAGCAUCUAAUCAAGAAUUCAUGCAACAAUUCUGAGACCAAAUCGCAAAUGAACUCUUUCAAGUGUUUAGUUAACUUGUCAUUUUUAGCUUUUUACCAUUGUAAGAAAUGCAAUGUUUAGAUAUUAGCAUAAAAUGUGAUGUCUUCGAAUAUUUGAAAAUAUGUACUUGAAUUGUUAUGUUUUUUCUUUAAUUUGAUUUAGGUUUUGUCAAUUCAUUAUUUUUCAUAUUAUUAAGUUUAAAUAUUUUAUUUUAAUUAUAUAAAAAAUAAAUAUAUUAAUUAUUUUUUGUAAGAAUGAUAAUGAUAUAUUAUUUAUUAUAACAAUUUUAUUAUUUUGAACUAUUUAGAAAUAAGUUAAAUUAUAUUUUUUUAAUACAUUAAAAUAUUAAGAUUUAGUUUUUAGUAUAUAAAAAAACAAACAACUUAAUACUUAAUAGAAAUAAAAUAUUAAAAAAAACAAACAACUUAAUACUUAAUACUAUUAAGUAUUAUUUAGUAUUAAGUUAAAAAUAAGUUCUAUUUAGAAUUAAGCAAAAAAAAAACAAACGCCACCUUAGUCUAAAGCUUAAAGAUAUUGCACCAAACAUAUAUAUAUUCAAAGUCAUCAUAUAAAUAAAAUAUUAAAAGGAUAUAUGAUUAAAUGAAAAAGUUUCAUUUAAUUGAUUACCAAAAAUGUAAAAACUAUUAUAAUAAAUUUCUUCAUAGUGUUUUUAAUAUCAUUAAUAGAUUAAUUAAAUAUUAAAAAAUUGUUCAUAUAUCACAAUUUAUUUUAUAUCAUUUAAUACAAUUGAAUUAAAUGGAUCAUAAUUUUAAUAUUAAAUAUAUUUUAAAAUUAGGUAUAUUAUAAUCAAAUAUCACAAUAUUAUUAUGAAAUAAUAUUUUAUGUAAUUUAAUAAUAAAUGUGCACUUAUAAAAUUCAUAUUUUUUAUUGACACAUACAAUAUUAUUAUCAAAUAUGAUAAAUCAUAUUAUAUAUAUAUAUAUAUAUAUAUAUAUCAAAAUCUUCAACAAAACAAUUUUUAAAUGUUUAUUAUACUUUUAAUUACAUUUUUAUGAAGUUUUCUUACAUUUCCAUGAAUUUUCAUCAAUUUUAGGCCCACCGAUAUUUUUUUUCAAAAUAUCCACCAAUAUAUCUCCGAUAUAUCCGUAAAAUUGAAGUACCAAUAUAUCCGUGAUUAUUGAUAUUUUCAUCCUUAGUGAUGAGUGCUACUAAAAGUUCUUUUAGCCAAUGGUAGAUUUUGACCCCUACUAAAAGUUGAGAUAAAAAUAAGGGAGUUUGAUAAGUUGUUUUGAAAAACAAUUUAAAAGUCAAAGAUAAAAAAAAAUAAAAAAACUUGUUAAAUAAAUUGUUUUUGAGAGUAACUUUUCUAUUUUGAUUUUAUAAAAAUAUUGUAAAUAUAAUUUAUUAAUAUUAAUUAAAUUUAAUUCAAGUCUUUCUAAAAAUGAAAUUAGUUUUUUUAAUUAUAAAUAGAUUUAAAAAGAAAUAAUUUUUAGAAAAACAUGAACAAUAAUAAUAUUAUAAUAAAAUAAAAAUAUUUUUAUUAAAAAAAACUAUUUUCGUAUAUGUUAAAAAAUUAUAGAUAUUAACAUCUUCACGAAAAUAUAAUUGAUUUCUUUUCUAUUAAAAAUGAAUAAUAAUAAUAAUUGUUAAUAAUUAUAAGUUUAUAUAGUAAAUUUAGUUGACACAUGCACUUCCAUUCAUCACUUAUUAUGAAGAAAAGUCAUAAACAACCUAAAAAAACUCCAAAUAUUACAAUUUCUAAAUGAGCCUGAUACAAUUCAAAUUUGAUUGAAGCAUUUAGAACUUGUUUUGAUGUGUUUUGAAGGUUAAAACUCGAUCACCAAUGGCUGAGUUUGAAACUAGAGUGAGUUUAAAAUCAAUUUCAAACUCGUAAGUGUGGGAAAAUGCUUAAUUUUGAAAUAAAAAAAGUUGUGAGUCCAAUGCUUUAAAUGAUGUGCAAACCAUAUCUAAAACGAGGAAGUUACUUGCAUUUGAAGUGAACUAGGUAGAAAAGAAUGUUGAGUUCUUGAUACCUUGAAUUUGAAAUAAUUUUUGGCCAUUUAGAACUCAGAGGAAUGCAAGGAUGCUUUGGCAAAGGCUAAGUUCAAACCCCUUUACCUAUUUCAAACAAAAGACGCGCAUUUUAGACCCGAAAACAUGGUGAAAUGGCUUGGGCAAUAAGUGAGUUAGAAAUUCAUAAUGAAUUUCGAACUCGCUUGAAUUUUGAAUUGAGCUUUUCCUAUACUUAUGAGUUCAAAAUUAACUUUGAACUUGCUCGAAAUACAAACUCAGUCAUUGAUGAUUGAGUUUUGAGCUCCAAAACACGUUAAAACGAGUUUUAAAUGCCUUCAUCCAAGUCAAAAUGCAUGAUACUCAUUUAGAACUCAUAAUAUUUGGAGUCUUUUAAGUUGUUGAUGACUUUUAUUUGUAAUAAGUGGCCAAUGGAAGUGUGCCACAUGUUAGGUUAUUGAAUUUAUUAUAUAAACUCUUUUAGUUUUAAGAAUGGAGGAUGAGAGAGGGAACAUAGAGAGGGAUUGAUCUCUCUUGUUGAAAGUCUUUAAUAAAGUUUGAGGUUUUUUUUUCUUUCUUUUUCCAUCUUUUUAUUUUAUUUCUUAGUAGCCAAACAUGGGUUGUGAGGAGAAAUCCUCCACCAUAUUUGGCUAACUUGAUUGAUCCAGAGAUGCUAGCAUGAAGGUGAAAAAUCCAAAGAAGAGUAGUAAGAAACGAUAAUGUAUGAAAUGGUUUGAUUAUGCUUACAAGUUUUAAUUGGUAGAAAUAAAUCUUCUAUGUUAGUUCCCCUAGAUAAAUUACAAAGCAUUCUUAUCAAGAGACUAGUGAUUCUUGGGAAUACCUUGAUCACUAAUUACUAUAACUUAAUCUUAUUAUUAGCGAAUUUAAUGAUCAAAUCUACAGAGAUAGAUAUAGGCUUUUUGAUUGAAUAAAAUUGAAAAUCAAAAUUAACCAUCAUUUUUUAAUUAGUUUAAGAGAUUUGUGUUUCAAAAAUAAAAAUUUAAUGAGAUUAAUGAAUGGUUUGCAUUACAAUUUAUGCAUCUUUGGUCCUAUCAUUGUGAGUUGUUUUAGGAAAUGAUAUCGUAGAUUAUUACCCGAUACUAGUGAUUCUUUGUAACUCCUGAUCAUUAAUUAUUUUUAUCUAUCCUAUCAUUAUCUGCCUCAAAAUAAAGCUAAAAGGAGUAAUAAGGGUUUAAAAACCUAACCUUGAACUAGUAAUCAAUCUCAUUCACUUGAUGGUUUUAGAAAUCUAUUUCAAAAAGGAAAAAUCUAAGUUUUGGAUGCUAUAUUGAUCUUACAAUUAAAUUUAGCCAUGGAUUCACUUUGAUCCUAAAACUUAGGUUUUGUAAUGCUCUCUCUCUAAGGAUUUGACACUAGAUUGUGAAACUCUCUAGGACAUUCUUUCUUUUGUUUUAUUUUAUUUUAUUUUAUUUCACUAAAUAUUUUAAGAAAUCCUUAUUCAUAUUUUAUCAUUAUUUAUUUAAUUUGAUGUUUCAUUAACUUUAGUAAAUAAUUAACCAUUCUAACCUAAAAACAAUCGAACACAUUAGAGUUGAUCCUAGAAGAUGAUAACAUAAAUACUAUAAAACUGUGGUAACUAUAUCUAGCUUUUCUUGGGCAAAGUUACCACAUAUUUACACUUAAGUAUUUUUUUUACAAUAGAAAUUUUCAGUUAGUUAUCUAGGGAGAAAGCUCCCCCUCAAUAGGUGCAUUGAAUAUUAAGUUAAUUAGACUCAAAACUAACUGGACAAAAAUACUUAAAUUAAAUGAAAUGAUCAUUCCAAAAUUAGUUAAGUAUAGACCAAUGCUAGCUAAGAAGAUCAAGAAUCCCAUGAAUAGCAUGUAUAAUCCAUGAGAAUCAUAUAUAAGCCAUAUAUGCAUAUAUCAAGUAGUAGUGAAUGGAGUACAUGGAAAUGGUAAAAACAAAGCACAUCCGACAUAAUAGCAAAAUAUGAUGUCUAAAAUACAACAUCUAGAGUAACAUCAAACAUGUCCAGAAUGCCUAUAUGAGAAUAUCUCCCCGUUUGGUAACAUAAAGUAUAAAGGAGAAAUCAUUGCAACUCAAAAUCAAGGUUAGGAAUGUGGAGGUAGAAAGACCAAACGAAGAUGGUUCAUCAUCUGAUCGUAUUAAGCCUAAAGAUGAGUAGUAAAAAGUACCUGACACUAAUCUAACUGAAUAGUUAAAGUCGUCUCAUACUGAUCCAUAUGGUCCUUAAUCAAAUAGAAACAAGUACUAUUCAUGAGUAGCUCCUUUACCUAAGUACUGAGCGAACUAAUUUGUGCUGAUAUAUCUACCUAGAGUUACUAAUUAACUAAUGGAGAUGAGUGUGGUGUAGUAAACAUAACAACUGAAGCCGAACACAUCUUAGUGAAGACAAGAUUAGAAUGGAAUGUCUUCUUAGUAAGUAUUGUUGGCUCAUGUUGAAAGGUUUAAAAGGUUGCUUUUGGCUACUCGGUAUGGAAAGGCUCCUCAAUCUACAUCUCCUUAGUCCCAUUGCCCUAUGAGAACUCUUUACCCUUCAUAUCAAGUUCCUUGAUUUCCUCCUCAGCAUAGUCCUUACAAACCUUCUGUCCACCCCUCUUGUGAACCCAGGACCCAUCAAUAAGGUGCUCAAAGUGCAUAUGACCUAUGGAUUUCACAUUGUAAAUAUCAUAUGCUCUAAGAGGUUUAAUGUCAUUCGUAGUCCUUAAAUCCACAUUGAAUGCCUUCAAAAUCUAAGUCAAUAGGCAUCCAUAGUAAAGUAUCUUAGACUUAAUCUCACAACACUUCAUUAUGUGCUAAAGAAUAAUGAAUCCAAGAUUGAUUCUCUUAUCAACUAGGAUGGAAUCAAUCAGAAAAGCUCAUAAUAGGAUACCUCAUCUUGAUGUCCUCCUUUAAGAAUAAAUAUAUGACUAAUCAUGUGAUCUAGGACUCGACUAAUCAAUGUGAGAACAUGAACAUGAGGCUUGGUAGUUGUAGUGUCAAAUAGAAGAUUACAUAACUUUUUUUUCACAAAUCAGAGGGUUGGUCGAGUCCAUCAACUCCUCUUGUAUUUGAAUGUUGUGGUCGUUUGGGCGAAUGUACUAUAAGGCUAGGGUGUACACCUUUCCUGACAGCAAUUGCUUUUAGGAGAGCUAGUAGCAUCUGAAGUCCUAUAAGUGGUAUCAGAGUUAAGCCUCUUGUUUAAGACUUAACCGUUUAAGAGGAAACGACUAAUUUAUCAAGUUCAUCUCAUAUUGAAAGUUUUGCAACCAAUAGACCUCCAUUUUUUUUAUAGGAACUAAUUAUUCCUAUUGGAAAAAAAAUGAUUUGGUUUUUAAAAUCUACUAAUCUUGAUCUAUGGGAUAUCAUUGAAGAUGGUCCUCACAUUCCUUCAAAAUUAUAAAAUGGAGUGAUGGUUCCAAAACCUAAGCAAGAAUGAGGUGAACUUGAUAAAAAAAAAAUUCAAUUAAAUGCCAAAUAUGUUUAUAUCUUUCAUUGUGCUACUAAUAGAAAUGAAUUUAAUCAUGUUUGACAAUGUAAAUUGACUAAAGAAAUUUGGAGACUAUUGGAAAUCACUCAUGAGGGAACCAACCAAGUUAAAGAGUUUAGAAUCAACAUCAUUGUGCAUUAUUCUAUGAAGGAUUUUGAAUCUAUUAUAGAGAUGUUUUCUAGGUUCAUGGUGAUUGUGAAGGAACUUUAAGCCUUGGGAAAGACCUACACCGAAGUAGAGAAAAUCAUGAAGAACUUAAGGUCUUUACCAAAGAAAUGGAAAACAAAAGUAAUGGCUAUUCAAGAAGCGACAAGAAUGGGAAUAUAUAUAUAUAUAUAUAAUAGAGAACAUAGCUCUCAAAGCUACAACCAAGGAAGAAGAAGAAGUUGAAGAAGAAAAACAAAGUGAAGAAGGUGAAAAGUUAGCCCUCAUCACAAGAAAGUCUAACAAGUUCAUGAGGGGUGAAAGGUUUAGAGGAAGAAGGUUCACUUCCAGAAGAGACUCUUCUAAAAAGGAAUCUUCAUCCCAUGGUGACAAUGAGAGAUGGGAGGAGAAAAGAGACUUGGUAUUCUUCAUGUGCAAGAAACUGGGACACUUUAAAUAUGAUUGUCUUUUCUACAAAAGUGAAGCCAAAAGGAGAAAGAAGAAGGCAAUGAUGACCACUUGGAGUGAAAGUGAAGAUGAAUCAUUCGAAGAAAUGAGAAAAAAGUGGCAAACAUAUGUUUCAUGGCAAUAGAUGAACUUGAUGAGGUAAACUCUAACAUUAGCUAUGAGGGUAUACAUUAUGCUUUUGAAGAAAGUUCAACAACUUGAAAAAGAACUUGGAGAAGUAAACGGAAAAUUUUCAAAUGUUUAAGAUUCUAAAACUUGUCUUGAAAAAAAGAAUGAGAUUUUAAGAAAGAAAAAUGAAUGGUUGACCUCCUCUCUUUCAAUUUUUUCUUGUGGACAAGAAUAUUUUGAAAUGAUCCUAACUAACCAAAAAUGUAUUUUGACAAACAAGGGUUAUGAUUCAAAUCUUCAAAAAAUCAAAAGUGUUUUAAGAACUAUUUUGUAAAGGAAUCCACAAGUGUCAAUCCUUCCACCACUUGAAACUUUUGUGGAAAAGAAUGACACAUUAGUAGCACACGCCUUUUAAGAAAUGGUUCUCAAAAGAAUUUACAUGCAAAAGCUAAAAAGAAUUGGGUUGAAAAAUUCAAGGUCACUAACCCUCAAGGACCUAAGAAGACAUGGGUACCUAAAUCAACUUGAGUUAUGUGUUUUAGAGUUCAAAGAAGCAUAAGUGGUUCUUGGAUAGUGGAUGCUCAAGACACAUGACCGGAGAUGAAUCCAAGUUUGCUUUUCUUUCAAAGAAAAAAUGAGGAUAUGUUUGUUACCUUUGGAGACAAUGAAAAAGGAAAAAUCAUUGGUCAAGGCAACAUUGGUAAUGACACAACCUCAUUGAAAAUGUUUUACUAGUAGAUGUUUUAAAACAUAAUCUUUUAAUCAUUAGUCAACUUUGUGACAAAGGUUUUAAAGGGAUUUUUGAAGCAUCUCAUUGCAUUACAAAGGAUAUUCAAAAUGACAAUAAUCUUCAUGGGCCAUAGAUGUGAUAAUGUUUACACUAUAAAUAUUUCAAAAUAUGAUGGUCAUGAUGUUUUUCAAGCAUGCAUGAUCAAAGUUGGUUGUGACAUAGGAGAUUGGGACAUGCUAACAUGGACCUCAUUUCCCAACUCAAUAAAAAUAAAUUUGUUAGAGGUCGUCUCAAAAUUAUUUUCAAAAAGAUAAAAGCUUGUGAAGCUUGUCAACUGGGAAAACAAAUAAAAAACUCUUUUAAAAACAAAAACUUCAUUUCCAUAACUAGACAACUUGAGUUAUUGCAUAUGGAUUUAUUUGGUCCCUCUAAGACACCAAGUCUUGGAGAAAAGUCUUAUGGUUAUGUUAUUGUCAAGUGGGCACAUAGCUUGAUGGUCAUUAGUAGAGUGCUACAUCAUAUGUUAUGCUUCAUUUUCCUACCAUGGGGUGGGCACCGAGAUGAGGUUUCCUAUUACAAGGCAUUCCUUAUAGAUUCCAUUUUGACUAGGAGACAAAUCCAUUUAGGAUAUCUGAUGAUGAUGCACAUGAUUGCAUGUUGCGAGAACACAACUCGAGUAUUCCCCUAUGGUCGCUACCUUUCUUGAGUAUUCAAGGAUAAAGGCAUUAACCUUAGUAAAGAGACAGAAUUUGAGGUCCCUAAUACAUAUGAGACAUUGAUGAUCAGUUUAUGGGGGGGAUGACAUUUGAGAAGGCUCCAGAUGGUUCUUGGAUUAGAAAAGCAGAAAGAACACAACCACGGGGAUAGGGAUAGACACACUUUGGAGUUGAGGAAGAGACAGAGAUUAGAUAGAUGGAGGGUGGAGUAAACCCUCAGGGUGGCAUAGACCUUCAGAGUGGCCACCAGCAGAAAGGGCCUGAGCUUGAUAUUCCCCCACUUCAGACAGAGAUUCUUUCACAGACUGAGGGUUUUCAAUUUGAGUCCACUUUCUUUGAGCCGAUUAUGACAUAGCAUACUUUUAUAGAGGGGCCAUCUACUUAGUCAUCAUACAUCGAACCCUCCUUAUUUGGACUAGUAUUCAUCGAGCCCACCUAUAUUGAGAUACUACCUCCUCAGACACCUCCUGCUCCUAACCAUGUUCCUUAGAUAGAUUUAUCGGCUCAAAUUAACUCCCUUAGUACUCGUAUGGAGGAGCUUGUAGUGGUCAAUGAUACACAAUUUUACUUUAUGGAGGAUAUAAUGGACUAGUAUCAGAUUGGGUUCACUACUCAGUUUGAGUAUCUCUAGUAGAGGAUUGAUCACAUGGAGCAGAGGAUUGAUCACAUUGAGGAUCACAUGGAGCAUCAGCAUAAGGAGAUGAUGACCUACUUGCAUUUCGUGUUUCCACAUCCAUCUCCUCAACCUUGAUGACUAGUUGGGAACCCCCUUAUUCUUUUUUUAUGUUGCCAAAGAGUGAGAUAGUUUAGGAUCUAGGAAGAUCUAGGAAGGUAGAUAUAGAAGACUCAUAAUCAUACAUGCAUAUCAUUUUUUUGUUUGGAUCAUAUAUUGCUUAUCUCUAAUUACUUUAGCUUGUUGGACAUAUAAUGUUCUGACUGAUACAUUUGACAUGAAAUAUGAUAUGCUUAUAUAUUUGAUGACUUACAUUAGAUGUUCCUUGUUGCAAUACUUUCUAACAUGUCUUGAUCAUCGUGUUUUUAAUUUCUUAAAUAUUGAUUGUUGGUCCAUGAUUGGUUUGAGGGGAGAUUAUUUUUUUCCUAGAUAACCAAGGUUUUUCAUCACAAAAAAUAAGAGAUUGUUAGCCCAAGGAUUCUCAUAAUCAUGUUUUGAUGAUAACAAACCAUGAUUAAGUUGCUAAUUGGUUUAAAUUAUAAAGAAUUUUAGAUAUUAGUUUGAAAAUUCAUCAAAUGACCCAAUGGAUGUAAGAUCAAGGAAAUUGGAAGACCUUUAAUCAUAAAAAAAAACAUAUGUAGGAUGAAUGCAUUGUUGCACUUAGGAUUUUCAUAUUUUUUUCAUGCAUCUUUAAAAACUCAGUUUAUGCAUUAAAGUUACAUUUCCAUCAAAACUCGAGUUUUACCAAAUGAACCUUAGGCAAAUCAUUUCAAAAUUGACAUAAUAAUUAACCUAAAGACCUUGAUUAAGUGUUAGAAGAGAAAAUAAUAGAAAAAUAUAGGUUUUUGGGCCAAAAAUGGUGAACCAGUUGAGGUACUAGCCAAUCGACUCAAUUGGCUAGGGUACUGGUUGACCGGUUACACCUAUCCGGUCGAGGUCCGGUUGAGAAAUACAAAAAAUCUUUUCUCUAUUCCAGAAUGCUUGUUUAACCGGUCAAAGUUUAACCUCAAUUGGUCAAGGUUGAACCUCAACCGAUCGAGGGGCGGUCAAACGGCGAUCGAGGUCCAACGGUCACCUACCAAGCAUUAAAUGCUAACGACUAGUCAACCGGUUGAAUCGAAACUCGAUUGGACGAACCCCUAAUGACUAGUUUGGCAUUUUUCCUCUAUAAAAAGGCUCAAAUCUUCAUUAUUUCAAGAGCUUAACCUUCCUAAACAUUUCUUGAAUAUAUUUGAGCCUCAUGAGAGUGUUUUUGAGUGCACAAUUGUUCUAAAACUUGCAUAUCAUUAGUGCACCAUUCAAUCCUAAUUUUUCUUGUACAUUUGAGCCUAAAGUUUUGCAUUGGGAUUUUAUGAGAUUAUUUCUUCAUUUGUAAAUCUUUGAAAGGAAAAAUCUAAGUGUGAGGUAUCACUUAAGGGGCUAUUCAAGAGUGAGGUAUCUCUUGAAGAUUGUAAAGGGUGCUUGGAGCCUAAAGUCCAAGAGGGUGGAUUGGAACCAUAAUCCAAUUGUAUUGCUUGAAAGCUUGGUUUGGAAGCCUUGAAUUAGUGGAACCUCAAGCUUAGGAUUGAAGGUAGAGGAGAGUGGAUGUAAGCUGGGUUGCAUCGAACUACUAUAAAAUUUUGUGUUUGCAUUCUCUUUUCCCUACUCUUUUACUUUAUAUGCAAUUUGUCUUUAUAUUAUUUUAUUAUAUAUUUGAAUAUAAUUAUCUCUUGUAUUUACAUAAUUUAAAUUUGUAAAAAAAAAAACCAUCAACCUAUUCACCCCCCCUCUAAGGUGAUUAUUUUAGGUUAGAUUAGCCCAAUUUUUAUAACACCUUUGUAUAACUUUACCAACAUCAAAGUAAUCUUGGCUCAACCACCCUUUCGUCUUAAAGAGACAAUGUAGCUUUAUAUGAACUCCUUUGACUAGUGAAAUGAUUGGGCCACCCAUCUCAUAUCGCAUGUUUGAAUAUAACAUGUAUACCAAGGUCAGGCAAAAAAACUCUCAACAAGUCACCACAGAUAGCUAUCACAUCCUGGCGAAUAACUCCUCAAAUUGAAAAUAUGAUAGUUAGCCAAAAUAAAUAUUACAACUCGGAACCACCAUCUAGGCUGCAAACAAAUGAGUGUAUCAUUGGUAGUACUCCUCCAUGGAUGCUAAGCUCUAAGUGUUAAAUCAAGCUUUUCUCCUAGCCUCAACCUUAAAACUCUCUAUAUAUAGGACACUUGCCUUAGACCUUUGAUGUUGUAGUAACUUUCUGGGGAGCCAUGACACUUUAGUACAUUCACAAGAAUAAGGGGAAAAGUCCAAGAAAGUGAAAAAAAAAAAACAAAGGGAAAAGUGGAAAACGACCACAGUUCAAGAAAUGAAAGGUAAAAACAUAGAGUUCCAAGGAAAUAUCUCUCAAAAUGGCCUACAUAAGAGUUUUAGAGAAACCUUAAAGAGAGAAAUUAGUUUAGACCCUUAGGGUUCAGACCCUCUGCUGGUUGAGCAAUUGGUUCAACUGGUCCUUAAUCGAUUGAGGCUUUACCUUAACCAACUACACCACAACUAUUGUAUAUUAAGGGUGCACAAAGUGCGUCAUGAUGAGUCAAUGCCCAAUUGGCUCAACUAGUUCAUUGGGUCCUCAAUUGGUUGCAAUGUGAAGUGCUUAAGAGACUCAAUUUGAGGUAUGGAACCUUUAGAAACUUGUGUAAACCUUCUUAAAGAUAAGUUUAAAAUGAAUUUGGCUUAAGGUUUUAAUUUAAAACAAAAAUUUAUCCAAUGCUUUGGUAAAAAUGAUCAUUUUAAGUCUAAGGAAGGAUGAAAUUGAAUUUUUAAGUGCAUGAAAAUGAUUUAGACAUUUGAAAGUUGAGUUUAGGUUUGGGUAUUGAUCUUCUUCCAUUAUUCUUUGGGUUUUCUUUGAAUUUUUGUAAGUAAACCUGAAAACUUAAUUUGAUCUAAAUCAUUAGUAACUUUAGUCUUAUUUUGUAAUCGCCAAAAUUCAAUUAGAAUAACCUUUGAGCUAACACCUAUGGUGAUAGCAAAGACAAAGUUAUCUUGCUUAUGGAUAUAUAAAUGACCUUGAUAAAAGGGCAUUUGCAUGUUGUAAAAAGGUAGUAGCAACCAAGGGUCUUUGAAUGAGUCAAGGGACAAGUGACAAAUGACUAAAACUUUCAAAUAUGCUAAAGCCAUUUGAAACUAAAACUUAAGUUUCAAUUUAAAAGAGUUUGAAUUUGAAUUGAACGUUUGUUAUGAACAAACAGACAUUGUCACCAAGGUUUGUUGAAAUAGGCUUUCACUCACCCCUAAGGCAAGAUGGGUCUCCGUGCACUAGCAUUCCCACUUAGCUUGAGCGAGGUGUUAAUGAAGAUAAUCUUAGUAUUCACGAAAGAACAUGAUUGACAAAUCAUACCAACUCAAUAACCACAUUUAUCGACAAUUCAACCAAGAUUAUAAAAAACAAUUCAAUGUAGCAUGUGCUAAUUCUAUUCUCUUUACUGUUGUUAUCAUGAUAUGUAUUCAAUGUAUUUUCAUAAUUUUCCUUUUAGUACAAGAACUUGUUUGUUUAUACAAAUAAGAUUGUACAUUCUUGAUAAUAUAAUUUAGAGCUUCCAUAACCAAAUUCUGAAAAAACUUUUCAUUAUUUCGUGUUAUGAUGGAUUACUGCAAAACUAACUUAUAUUUUAAUAUUUUUUCUAGUUUUUUUUUUCCUUUUUUUUUAAUAAUUUGGUCCAUUAUGUUUUAUACUUUUAAAUUUUCAUGUUAAAAAUUGUUUUAUAACUUGUUUGAUUUAUUUUAACCAAAAAGUUAAAUUCUAAAACCCCUUUACAAAAAAUGUAUGUUUGAUUUUUUUUCCUAUUUAGAAUGUAAGAGCAUUUAAAUAUUAAAUCAUCUUUUUAAGAGCACUUAACAAAAGUAUGUUUUUUCAACUUGAAUAAAGCUUUGAUAUUCCAAUCAACUUCUAUCACAUUUUAAGAUUGGCCAUAAGGAACGUAGUGUUCUUCUAGGUAAGUUGAUUGUGUAAAAUGGUUGCAUACAUACGAGACUUUAAUUUCGUAUUGAAGAUUUUUUUUUUUUUUAAUGUGAUUUAGGUUUAUUUGGAAAUAUUUUUUAAAACAAUUUUGAAAAAAAAAUGAUUAUUGAAAAUAGUUUUCAAAAAAGGUAUAUGGUAUUUUUUUUUUUAGAAUAAAAGUACUGUAGACCUAUUUUUUUUUUUUUAGUUUUGGUUUUCUUGAUAUAUUUAUUUUUUUUAGUCUUUCCCGCCACUUUGGGGAGCACCCGGAAGAAGACAUUUGGAUUGGGGGACCGGCUUCUAAAAAACUCCAUGCAUGAGGCGCGUGGCUGUGGAGAGGACUACAGCCAUGGUGGUGGUUGGGACUACACGGAUGCUGAAUAGGGAACAGGAGAGCAGGUGCUAGCUUUCCGGAUCGGGAGAGGGAGAAAGGGCAGGAAGGAGGCUGGGGGGGAGAAAGUCUAGCGAUGGGGGGGUAUAUUUUUUUAGAGAGAAAAGCAGGAGAGAAGAGGCAUUUCAGGGAGGGGGGGAAGAGAAGAGACUUCCAGAUCAGAGCUACAUUCUUCCUGCUUCUCUUAGCGGCGGUCCAGUCGUGGGUCCCGGUGGCUGGAGUCGGACUUCCCAGAUGUCGAAAAUGUAUGUUACACUUGAUGUAUUUAUCUCAUUCAUUUUAUUAAUUUAUUGGUUUUGAUUGUAUGAUUAAUAUGUUUAUGUUUUCAGUUUUUAUGCUCUUAAUAUUUAAGCCUAUAUUUUAAUUUUUUUAGAUAUUUAAGGGGUGGGAAAAUUGGUUUUGUAAGGCCCUGUUCGGCCUAGAAGAACAGGCUGUUAUAAAAAUUCAGCCGUGGUCACUUGGGCAUUAGGAUGUGUGCGGGCUAUGGUGAGAGCUCAAGCUCAGCACGCAUGGGACAGGUCCAGAUUAUUGGAUCAUCACGUUCAAGUGGCAAGCCUUCCCAUUUCCACCACCUGUCCAUAAUGAUGGACACUCCAUCAUGAACUCUUUGACUUAACCCAGACAACAUGGAAAAUUGAUUCACCACAACCUUUUUUUUUUUACUUAUUAUUUAUUCAUUAUUUCUUUACAGCUUGAUAUCAAAAUAUUUUUUUCAACAUUCCAAUUUUCAAGAUUUAAUCCUCGAAGUUUCCAUUUUUAAACAAUUUUUUUUUUCAAAAUUCCAAUUUUCCGACUUCCCAAAUUUAGAGCCCGUUUGAUAGUGAUUCUAGUGGAAGUGUUUUUAUUUGAAGUGUUUUCUGUUAUAGUGUUUCUGUGAAAAACACUUUUAUGAUAAUCAGAAAAAAUGAUUCUAAAGUGUUUUUGAUAAUAUAUUGUAUAAAUAUAAAAACACUUUUAAUAUUAAUAAAUUACCAAAAAGGACAUACAAUUUUAAUUAAAAAAAAUGGUAUGAUAAACAAAAAAAACUUUUUAUUAAUGAAAAAACAUCUAAAUCACUAAAAAAAUAACAUUGAAUAAAAGAUAAUUUUAAAAUUAAAACAAUAUAUGAUUACCUAUUAAUUUCUAAAAAAAAAAAGAAUUUUCUAAUUAAAAAUAAUAAUUUUUUUAUCACUAUACUAAAAUUUUAAAAAAUAUUUACAAAAAACAUCUAAAUCAAUAAAAAAAAAAAGAUUGAAUAAAAGAUAAUUUUAAAAGUAAAACAAUAUAUGACCACAUAUUAAUUUCUAAAAAAAAAAAAAGAUUUUUCUAAUUGAUUUAUCACUGGGGGCAUUUUUGGAAUAUUUCAAAAAAAUUGAAGUGUUUUUUAAAAAAAAACACCUGUCAAGUGAUUCUCUAAAAAUCACUUCAAGUGUUUUUCCAGAUUUUCAAAAGUGUUUUUUUAAAUUUGCCAAACACUUUAUUUUCAUCCCAAAAACACUUAAAAGUGUUUUUAAAGGUAGAAACACUUUUAAAAAUCACUGUCAAACGGACUCUUAAUCUCCAAUUUCAAAAAUUCCACUAUUCACAUUUAUUUAUUUAAUUAAUUAUUAUUUUUAUUAUUAUUAUUAUUAUUAUUAUUCCAUUUAUUUAUUUAUUUAUUUUUAAAAUUUCAUUUUUAAACAAUUCUUUAAAAUUCCAAUUUUUAAAUUUAAUUCCAAUUUCUAAAAUUCCAAUUUUUAUAUCAAUUUAUUUAAUCAUUAUCACUUUAUUUAUUUGUUUAUUUGUUUAUUUUUAAAAAUUCAAUCUUCAAAUAACUCUUCAAAAUUCCGAUUUCUAAAUUUAAAUUUCAAUUUUCGAAAUUCUAAUUUUCACAUCAAUUUAUUUAAUCAUCAUUAUUUUAUUUCUUUGUUUUAAAAUUCCACCUUUAAACAAUUAUUCAAAAUUUUGAUUUUCAAAAUUUAUUUCCAAAAUUCCAAUUCAAAAAUUUAAUUCCCAAGACUCCAAUUAUCAGAUAAUCUUCAGGACUUCAAUUUUCAAAUAAAUUUCAAAAAACCAGUUUUCACUCGAACAGUUUUAAUUCCACUUUGGUUUUCAAAUAAUCUUCUUUUUCUCUUAAUUUUAUAUAAGCAUGAAUGUCAUUUUCAUAAUUGUGGAACAAUGGAAUUUGUGAGAUUAAUUCGUGCAAGAUCAAUCGGGCUUUGGUGGGGCCCCACAUACGUGAUUUUAUGAUUGAUUUAUUUAUUUGUUGAUUUGUUUGUCACGCGCGAUUGAUUUAUUCUGCUCUAUGACAUGCUAGAAAUUAUUCCUAAAUUGUGCACUAACCCCUCUAUUGAUAGCGCAUGGUGGAUCGUUGCCCAGGUAUGUACCCAUUUUCCCUCUAAUCAAUGUAUAUGCAUGUCCCGAUUCUCAUAUGUGCAUGAUCACUCCGAGUAUUCAUUGAUUCCAUCAUCAAUUGUCAUGAUUGCUUCAUUUUAUUAGUAGAGACCCGACUUUAGGGACUUAGAAGGGUGCUACGGUCUUUACCGUACCUUCCCGAUAAGUAACCUGACCCCCGAACCCGAUCUGCCCCGAACCCGAUCUGGUUUUUCGUAGACCACAUUUUCCAAAUAAGGAGUCACACUUAAGGUUUUUCUUUCUUAUUUUGUUUACCCUUUAAUAAAACAAAAAUAAGUGGCGACUCCAAGUCAUUUUUUUAACCAAUUAAAUCAUUUUUCAAAAUAAAAAUCGAGCUCGUCAUCGAGUGGGAAACGCAUCAGCACGAAAUGCGGGGUCCACAAGUACAUUCCAAAACUUAAAAUACUCUUAAUUUGUUUUUUUGUAUUUGGAAUUUUUUCUUAAAAAUAAUUUAAAUAGUUUUUAAAAAUAAUUAGAAUAUUCUUAUUUUCAAUCAUUCUCUAUAUUUUUCAAUUAUUUUUAAAAAUAAUCCAAAAUAAUUAAAUAUAUAUAUAUAUAUAUAUUUAAAAUACCUUAUUUUUGGAACUAGUUUUCAAAACACUAAUUUUUAUUAAAAAAAUUAUCAAACUUCUUUUUGAAUUUGAAAAAUAUUUUAUAUUUAAUAGAAUAAAAUAUUAAAAAUAGUUAUCAAAUUACUAACUUUUGUUUAUUUUUUUCAAUGUUUUUAGAUGUCAUUGAUAAUAUCGUAAAUAUAUAAUUUAUAUAUUUUUUAAAUUUUAAAAUAUAAAAGUUAGAAUUUUAAAUAUAUUUCAUCAUUUCAUCAUUAAUACUGAUAGAUUAAAUUAUGAUAAGGAUAACAUGCAUGAAGAUUUGUUAAAAUUUUAGUACUUCUAAUGUUAUUAAACAUAUUUAACUUAUAAUUAUUUUUUAAAAUAGUAUUUUAUUAUUUAAAGUUGUUUAAAUUUUAAUAGUUAUAUAUUUUAUUAUUUUCAAAACAAUUAGUUGUUUAUUUAUACUAUUUUGAUGUUUAUUAUCCUAUAAUAUUUGAUAAAUUACAAAUCUUUAUAUUUAUUUUUUAAGUUAUGAAAUUAUAUUACAUAUAUUUUAAAUACAUUUAUAUACAAAAAAGUUGAGACAUCACAGUGCGACACCCUUGUCUUUUUCCCAAUAAAGACCCAAUUAAAUCCUCAUUCCUCAUCCUUCCAUGCCUUUUAAGCAGGUUCGUCGAUUCACCCGAUUAGGUGAACCGAACCAGGUUAAGGUCCGGGAUUUAGGUUUGAUCCGAUUUUUAAAAUAUAGACUGAACAAAGAACCGUCCUUAUCCUCUUUUCCCUUUACAUACGGCAUAGACCUUUUAGGCGAAGACUUGAGUCCUUUGCCAGAUUUAAGUCGUGAAGGUCUACAGAUUCAGUCUCCUAAGAAAUUGGGCAUGAAUCGCAGCCACCAUUCUUGACUUUUUGCUUUGUUUCUCAUGAAUGCGCAUGUACUAUCUAAUCAGACUGGGGACAACACAUUUACUACCAAUUUGCCCGGGAGACUUGGAUUGUUGGGUCAACGUUGGAAUCCAAGUCUACUGCAAAAUAAUAUAAAUAUUAUAAAUAUAAAUCUGAACAAAAUAAGUACAUGGUGAUUUUUUUAUAUUUAAAAUAAAAUAUUAUAUUACAAUCAUUAAAUAAGUUUUAUUCAUUGGAUCGUUUUUAUAAGUAGAUAUAUUUUUAUAUUAAUAAGUAAUUCUUGUAUUACUUAUAAGCAUAUUAGACCGUGUUAUCGCACCAUUAUAAAAAAUAAAAAUAAAAAAUUAGACAAAAAAAAUGAAGGAAAAAAAAGGAUGAAAAAUGAAAAAAAAAAAAAAGGUGAUAUCACGUAGAAUAAAGGGUGUUUGUUAAAAUUUAAUAAGUUGACUUUAAGUUAAAUUAUAUUUAAAUUAUUAUUUAAUUCUUAUUUUAAGUAUUAAAAUUGUUUCAUAAAAUUAACUUAAAACUUAUUUUAAAUCAUCACAUUAAUAUAUUUACUCUCAUAAAUUAUAAUUAGAGUAAAGAAAAUUAAGUAACAGUGGAGAUCAUGAAAUGUUGAAGGAGAUCUUAAAGGUAAUUAAGAUAAAUGAGGGUAAAAAUAUCAAAUAAGAUGUGAAUUUAAGAAUAAGUUAAUUGUUUUUAUAUAUUAUUUGAAGUUGUGUUUUUUACUUAAAGUCAUACCAUUAAAUUAUUUUACCAAACACACUUAAUUUACUUAAUAAUUUAAAUUAAAUUAUUAAAUUACUUUAAUUAUUAAGUUGAUUUAUCAUACACCCUUUAAGUUACAAUAUGUUUAAAAUAUGACAUUAUAUAAAAUACAUUUUUAUUUUAUUUAUGAUAUCACAUGUAAAAACACUAUACAUAUAUCCUAAAAUAUAUUGUAAUAUUACCCCUUCAUACUAAUAUAUCUCAUAACAAAUGAGAUAUAUGUCAUAUAACUGUUGGUUAUAUUCUUUUUACAAAGUUUUUAAAUUUGACCAAAAACUCAAUAUCAAGCAAAUUUUUUUUAAAGAUUUUGGGUCUAUUUGGCAAUUGUUUUAUAUAACAGAAAUAUGUUCAUAAGAAUAGAAAAACAAAAAAACACAUUUGGUAAUAAAAAAUUAUUUUCUAUUUCGGAGAACAAAAACAAAAUGUUUUUAGAGAACAUCUUUUAAUUGUUUUCUAAGUGUUGUUUUUUUAAAAAAAAUUAUACAAGCAUAUAGAAUAAUUAAAAAUAAAAUAUUUGAUAUAAAAAUUAUUUUUAAAAAUAUUUAAAAAAAAGUUAAAAACAUUUUAAGUCUCAAAUAGACUUUUAUUUUACAAAACAUCUUAAAACAACUUUUAAAAAUAAUAUUUUAAAAUUAUUUGAAAAAACAAUUACCAGAACUUUAAUUUUUAAAAUAAUUUUUCUUUAACUAAAAUCUUUUUUAGGAGAGAAACUGAGGAAGAAAGGUAUGUGAUUGUAAUAAAGAGAUGAUUGAUCAUUUUGGUCAAUUAAAACACGGAAUUAUUUUGAAUAUUUGGAAAAUUGUGAUUUCUUCUAAGUUAAAAUCCCUACAUUCCUUCUCAGCAAAAACAACUGAAUGAUCAAAAACCAAUGUUAAAUCAACAUAAAUAUGAACACUUCUGUGGUAUAAAUAAAAUUUAUCUAAAAUAGUAUGAACAAAACAAAAGUUGGCAUGAGAUAUUUUUCUUCAAAAAAGAAAGAAAGAAAAAAGAAAAGUGCAUAAAAAUAAAUAUAUUACUUGUGAUGUCCACGAAUAGGGGAGAAAGUUUUUAACCAUGUAAACGUAUUACUCUCCUCAGUAAAUAGCAACUAUACAACUAUGACUGCUGUUAGAGUUCUCCGUAAAAGGACGUUGUCCAACGUAGUUGCCUGGAGGAUCAUAGUUGCAAGUGACAAACCACCCGCCACUGUUGCACUGAGCCCUAGCGCACCCAAGACGCAAUGAGUUGCGCCAAAUAACUUGAGUAUAGUGCCUGCAUUCCCCACCAACGCAGGAGUUGGAGUUGUAGUCAUAAUUAGUCUUCUCCCCCACCCACAAGUUCACUGCAUCGAUGCCUGUCAAUGAAGGGGAGCCCCAGGCAAGGUUCUCACCGUAAGGCCCACCUGAAUGCACUAGAUUGCAAUCGCCAAUCCUCUGGUUAGUAUAAUUUUGGGCGUAGGCAGCCACAGUGUUGUCCCAUGACAUAGGCCCAACACCAACUUCUGCACGCGCGACAUUGUGAGCAUCGAGGAAGUCUUGUGGAGAGUUUUGGGCAUAGGAGAUGUGAGCAAGGACUAACCCCAUGAAACCAACAACUAGUGAAGAUGAGAUCUUACACAACCCCAUCUUUUAGUUUCUUAAUCCGUGUAAUGCAAAGUGAGAGUUGAGAAAUGAGCAUAUAUGGUUUGAAGGGAAUGUGAAGAACUUGCAAUUUGGUCAGUCAAAAGCAUCAUUAAUAAAGCUUACAAGCAAUCUUUAGGCCACCAAAACUGGGCCCAUGGGCUGUUACGUGUGAAGGACGUUGAGAAAAGGAAAAUUCUACGAAGUGGGUACGUACCUCCAAAAUUCCUGGCCGUUGGAUCAAAAGAUUCCAAUCAAGACCAUCCAAAUGGAAAAUGGAUUAAAAUAAAAAAUGCAAAAGAAGGGUGCAAAAGGUUGCCAGUAGAUAUGCCCCCCUCUAUCUCCCCUCUCUCAAUUUUUGUCACACAUGUCAACAUCAAUUUCAAAAUUUUAAAUUAUUAAUUCUACAUUUGUUUUAUCUAUUUAUAACAAAUAUUACCUUAGAAAGUAAAUUUCAAUCAAUUAUUAUAUUUAAGUAAAAGUUAUUACUAUAUUUUGAUCUAUCUUACAAUGUUUCAAUAUAAUAGGAAAGUGCAAAUACAACUAUCCAAUUACAAAUGCCCUCCAAAAUUUAUUUAAAAUCUAUAGAUUUUUUUAUUUAUUUUAUUUUACUUUAAAUAUUAAUAAAAUUGUUAAUUCGUAUAAUUUCACUUAGAAUUCAUAAAAAAUAUGAGGAAAAAAUAAAAAUAAAAAAUAUUAAAAUUCUUACCCUCACUUAAUUUUAAGAAUUUUUUUUUUCAACUUCAAAUGCCAAUUAAAUUGUUUUUUCAUACUAAUUUCAAUUAGGAUUUUUGAUAAGUAGGAGGGUACAAAGAAGUGUUAUUCGUCAUUUUUAUCAAUUGUAAGUAUAAUUAAUAUUAAUAAGCACUACUAGUACUAUUUGAAGUGGACAAAAAUUGGUUAAAAUUAAAACAAAUGGAAAAUUUGGAGGUACAAAGAAUAUGGGGAAAAGUAUAGAGAAUGUGAGGAAUAAUAGUGUUUAUUCCUCCCAUUUUUUGUGCCUCUCCAAUUUUGUAAUUUUUCUACUUUUAAUUUUUUUUUUUUUUUUUUUUGUAGUAUUCAUACCCUCUCCAAUUUGGUAGUUUUUUACUUUUAAAAUUUUUUUAUUUAUAAUUUCGAUCAAAUUUAAGUAUAAUUAGUAUGAAUAAAUACUAAGAGAAAAAAAUUCUUAAAAUUAAAACAAGUGUAAAUUUGGAGGAUAUGAAGAAGGUGGGAAAAUAAUAUUCACAUUCUUCAUACCCUCCAAAAUUUUCACUUUUUUGAAUUUUAAGAUUUUUUUUCCACUUGAAAUAGUAAUGAUAUUGUAUAUUCAUACCAAUUACACUUUAAAUUUAUGGAAAUUAUACAUAGAAAUUUUAAAACUCAAAAUGCUUCAAAAUUAGGGAGGGUAUGAAGAAUAUGAGGCUCCAAAAUUUUCAAUUUUCUAAUUUUAAGAAUUUUUUCCACUUGAAAUAACAAUUAUAUUGUGUAUUCAUACUAAUUACACAAAUUUAAAACGAAAAAUACUAAAACAUUGGGGAAGGGACGAAGAAUAUGAGACCCUUUAGAUUUUUCAUUUUUUUGAAUUUUAAGAAUUUUUUUAAAAUUUAUUUUAUUUUUUAUAAUAGUUAUAAUUGUCAUUUUUUAUAUUAUUAGAAUAUAAUUCAAUUUUUCAUUAUUCAUAGCCUAAAGUUAUAUAAAAGAAAAAAGGGAUAGUAAAUUAAUAGAUGUCAAAACUCAUAUAGGUAGAAACUACAUAAUUAUUAUUCAUAACCAAAAGUUAUAUAAAUAAUAAUUGAGAAAAUAAAGGUUAAUCUUAAAUGAGAAAAACACCCAAGAGGGGGGUGAAUUGGGUUUUAAAUAUUUUUUUUUUAAACACAACAAAUUUAAACACAAGAGAAGCAAAUAAAAAGAGAUAGAGUUAAAGAGAUCAAAGUCAGAUUUUAUAGUGGUUCGACACUUCCUUGCCUACGUCCAGUCUCCUCAAGCUCCUAACUGAGUGAGGGUUCCACUAACUUGAAGCUUCAACCAAGUUUCUAAUCACCUUUACACUUGGAUUCCGGCUCUAAUGGGCUCUUACACAACCUCUUCAAGUUUCAACUCACUUGAAGGCUUUAACACUCAAUUUACAAGAAUGAAUCUCUCAACCUAUCUCAACAAUAACUGAAAUACAACUUAAGGCUAGGAUGAAUCACAAAGGUGCACUAAAAGAUAUGCAAGUGAAGAUUUAAUGCGCCAAGAAAGAAAUAAGAACUUUUAAGGCAAGAACAAGUGGGUAGAUAAAUAAAUGAAGGUGUUAUCUUGCUCAUAAAUGAAGUGGAGCUCUUUAUUUAUAGGUUUCUAACCUCGGGAGCCAAGAAAAUAAAAAAAGCAACCUCAAUCGAUUGAGCUAGGGGUCAACCAAUUCACUAGCCGUUGGAGCAUUAAAUGCUUUGGCAGGUUACCGUUGCUUCGACCGAAGGUCGACCGAGAAGGCAAAUACCUCGAUUGGAAAGGGGUGGCUAAUAGAAGAAAGAGAGUGCUUUCUGCACUCCUCGACUGGACCUCGACUAGGAAGAGGGAACCGGUCGACCGUUACCUUGGCCGAUUGAACCGGUUGGCCAAUGCCUCGACCGGUUCACCAUUUUUGGCCUGAAAACCUAUAUUUUUCUAGUCUUUUCUCUUCUAACACUUAAGCAAGGUCUUAAACUAGUAUGCCAAUUUUGAAGUAAUUUGCCUAAGGUUCAUUUGAUAAAACUUGAGUUUUAAUGAAACUGUAACUUUAAAUAAUAAAUCAAUUUUUUGAAAGAUUCAUGAAAUGAUAUGUAAAACUUAAGUGCAUCCAUACAUUCAUCUUACAUUUGUUUCCUAUGAUUAAAGGUCUUUCAAACAUCUUGAUCUUGCAUCCCUUAGGUCAUUUGAUGAAUUUCCAAAUUAAUACCUUAGAUUCUUAAUAAUUCAAACCAAUUAGUAACUUAACCAUAAUUUGUUAUCAUCAAAACUUGAUUAGGAGAGCCAUUGUGCUAACAAUAAUAUUAAUACUUUUUUUGUACAAAUUAAAAUUAUAUAUGGUCAAAAGUUAUGUAAUUAUUAUUCAUGAUUAAAAAUUAUGAAAAUAAUGAUAUUAAUAUAUUUUUGUUUUGUACUAGCCAAAAUCUCUGUCAAUUUUUUGUUCCUGAUUGAGAAGUAUUAAAUAUGAUCAUUGAUGUUUGUAACUUGAAUUAUUCUUAUUGUGAAUAUAAGUAUGGAUUUUUCAUUCGAAUUUCACAAUGCUAAAAAAUUCUAGCACAAUUGCAUCAUUAUAUGAAAUCUCUUUAUUUUUAAGAAUUUACAAUUUAUAGUUUUUAAGAUUUACUUAAAUUGUGCUUCCUUUUUAUUCUUUGUAGACACUAUAAUUCUUUUAGAGUGUGUUUGAUAGUGAUUUUACGAAACGUUUCUAAUAUUUUUAAUGCUUGAAAGAUCAAAAUUUUCAAAUGUUCAAAAAACUAAAAACACUUCCUAAAAUCCCUACCAAAAACACACUCUUAAUUAUUGAUAAAGUGAAGAGAGUGAAAAGAAAAUGUCUAUUUGAUGUUUUAAGUAUCCUUAAAAUAAAGAUAUACUAUUUAUAUAUUCUCUAUGCUAUUUACUAUUUAAUUCGAUUCUUUCUAUUUGAAACAUUGAAUUUUAUAUGUUUUAUUUACUAUUUAAUUCACUUCUUUCUAGUUGAAAUGAUGAAUUUUAUAUUUGGAUAAAAUAAUGAGAAUAAAUUAUUUUAUAAAGAUUAAAAAAACAAAAGAGAAGAAUUUGAAUAAGAUUGACUUUAGUUUUUAAACUCUACCAUAUUAUCCUUUUAUAAAAGGAAUUUAAUUCUAAUUAAACUCUUUCGAGUUAUUUCUUUUACUUUUUGAUAAUAAUUUAUUAAAAGACAUUAUUUUUCAAUUUUUUUUAAUCAACAUAUAAAAAGUGAAGGAGCCACUUCUAAUUAUAUCAAGGUUAAUAUUGUGGACCCCGCAUUUUUAAUGAUGCGUUCCCACUCGAUCGGCGAGACUCACUUUUCGUUUAUUUGGGUGAAAAAUAUGAUUUUUAGAAAAGACUUGGAGUCGCCACUUACUUUUAUUUAUUUUUAAAGGGGAAAACAAGUAAGAAUAAAACCCCUAAAUGGACUCCUGAUUUUUUUUUUGGAAAAGCUGUCUACGAAAAACCCGAGUCUGGGUUCGGGGAUCAGGUUACUUAUUGGGAAGGUACGGUAAAAACCAUAGCACCCUUCUAAGCCCCUAAAAAAUGGGUCUCUACUAAAUAAGGUGAACCAGACAUGGCAAUUAACUAGAAGAUCAAUAGAUACCAAAAUGAUCAUAGUUCAAAAAAUAAGUCAUGAUGACGAAAUGAUAAACGAAGUGAGAGUGAGAGUGUACUGUUAUGAAAAUAAGGUUAGUGUACAAUGACAAGUGUAAAAAAAUCUCAUACAAAACCAAAUCAAAAUCAAACAAAAUGGAGAGCACAACUUACUUGAAUUAUUUUUUGAAAAAAAUGUUAUGAAUGUCGGGCCCCCACCAAAGCCCAAUUAAUUUUGCUAUGAACUAAUUCUCAUAAACUCCAUCAUUUUGGAAUUAUGAAAAAUUAUUCAUUUUUAUAUAAAAAAAAAAUUUGAAAAGAGGAAUUUUGAAAAUUAAAUUUGAAAUUUCGGAAGCGUGGAAUUUUAUUUUAUAAAAAAAUGAGUUUGAAAAUUUUGGAAAUCUCUUUGAGAAUGGUAUUUCAAAAUAAAAAUAAAAAUAAAAAAAUAAAUAAUAACAAAAAAAAUAAUAAAAAUAAAUAAUUUUGGAAUUUUGGAAAAUGGGAAUUUUGAGACUGGAAUUUUGAAAAAUUAAAUUAAAAAAUUGAAAAUUUGGAAGGAUUAUUUUUGAAAAAUGAAAUUUCGGAAAAUUAAAUUUUAAAAGUUAUAAAUUUGGAAAAUUGGGACUUCGAGAAUGGAAUUUCGGAAAAUUAAACUAAAAAAAUGAAAUUUUGGAAAAUUAUUUCGAAAAUAGAAAUUUUUGGAAAAUUGGAAUUUUUGAAAAUCGAAACGUGAAGAUCAAAGUUUUGAAAAUUAUAUAUAUUUUUUUAUGUAUGAGAAUAAAAAUAAAAAUAAUAAAUAAACAGAUGGUACGUAGUCGGUGGGAAUGGGGGCCAAUCUUCACUAUUUUCCAAUAGCCUCCGAAAAUUGAAUUUGACAAAGGAUGACCAAAGUGAUAAACCGAAACCUUAGAUCUUACAAGCACUGAAACUUUAACAACAUUUAAUCUUAAGAUAAACUUAAUCAAGCACUAAAUAUUAUGUGACCUUUAAAAUAGUACAAACGAUACGUAUCAACUAAUAUUGACGAUUUGGAGUCAUAAAUUUAAUCGACUAACUAAACAAAUGAAUAAUAAAAAAACAAACACAUGAAUAAAAUUAAUCAAAAACUAAAAGGAACUAUUUUUUUAAGCACAAAAUGACAACAUCGAAUAGAUUAAACUAAUAGCAUACAAUUUGAAAGCAUAGAAUUAAUAGAAAAAUGGAAUUAAAAAAUCUUAACAUAAACUAAACAAUAUGAAACCAAUCGAAUUAAUUAAAACUCUAAAGAAUAUCAACUAAAGCAGGAUCAAUCAAAACUAAAAUAAUUCUUUUUCUUUAUUUAUUUUAAAACAUGAAUAUAUCAACGCGAAAUGGAAUAAAUUAGCCAACUUAAAUACUAAAAUUAAUAAACUAAAAGAAUGAAUCAUGAAUUAAAUUUAACAACCUUUAGAUAUGAAAAGAUGUGACAUGGAAUCAAUUGAACUAAUAAACUAAAUUUUAAUAACAUCUAAACUAAAAGAUAAAUUAAAAUUAAACUAAAAGAAAUUAUGAAUUUCCUAAUUGAGAACCAAAAUAGUGCCAAUCAAAAUUCUAAAUUUUUAACCAUUAUCACAAAUUAUCCAAACUCUAAAAAAUUCUAACUUUUCCAUUAUCAACAAAAUUGCCCAAACCAAUACUUGGAAAUAAUAAUAAUACUAAUAAUAAGUAAAUAAAUAAAAUAAAUCUAAUUUGUCGAACUAAGAAAAUAAAUUGUAACUACAUUAAACAUAAAUCAUAAUUUUCAAGCAAGAAUGAUAAAUCACUAAUAAUUAAUUUAGUUAGUUAAGAAAAAUUAAAAAUUAACAUCUAAGCUAAAUAUGAAUUUACAAUAAAAUAAAAUUUUAAAAUGCAUAGGCCGAAUGGGAAUAACACAAAACUAACUUUAACAAAUUAAAAACAUGAAUACAUUAACAUUGGGAAUGAGUACCUAAAUAUAUAUAAAAUUCUGAGAUAAUUAUGAAUGGCAUUGAAUAGUCAUGAAUCAAAAUUCAAACAGGAAGAAUUAAUUUACCUUUCUCAAAGACGCGUGGGCUACUCUCCAACAAAAGUGAUAGUAUGAUUUUUUUUUUUUUUUUUUUUUUAAAGUCAAUUCUAUGAUGUAUGUUGUGAUAGUUAUGGAUCAAUCAAGACUAAAAAAACUAAUAGUUUAAGGAACAAAAAUGAAUUAAUAUGGAUCAACCAAAAAUAAUACUAAUAAUUUUAAUGACAAUGCAAAUUAACCCGGAUCGAUCAAAAAUAAGAAUAAAAAUUUAAGGAGCAAUAUAAAUAACGUAUAUAUUUAAAUAUUAACAACAAAUGAUUUUAUGAAAAUGGAAAAAAAUACUAAUAAUAAUAAUAAUAAUAUUGAAAUAAAAUAAAAUAAACUAAAAAUAAACAAACAACAUUUCACGAAUAUUAUAAAGCUACAUGGAUAUUAGUUUUCAUUUGUUUCAUUUUAAAUUUAAAACAAUACAAACCAAAACACCAUGACCGACCACUUCCACUUUGAUUUUUAAUUAAAUGAAACAAACCACUAACAUACUUGAAACAUCUCAUGGCCGGCCAUAUAUUGUAUUCUCCUUGAUUUAUCAAUUUAAGAAAAAAUAGAAAACAUCAAAGCGCUAACUCAUGCACACAACCACAUAUCUAGAUUCCUUUGAUUUAUUCAAAAUUUAAAAACCUAAAACAUCAAAGCACUAACUCAUGCAUGCAGCCACACGUCUCAAAAUUUGAUGGUAUUCGGUGUGUCUAAAAGUGCCGUCUGUGCUUUCAAUAUGCAACAACCUGUGUGUGUAGGAGGAAUUACUAUGGUGCGUGCUGCUCGUGUAUAUAUAAAAAAAAACACCUUGCAGCCCUUACAUGUUCCUCCUGUAUUCCUAAAGGAACCCUUGCCGCCAUGCUUAAUACACCAAUAACACGCAUUUUGCAGGCAGAAAUCCGUGUUAGUGCUGUUCGGGCACCUGAAUUUCAUGCUAGGAGUGGGUUGAAGCGCCUCGGGAACAGUUGGGAUGAAAUGGCUCACAGCCCGGUGUGUCUUAGCAAUCGGGCAGUUUCCAGUUUCCACCAAUCGUUGCCCAUUGCUUCAUGUUUUGAAGCUUCAUCCAAACUAUUGCUAGCAACAUAACAGAGGCCAUGUAUCACCUCUUCGUGCCUAGGAAGUUUUGGGUUUCCCCCUUCACCUCAAACCCAAACAUAUCUCCCAGAAACAGAGAGAGGAACGAGGAUACAGUUAAUAAAACAAAACAAACCAAACCCUUCAAGCCAAGUACCAUUUCACGGAUUGUCUAUGUGCUUAAAGUGCAGGUGGAAAGAUUUAAGUGAGCUUAAUAGAAGAAUCAUAGUCAUGACUUUCAAGCACCAACAACAAAUAUGAGUCUUCUUUCAUAUUUUUUUUUUUUCAAAUUUCACUUAAAAAGAAAAGAGGAGUAACACAGUAACAAGUUUGUAACUAACUAAUGAUCAACAAAAUGAAAUGAGGCAUCCAGAAUCUAUACCAGAGCAUCAAAUAAUAUCCAUAGAUCAACAGAGAAGAAAAUAUAAACAAUAGAAAAUGAGAGGCUCGCUAACCAUACCUGUAAAACUUUCCUCAAGCACUGAUAUGCCUCUUCUAGCUCUUGGUGCUGUCACCCAAACCCAGUAGAAAUUCCCCCCUCCCUCCCCCCCCCCAACUCCCUUUUGCUUCCUAAUGCCCAGAAAAACCCUUCGAGAGCCUCAUUUUCUAGCCGAUCCUUUUCUUCUUCUUCAAGACUUCCCUUCUCUGCAUUUUCCCGUGCCAAACUCUUCGAAACUCCCCUUAACCUUUUUCCAAGCUCCUCUUCAUUCCAUGCAGCCUGCUGACCCUUCCAUUUUCUUUUCAAACCCUACUCCACCAUUUUAUUUUAUUUUUUUUAUGUGGCUACCCAACUCCCAUACCUUUCCAUUUGCUUAUUAUUAUUAUUAUUAUUAUUUCUCUUUUUUUAGUUAAUAAAAUAAGAAAAUAAAAAUAAAGAUAAAUAAAUAUAAAAAAAAUGAAGCUAAAAUAAGAUGAAUAACAUAAUGAUAAAAAGAACAUAUAAUAAAUGAAUACUAAAUAUAAUAAUUAUGAUAAUGAUACUAACAAUAAUAAUAAUAUUAAUAAUAACAAUAAUAAUACUAAUAAUACUAGUAAUAAUAAUAAUAAUAAUAUAAGAUCCCCAAUCACUUGCAAAUUUUUUUUUUUUUGAGAAUAAAUAAGUAGAUGGAUAAGUGAAUAAAGCAAGAAAAAUAAAUAAGUGCCCAAUGCACGUAACAAUAAUCUAAACAUUAAACUAUAACACAGAUAAAAAUAAAAAAUAAAAAUAGAAAUAGAAAUAGACAAGAUAUCAAAUUGACACAAUCAAAAUAAUUGAAAAUUCAUCUCAAGCAAUCAAAAAAAUAUAAAAAAUAAAAAUCAAGCCAAAUACUCGCCUAAUCUUAAAAAUAAAUCAAUCAAGAAAUUAGUCUUAAAGAAUUAAGCCUAAAGAAAACAUCUAAGUGACCCAGGUAACCUAAGUGGAAAGUGUCAAGGUGAAUUAGCUGCCCAAUGGGUCAUCAGAGAAUUAUCGUAAAGUAUCAAAUGGACACAUAAUAAAACAUGUGCUAGUAGGACAAAAUAGAGGGUCUACAAAUAUGCCUCUCUUCGGUAGAGAUCAUGAGUGUAAGGAAUAUGAGGGGAAACACAAGUAAUGAGUGGAACGAAAUGAACUAUACCGAAGAACUAAGAAAGACCAGAAAUUUUGUCCUAGCACAUGAUGCAAUAAAUCCCAAGAUAAACCAUAUGCAAGGAAAGAAAUACCCUGAAUAAGAGGUUUAUAGAAAGUGACUCUGAACGCCUAUGAAAGUGAUGGCUCUGAACGCCUAUGAAAAUGGUGGCUCUGAACGCCUAUGAAAAAAGAUGGUGGCUUUGAACGCCUAUGAAAAUGGUGGCUCUGAAUGCCUAUGAAAGUGGUGGUGGCUCUGAACGCCUAUGAAAAUGGUGGCUCUGAAUGCCCAUGAAAGUGAUGGCUCUGAACGCCUAUGAAAAUGGUGGCUCUGAACGCCUAUGAAAAUGGUGAUGGCUCUGAACGCCUAUGAAAAUGGUGAUGGCUCUGAACGCCUAUGAAAAUGGUGGCUCUGAACGCCUAUGAAAAUGGUGGCUCUGAACGCCUAUGAAAAUGGUGGCUCUGAACGCCUAUGAAAGUGAUGGCCCUGAAUGCCUAUGAAAAUGGUGGCUCUAAACGCCUAUGAAAAUGGUGAUGACUCUGAACGCUUAUGAAAGUGAUGGCUCUGAACGCCUAUGAAAAUGGUGAUGGCUCUGAACGCUUAUGAAAAUGGUGGCUCUGAACACCUAUGAAAAUGGUGAUGAAAAUUGGAUAACUUCUACUAAGGGGAUAUGCCCCAGUAUGACGACCUAAAACUAAACUAGGUAAUAACAGAUUCUAACCUAAGCUUGAUAUUUUCAAAGAAGGGGGUAUGCCCCAGUAUUACGGUUGUAUCAAGCUGGUAAAAUGUCCAAUGAAACAAGCGGCUGCAAACAUCGUAAUGAGAAAAAAACAACACCUCAUGACAAAGGUCUCGAGAAGUAUAAACAUAAAUUUCUUCAUAUUUCAAAUAAAUUCCUUGUCAACUGAUCUCACAGAUAAAGCUCAACAAAUGCGCAUCACAAAUUUACAAAAGAACGACUAUGGCGAAAAGAAAUCGUCUCAUAAACUCUUGACAAGGGAGUCCAUUGAUACUUUCUGGGUGAAAUCUGAUGGGGUCCAUCUCAGUCUCAAGCAAUGUCGUAUGUAGCCAAUCACAAUAUCACAAAUUAUAAAACUGAAGAAUGUGCUCAUAUAAGGAGAUAAACUGGCUACGAAAUCAAAAACUGAUCAUAGAGACAUCAAUCUCCCAUGUAGAGUAGAGAAUCAUAAAUACAAGGCACAAAGCCAUCAAUCUCAUCAAAACAAGAAAUAUGCUCCAGUGUAACAGAUGAUCCUCACGUGAAGUAAGUAAUUAAUGCAAACCAUCCACCCAUGCAUUACUACUCCAAUCAGUUCACCUCAGCAAGAGAGGGAUAUGCCCCAGUAUGGCAUCUGAUGAUCAAGUCUCAAGAUAAUCGAACAACAUUGAUUAUCCCCUUUAUGCACCCAACAUUCAAACAAAUCUUAGCAUCCCAAGAGAAAAAUAACACGCUCAUAUGAUGAUAACCCAAGGUACUGGGCCAAGGUGUACCAGAGUAGAUGCGUAACGUAUGACAAGGGUCUAUCAUUACCAGUUAAGCAAUCUCUACAAAUCCUGGAUGUGGGAGUCAUACAAACCAAUCACAACUAGAAAAAUCCCAUGAUAAGGGUAAUAUGCCCCAGUACAGGCAUCUGGUGUGUCAAAGAAACAAGACUGAUAUCACCAGUUAAACACUAUCUUCAUACUCAGGUUCUGCCAAACAUCAUCAGACUAAGCAUAAGAGGAACCAAAUGUCACUUGAAGCAUCUUCCAUAAGGGAAAGCAUAGCAACACCCAUAUUUCAACCAAUUGUUAAGACCUGCCCAACUGGAGACUGUCAAAGAUAACGUUUAAUCUCAUGGCCUCAGGGUGGUCUUACGACACGGACCGUAAUGUAGGCUUAGGUUAUAGGGUAAAAGAAAUGAAAGGAAACUAAGCUCAAGUAUCCAAUGAUCAAACCCAAUACCCUUAUGUGUAAGAUGUGAUGUGUAAGGUAAUCUCGUGAGCCAACUAACUCGAUAACAAACAAUGGAAGUGUCAAGGACGAACUAUAAGAGAAAAGGAAUUGGUCAGGUCUUCAAUGCGAUAUGUAAUGGCUAUGAAGAGGCUAACAAAACAAAGACAUGUAUCAAUGUAAGAAAAGAAUAAAUAUGGAAUAAUCACCACGAAAAGAGAUGAUCGAAAAUGAAUGAGAGAAGCGAGAAGAUACAAGGAUGAUGACUAACUCAAAUUAGUGCAGCCAAGGAAAAUCAUAUCACCAAAGAUGGAAUGGAAGUGAAGACAGUGAUCUGGAGAUCCUAGUGAUGGGUUACCCAAUCCUCACACCCAAUGUAUACCAACCCUGAUCCAUGAAGCGAAGGAUCUCACAAAACUCUCAUCAAACUAUUGUUACUUAGAAAACAUGAGUAACACAAGGAACAUGAUGCUCUCAGAUAGGCUCACAUACGAGCUCAAUGAUAGAUAACUCAAUGAACAACCCUCAAACAUCAAUGAAUGCCCAGUGGAAUAUGCUACCAUAAACAAACUUAUUGUCACAACUUUUUUUUUUUUUUUUUUUGGUUUUUUUUUUUUUUUUUUUUGCUUUUUGUGAACACUAGUAUCAAUAAACUGAAACCCCACUGAGCAAAGAAUAGAAAUGAAUAAACUCUCUUCAAUCCCCAAUGAAAAUAUGAAUCAUACACAAACCCCCAAAAGUAUGUCGACUCCAAUCACUGACAUGUAUAUAAAGCCCCAACCCUAAGGUCAUCUCUCAAGCUAAGGUAUCUAGAUCAAAGUCAACAGAUGGAAUGAAGGGUGUGACAUGACUAACUUGAUGCACCAAAAAAUGUGAAAAGUCAUCAACUAGAGAAAUAAAGAGAAUGAGACGAAGCAAGGAAAGACAAAACACGUAAGUAGAUGAAAAAUGAACAAUAAUGAAACAUAAUAGAAGUGGAAUAGUAAAGGAUGAUGGCAAGAAAAAUGAAAAUAGAUCAAAGAGUUGAAACUCACGAGACUAACCAAGUAAAACAUUCAUACACAACCAAGGGCCCCUACCCAGGUGAUGAAAGGUAAGCAGAGCUAUAAGAAUGAAAGGCUUUAAUGUACUCAUGGGGCUCAAGGGGCUAGCAACGGGAUGUAUGUGAAAUGGGCACGAUAAGGUAUAAGGCUAAUCGAAAUGAUGGCCACCCAUCCUUUGACCAUGAUCUUAAACGUAAUACUUCUUCAGUUGAUCCACAUUGGUUGGUUCCAAAAAUUGGUUUCCAUCUAAGUCAGUCAACCAUGCAGCCCCUUCUGGAGUCAGCUCUCGAAUAACGUAAGGUCCACUCCAAUUAGGUUUGAACUUCCUCCUAGGGUCUCCAAUCAAACCUCUGAGCAUCCUCAAAACCAAAUCCCCCUUAUAUAAUGGUCUAGGCUUGACCCUUUUCCUGAAGGCAUGAGCCAUUUUUCUUUGAUAGGCCUGAACAUGAUCCGCUGCUCUCAAUCUCCUCUCAUCUAAAAGGUUAAGCUGAUCAAAUCGAGCCUGGGCCCACUCUGUCUCUGAAAUCUGCUGCUCGAGAGCCACUCUUAAAGAACCCAUUUCUGUCUCGAUUGGCAAAACAGCCUCCAUACCAUACACCAAGGAGUAAGGUGUAGCUUCUGUAGGAGUGCGAAAAGAAGUACGAUAUGCCCAUAAGGCAAAAGGAAGCUUCUCUGACCAAUCUUGAGAAGUCUCGACCAUCUUUCUCAGAAUUCUCUUAAUGUUCUUAUUUGCAGCCUCUACAGCUCCAUUAGUUUGUGGCCUGUAUGCAGACGAUCUGUGGUGUUGGAUGCCAUACUUCUGUAACAAAGUUUCGACUUCAGCUCUAAAGUGUGCACCCCUAUCUAAAAUCAACUCGUGUGGAACUCCGUAGCGACAAAUGAUGUGUGACCUGAUGAAACUGGCAACUCUAGUAGAUGUCAACUUCGCAUAUGAUGUAGCCUCCACCCACUUGGUAAAAUAAUCAAUGGCUACUAAGAUGAACUCAUGGCCAUUGGAAGAUUUUGGCGAGAUCUUUCCAAUGAUAUCAAUACCCCAUACUGAGAAUGACCAUGGUGAUGUCAAAGCAUGCAACUCUGAGGGUGGUACAUGAAUAAGAUCCCCAUGCAUCUGACAUUCUGGGCAUCUCUGAACAAACUGGCAACAAUCUGGCAACAAACUGGCAAAUUAAUUGGGUCUUGGUAGACUUUAAGAAAAAUACAAAACAAAUUGAUCAAAUGGUUAUGUAGAAGUCUUGAGAGAGCCCAACUUGGGAAUUACGUAUCCAAUUAUAAUGCUUGGAAAAGUCAAAAUGAUGAAUUUCUUGGAUGAAUCUAGAUGAAGUUUGACCUACAUAUAAGGAAAAAUGACAUUAUGGUCACUGGUGGUAGGCGUCAAUCACGGGACAAACAUAAGCUUGUGAUGGAAAAUUCACUUGAUCGGAGAUUAAUGCUGUAGGAAUAAUAUCAUUGGACUAAGGAUUUUGCUAAAGAAUUUUCAGAGCUCGCAUGGUGUGGAGUAGUUUUCUAAUUUGUGACUCCGCUUGAUUGGACAUCUUAGAAAAAUUGUUUAGUUUUAGUUUCUAAUCUCUUCAAUCUAUUGUGUCAGCUUGGGAGUAGCUUAUAAGUUAUAACUUUGAAAUUUUGGGGUUAAACAGUAGUCAAUUUUGUCUUUUUUUGUCUUUUUUUUUUCCAUAUGUCAAAAAUAAAAAGGUAUUUCACUGUUCAAUAAAGAGUUUGUGUAGGAGUAAUUUUAGUAAAAUUAGAUGAGACUUUUAAGGUUUAAAAAUGUUUGUAUUGCAAUAAUUAAGAGUGUGUUUGGUACUUAUUUUAUAAAACGUUUCUAGUUUUUCUAAUACUUGGAUGAUAACAUUUUUCAAGUGUUAAAAAUAUUAGAAACGCUUUCUAAAAUCAUUGCCAAAUAAGCUUUAAAGAUUUGACAAUUCCUUGAAAUGAUUUUUGAAUGGAUGCUUGAGAAAUAUUUUUAUAAGGGGUAAAUAAUAGAUAAAGAAUAUUGGAUUGUGAAGUUUGAAUCAAUUUUUGUUAUUCUUUUUAUAGAAUCCUCACUAAGUUUGUAGAGAUUAAACUGCCCUGUCAGCUCACUGAGGUUGAAAGAGACAACACCUCCUAGACAAAUUUUUUUUAUGUGAUGAAUGACGAGUUUAUCUUUAUUGUAUAUUUAACCUUAUUAUGAUUUAGAGAUUUUUUAGACAAUGUGAUUACAAUUGAAAGGUGUGUGGAAGUUUUAUCAUUGUAAUUUUUCUUUUUUAUUUAAUUAGUGGAUUUUUUGAGUGUUGAUACAUUUUAUAAAUGUAGGAUCACAUUGAUCGUUGAAUCACAUUAAAACUCUAGUGUUUUUCAUUUAUUUUCUACUUAUUUGUAUGGUUUGAUUAAUAAAAAAUAACUCAAUAAAAUAGGAAUAGUUAACACAUAUGACCCCACCGAAAAAAUUUCUUUCACUUCAAUAAAAAAGAGUGAAGAGAUUUAGCAAUGAAACUUUCCCAAAAAGAUUGAUAAAGGAACUCUCACAUUCACAACCCUAGAAUAAUCCUAGAAAAACAACCCUUAUUGUUUUCUCCAUUUUUUUCCAUAUCAUCUGACACUUCUCAAUUUUUUGGGCAUCCACAAAAGAACCCUACUUGCACCUUAUAUUUUAGCUUAAAAAAAAGAGUCUAAAUAUGGGCUUGAAAAACUUUUCAUGACAAAAUAAACCUAACCUGUCAAUUUCUUCCAAAAAUAAUUACUUUUUAUUACGGAACACAUUAUCAAAACACUCUAGUUAGAGUUUUUGUAAUGUAGGCACCCUUUCUACUAUGAUUAAGGUUUAAAUUAUGAGGUGUUAGAUUAGUUUCAUUAGGAGAAUAUAGUACUUCAUUAUUGUUAAUGGUUUCGAUUUUACUUGUAAGUUACUCCAUUGUAAUAGUUCACAUAGAAAUGAGACUUUUUUUCUUACCCAUAAAGGAUUGUGCUCGGAUCAAUUAAGACCCUUUUACAAAUAUCAACCAGCAAUUGGUUGGGUUGUGUUGGGUUUUCUAUUAAUGGGUAUGCAUUCAAAUAAAACUCAUUCUGCUCGAGUUUUAGAAUGUGUUGAUUUUAAAUACAGUUUCUAGCAUUUUUAACACUUGAAAAACAAAAUUUAAAAACUAAAAAUACUUCUUAAAAUGCUUUAUUUAAGCUUCAUACUGCCUUAUUUUUUGUAAAGAUCAAAUUUGAAUUAAGUGACAUUAGAUUGAAUUCAAACCAUCUAUAACCGUUUCUCUUACUUCAAUUUUUAUAGAUUUGUAAGAGGAUCUAAAUAAUAAAUGUGAUGAUAUUUUUAAAAUAUUAAUAGUCUCUUUUGGACAAAAUGAAAUAGUACAUAGUAUAACAAUUAUAAUAUGAAGCCAUUUUUCUUAAAAUUGUUUUAGAAAUAUAUAAAUUAAAUUAAUUAAAUUGGGUUUGAAUUAAAUUUCCUAAAAAUCAUCAAAACUUUAGCUUGAGGCCAAUUUAAACUUAAUUUAUAUUAUAAAUUACAUAAUAAUAUGAAUUAUAAAUAUUAAUUUAGGUUUGGAUUAAGUUUUUGGACAAUUACCAAAACAAGGUAAGGUGAACUCCAACUUAAUUCAUGUUAAAAAAAAAAACUCAAUCAAUUAACUAGAAAACAAAACAAUGAAUGCAUAGCGAAAGAACUGAACUCAACCCCUCCUAACUAGGGUCAAGGCUUGGUUUAAUAGGUGUGAAGAAAAAUAAAACAUUUUUAUCCUUUACUAAUUAUAUAAACAUAUAUUAUGUAUAAAAUAUGGAUGAAUUUAAAACUCAAAAAAGUCAUUUUCAUGCAUUAAAGUAUUAACUUUUGCGCAUGUUUUAAAUACUACCCUCCACCCAAGUAAACCCUCCAUAUGUAUGGAAGGAAAUUAGCUUCCCUCCAAAUAUCUCUCGAAAAUCCCAACAAAUCCGAAAUUAUUAGAAAAAAAUUCAACAAAUUUCACCGAAUUUUUCAGAUAUUUUAGGAAACUUUCAUUAUUGCUUAAAACAAAACUCUUGUGGCUGAGCCCAAACAAGAAAAAAAGUAUUUAUAUUAAUACUUAAUUUACAAAUCCACCGAGAUCUUAGGUUGGUAUUCACUGUGAUUAUGGACAUUAAUUUUUUUCCUCGUAUGUACCAAAAGAAAUUUUAGAAAAAUAAAAUUUCAUAUUGCAAUUGUCACUUUGCACGUGUAAGUUUCAAUAGAAAUACGAAGACAUGGUACAUUUUCUCCAUAGGUGGACAAAAGAUAUGAAGUAAAAACUUGUGGUUGCUUGGGUGGGGCUUGUUACACAACUCAAACAAAAUGAUCUACCGUAUAAAAGCAUAAACAUUUCACUUUAUUUCAUUAUAAUCUUCUAAUACAGAAGUGAUUUUAUUAGGGACCACUCCAACAAGUCUUUAAUCAAAGUUCAUGUAGAACCUUUCUUAAUAUAAGGACGUUCUCCAAAAUAGUUGCCUGGUGGGUCGUAGUUGCAGCUAACAAUCCACCAUUCCCCAUUCUUGCACAACACUCUUGCACACCCCACAUUCACUGAAGUGUUCCACACAACCUGAGUGUAGUGUCCACACUCUCCUCCAACGCAUGAGUUAGAGUCGUAGUUAUAAUAAGGCUUCUCAGACACCCACAUCUUCACUGCAUCAGCGCCAUCAAAGUCAGUAGCACCCCUUGCAGCCAGGUUCUCACCAUAAGGCCCUCCUGAGUGUUCAAGAUUGCAGUCACCAAUCAGCUUCUCACUAACAUAUUGCGAUGCGUAGUUAGCUAACUUUUUGUCCCAUGUCAUGGGCUGGACUCCAACCUCUGCCCGCGCGGCGUUGUGGGCGGUAAGGUAGUCUUGUGGGGUGUUUUGGGCAUGGGAGAGAUGCGCUAGGGCUAAGCCAAGGAGGCAUAGAAGGGCCAGUGAUGUCUUGCCCAUUUUGGCUUGGAUUCUAUGAUGGAGGACAAGAGCCUUUGAUGGUUAAGAGUAUUGACUUGUUGCAGAGAAUUUAAUGGUGCAAGGUGUUCUUUCUUGAUAUAACUAUUAAUCAUUAUGAUAGAUAAUCCAAAGAAAUCAAUAAAAAGUGCUCAGCAAUUAAUUGUAGUGCAAUUAUAAAAUAUUAACUUAAUAGAAAAAAAAAAAAAAAAAAGGUGGGGUGGGGGGGAAUUUACACGAGUAGGAGAUAAGGAUUGAUAUUAAUUCUCUUGAAGAUGACUACAGCAUGUUAAGAAGGGAUGAUAGUCAUCUUUACAUCUAUUUUAUUCCUUAGGCACGAUUUUAUUUUAUUUUUUUAAUACUGUGGUUGAUGAAUUUUGAGGAGCUCUUCAAUUUGUGAAGUUCUCAUACCCGAAUUAAUGCAUAAAUAUUUUGCUUUGAUUGUUGAUGUAAGAGAACUGGCAACAUCAACCACAAAAUAAAUUUUCAGCUAUAAUUAAUAGUUACAUUAUGUUUGUUUCCUAAGGGAAGAAAAAAAUGUUUAUUAUUCUUGUAUCCUUGAAAUAACUAAAAAUAAAAAAUAAAAAAUAAAAAUAAUUUUCUCAUCAUUUGUUUGUAAAAAAUAAAAAAUAAAUAAAAAAUGGUUAAACUUAUUUAUUUUCAAAUUAUUUAAUUUUUAUAUAAAAUAAAAAAAAUAAGUGAAAUGAGUUUGAAGAAAUAUACAAAAUUAAUUUAUUAACUUCAAUUUUUUUUUCUUUUUUUUUUCUUCCUAUUUUUCACCUUAUUUUAUUUUUAUAUUUUUCUUACUACAAACCAAACAAAACCUUAAGCUGAAUCCAAUCGUGAUGGUUUGUAACUACUUAAUGCGAUUGAAAAAGGUCAAAAAAAUUGCAAAAUUUUUUCUUGGUUGUUCAUGGGAAAUUUGAGAGAGAAGAAAAUUAAAAUGUAAGGAAUAUCCACGAUAAGAUAAUAGGUUUAUAGUCACUGCCAAACCACAUUUAUUCUGCAACUAAAAGGAUUAGUAGUUGAGGUUGGUAAGUGAUGAGCAGGUUGGUAAGGGUUUAUAGUCGUGGAUUUUUCCUCACUAGGUGCAUUGAAUAUUAAGUUAAUUAGACUUAAAACUAACUAGGCAAAAAUACUAAAAUUAAAUGAAAUGAUCAUUCCAAAAUUAGUUAAGUAUAGACCAAUGCUAGCUAAGAAGAUCAAGAAUCCCAUGAAUAGCAUGUAUAAUCCAUGAGAAUCAUAUAUAAGCCAUAUAUGCAUAUAUCAAGUAGUAGUAAAUGGAGUACAUGGAAAUGGUAAAAACAAAACACAUCCAACAUAGUAGCAAAAUAAGAUGUCUAAAAUACAUCAUCUAGAGUAACAUCAAACAUGUCCAAAAUGCCUAUAUGAGAAUAUCUCCCCAUUUGGUAACAUAAAGUAUAAAGGAGAAAUCACUGCAACUCAAAAUCAAGGCUAGGGAUGUGGAGGUGGAAAGACCAAACGAAGAUAGUUCAUCAUCUUAUUGUAUUAAGCCUAAAGUUGAGUAGUAAAUGGUACCUGACACUAAUCUAACUAAAUAGUUAGGGUCGUCUCAUACUGAUCCAUAUGGUCCUCAAUCAAAUAGAAACAAGUACAAUUCAUGAGUAGCUCCUCUACCUAAGCACCGAGCGAACUAAUUUGUACUGAUAUAUCUACCUAGAGUCACUAAUCAACUAAUGGAGAUGAGUGUCGUGUAGUAAACAUAACAAUUGAAGCUAGACACAUCUUAGUGAAGACAAGAUUAGAAUGGAAUGUCUUCUUAGUAAGUAUUGUUGGCUCAUGUUGAAAGGUCUUAAAGGUUGUUUUUGGCUACUCGGUAUGCAAAGGCUCCUCAAUCUACAUCUUCUUAGUCCCAUUGCCCUAUGAUAACUCUCUACCCUCCAUAUCAAGGUCUUUGAUUUUCUUCUCAGCUCAGUCCUUACAAACCUUCUGUCCACCCCUCUUGUGAAUCUAGGACCCAUCAAUAAGGUGCUCAAAGUGCAUACGACCUAUGGACUUCUAUCAUAUGCUCUAAGAGGUUGAAUGUCCUUCUUAGUCCUUAAAUCCACAUUGAAUGCCUUCAAAAUCUAAGUUAGUAGGCAUUCAUAGUAAAGUAUCUUGGACUUAAUCUCACAACACUUUAUUAUGUGCUAAAAAAUAAUGAAUCCAAGAUUGAUUCUCUUAUCGUCUAGGAUGAAAUCAAUUAGAAAAGCUCAUAAUAGGAUACCUCAUCUUGAUGUCCUCCUUUAAGAAUAAAUAUAUGACUAAUCAUGUGAUACAUGACUCGACUAAUCAAUAUGAGAGCAUGAACAUGAGGCUUGGUAGUUGUGGUGUCAAACAAAAGAUUACAUAACCUUUUUUUGGCAGAUCGGAGGGUUGGCCGAGUCCAUCAACUCCUCUUGUAUUUGAAUGUUGUGGUCGCUUAAGUGAAUGUACUAUAAGGCUAGGAUAUGCACCUUUCCUGACAGCAAUUGCUUUUAGGAAAGCUUGUGGCACCUAAGGUCCUACAAGUGGUAUCAAAGUUAGGCCUCCUGUUUAAGACUUAACCGUCUAAGAGGAAACGACUGAUCCAUCAAGUUCAUCUCAUAUUGAAAGUUUUGCAACCAAUAGACCUCCAUUUUUUACAGGAACCAAUUAUUCCUAUUGGAAAAAAAAUGAGUUGGUUUUAAAAAUCUACUAAUCUUGAUCUAUGGGAUGUCAUUGAAGAUGGUUCUCACAUUCCUUCAAAAUUAGAAAAUUGAGUGAUGGUUCCAAAACCUAAGCAAGAAUUGGGUGAACUUGAUAAAAAAAAAAAAAAGUUCAAUUAAAUGCCAAAUCUGUUUAUAUCUUACAUUAUGCUAUUGAUAUAAAUGAAUUUAAUUGUGUUUAACAAUGUAAGUCGACUAAAUAAAUUUGGAAACUAUUAAAAAUCACUCAUGAGGGAACUAACCAAGUUAAACAGUUUAUAAUCAACAUCAUUGUGCAUUAUUAUGAAUUAUUUUCUAUGAAGGAUUUUGAAUCUAUUAUAGAGAUGUUUUAUAGGUUCAUGGUGAUUGUGAAUGGACUUUAAGCCUUGAAAAAGACCUACACCAAAGUAGAGAAAGUCAUGAAGAACUUAAGGUCUUUACCAAAGAAAUGGAAAACAAAAGUGAUGGCUAUUCAAGUAGCAAAGAAGCAGCAAGAAGGGGAAGAUAUAUAUAAAUAUAGAACAUAGCUCUCAAAGCUACAACCAAGGAAGAAAAAGAAGUUGAAGAAGAAAAACAAAGUGAAGAAGAUGAAGAGUUAGCCCUCAUCACAAGAAAGUCUAACAAGUUCAUGAGGGGUGAAAAGUUUAGAAGAAGAAGGUUCGCUUCCAGAAGAGACUUCUCUAAAAAGGAAUCUUCAUCCCAUCGUGACAAGAAGAGAUGAGAGGAGAAAAGAGACUUGGUAUUCUUCAUGUGCAAGAAACCGGAACACUUUAAAUAUGAUUGUCUUUUCUACAAAAGCGAAGCCAAGAGGAGAAAGAAGAAGGCAAUGAUGACCACUUAGAGUGAAAGUGAAGAUGAAUCAUUCAAAGAAAGGAGAAAAAAGUGGCAAACAUGUGCUUCAUGGCAAUAGAUGAACUUGAUGAGGUAAACUUUAACAUUAGCUAUGAAAGUAUACAUGAUGCUUUUGAAGAAUUGUAUGAGGAUUUUAAAAAACUUGGUUUGAAAAAUGCUUCUUUAAAAAACAAAGUUCAACAACUUGAAAAGGAACUUGGAGAAGUAAAAGAAAAAUUUUCAAAUGUUGAAGAUUCUAAAACUUGUCUUGAAAAAGAGAAUGAGAUUUUAAGAAAGAAAAAUGAAUGGUUGACCUCCUCUCUUUCAAUUUUUCUCGUGGACAAAAAUCUUUUGAAAUGAUCCUAGCUAACCAAAAAUGUAUUUUGACAAACAAGAGUUAUGAUUCAAAUCUUCAAAAAAUCAAAAGUAUUUUAAGAACUAUUUUGUAAAGGAAUCCACAAGUGUAAGUCUUUCCACUACUUGCAACUUUUGUGAAAAAGAAUGACACAUUAGUAGCACAUGCCCUUUAAGAAAUGGUUCUCAAAAGAAUUCAAAUGCAAAAGAUAAAAAGAAUUGGGUUGAAAAAUUCAAGGUCACUAACCCUUAAGGACCCAAAAAGAUAUGGGUACCUAAAUCAACUUGAGUUGUGUUGUAGAGUUCAAAGAAGCAUAAGUGGUUCUUGGAUAGUGGAUGCUCAAGACACAUGACAGGAAAUGAAUCCAAGUUUGCUUUUCUUUCAAAGAAAAAAGGAGGAUAUGUUACCUUUGGUGACAAUGAAAAAGAAAAAAUCAUUGGUCAAGGCAACAUUGGUAAUGACAUAUCCUCAUUGAAAAUGUUUUACUAGUAGAUGAUUUAAAACAUAAUCUUUUAAGCAUUAGUCAACUUUGUGACAAAGGUUUUAAAGUGAUUUUUGAAGCAUCUCAUUGCAUUACAAAGGAUAUUCAAAAUGAAAAUAAUCUUCAUGAGCCAUAGAUGUGAUAAUGUUUACACUAUAAAUAUUUCAAAAUAUGAUGGUCAUGAUAGAUGUUUUUCAAGUAUGCAUGAUCAAAGUUGGUUGUGGCAUAGGAGAUUGGGAUAUACUAACAUGGACCUCAUUUCCCAACUCAAUAAAAAUGAAUUUGUUAGAGGCCAUCUCAAAAUAAAUUUUCAAAAAGAUAAAAGUUUGUGAAGCUUGUCAAGUGGGAAAACAAAUAAAAAAACUCUUUUAAAAACAAAAACUUCAUUUCCAUAACUAGGCCACUUGAGUUAUUGCAUAUGGAUUUAUUUGGUCCCUCUAGGAUACCAAGUCUUGGAGGAAAGUCUUAUACUUAUGUUAUUGUGGAUGACUUCUCUAGAUACACGUGGGUCUUGUUUUUAAGUCAAAAGACUAAAACAUUUUAUAAGUUUUCAAAGUUUUGCAAUAAAGUUCAAAAUGAAAAAGGUUUUGCAAUUACCUGCAUAAGAAGUGAUCAUGGAGAGAAUUUUAAAAUGUUGAUUUUGAAAAUAAUGAGCAUGGAAUUGACCACAAUUUUUUGGCUCCUAGAACUCCUCAACAAAAUGGGGUAGUUGAAAGGAAAAAUAGAACCAUUCCAGAUAUGACAAAAACAAUGCUAAAUGAAAACAACCUACCAAAUAUUUUGGGUCAAAAUGGUUAACACCUCUUGAUAUGUUUUAAAUAAAGUUUUAUUAAGGCUCAUACUUAAGAAAACUUCCUAUGAGCUUUGGAAAAACAAGAAACCCAACAUUAACUAUUUCAAAGUUUUUGAAUGCAAAUGUAUUAUAUUAAACACCAAAGAAAAUCUUGGAAAAUUUGAUGCAAAAUCGAAUGUUGAAAUUUUUCUUGGUUACUCAACUUCAAGUAAAACUUUUAAUGUUUUCAACAAAAGAACCAUGGUUGUCGAGGAGUCCAUCCAUGUUAUUUUUUAUGAAUCUAACAAUUCUCUCCAAGAAAGAGAGAGUGUUGAUGAUGAUUUAGAUUUGGAGACUUACAUGGAAAGAUUGCAAAUUGAAGAUAGAAGAAAAUGAAGUGGAUCCUAAGGAAGAAAGAUCACCAUUGGCACUACCACCUCCUCAACAAGUGCAAGGGGAAUCAAGCCAAGACCUUUCUAAAGAAUGGAAGUUUGUCAUCAAUUACCAAUAAGAUUAAAUCAUAAGUAAUCCAUCUAGUGGGGUAAGAACUAGAUCCUCUCUUAGAAAUAUUUGCAAUAAUCUAGCUUUUAUCUUUCAAAUUGAACCUAGUAAUAUAAAUAAUGCUUUAAAUGAUGAAAAUUGGAUGAUUGCUAUACAAGAAGAAUUAAAUCAAUUUGAAAGAAUUAAAGUAAGAGAAUUAGUACCAAGACCUUCAAAUCAAAGUGCUAUCAGAACUAGAUGAGUCUUUACAAAUAAAAUUGAUGAAAAUGGCAUAAUUGUUAGAAACAAAGCAAGGUUAGUAGCCCAAGUUUGUAAUCAAGAAGAAAGAAUAGGUUAUGAAGAAACCUUUUCCCUCGUAUCUAGGUUGGAAGCCAUUAGGAUGCUACUUGUCUUUGCAUGUUUUAAAGACUUUGUUUUAUAUCAAAUAGAUGUGAAAAGUGCAUUUUUAAAUGGUUUUAUAAAUGAAGAAGUGUAUAUUGAACAACCCCUCGGAUUUGAAAGUUUUAAUUUUCCUAACCAUGUUUUUAAACUUAAAAAGACACUUUAUGGUUUGAAACAAGCACUUAGAGCAUGGUAUGAAAGAUUGAGCAAAUUUCUUUUUAAAAAAAUGAUUUUAAAAUGGGUAAAAUUGACAACUCUUUUCAUAAAAACCAAAGAAAAUAAUAUGCUUUUAGUUCAAAUAUAUGUUGAUGAUGUUAGUUUUGGUUCUACUAAUGUCUCUCUUUGUGAAGAAUUUGCUAAGUGCAUGCAUAGUGAGUUUCAAAUGAGCAUGAUAGGAAAACUCAACUUCUUUCUUGAACUUCAAAUCAAGCAACUAAAGGAAAGAAACUUCAUCAAUCAAGCAAAGUAUAUAAGAGAUCUUCUCAAAAGAUUCAACAUGGAGGAAGCCAAGAUAAUGAAGACUCUAAUGAGUUUAUCCAUCAAGCUUGAUAAGGAUGAGAAAAGUAAAUCCAUUGACUCUACUAUGUAUAGAGGCAUGAUGGGUUCUUUUCUAUACUUGAUCGCUAGUAGACCUGAUAUUAUGUAUAGUGUAUGCUUGUGUGCUAAAUUUCAAUCUUGUCUUAAAGAAUCUCACUUGAGUGUUGUAAAAAGAAUUCUUAAAUAUUUGAAAGGAACAAUGGACAUAGGCUUAUGGUAUCCUAAGGAUAAUAACUUUGAAUUAAUUGGUUUUUCAGAUACUGAUUUUUCUGGUUGUAAGGUUGAAAGAAAAAUCACUAGUGUCACAUGUCAUUUUUUAGAAAACUCACUUGUUUCAUGAUAUAGUAAGAAACAAAAUUCAAUAGCUUUGUCAACGGCGAAAGUUGAAUACAUAGUUGUCGAUUUAUGUUGUGCACAAAUUCUUUGGAUGAAACAAACACUUAGUGAUUUGGGUUUAUCUUUUGAGCAUGUAUCUAUUAAAUGUGAUAAUAUUAGUGUCAUAAGAAUAUCAAAAAAUCUCAUGCAACACUCUAGGACUAAGCAUAUAGAGAUUAGACAUCAUUUUCUUAGAGAUCAUGCACAAAAGGGUGACAUAACACUUGAAAUUGUAAGCACUAAAGAUCAACUUGCUGAUAUUUUUACAAAACCUCUAAGUGAAAAACAAUUUGUUGAGAUUAGAAGACAAUUAGGGGUGAUUUCAUUAUGAUUUAAUGUUUGCUUAUGAAUGCUUGAUGUAUAUGCCUAUUGAUUACUUGAAUUUCAUGACAUAUGCAUCAUAUAAAACAUCAUAUAGACAUAUACUUAAAAAAUGGUCAAUUUUUGACCAAAAAUCAAAAUUCCAUUAGCAUUGGGCAUAAAAAAUUGGGGAACCCAACUAAAAAAGGCAGAGAGAGGAUUAAAAAAUGAAAAAGUGUGCAAAAGUGGAAAGUCAAAUAGCAUUGACCUUUGGUGCAUUUUGAACCGAUUGACCUGAUUUUGGGGAAAAUUUGAGGGCUUUAAAGGCUAGGGUUUCGAAUUUGGGCCAUUUUUCUCUUCUUUCCAUGCGUCACAACCAGUUUCGGCAUCGAUUCCUCUCCAUUUUUAUUCGUCAAGGUUUCAAGUGUGAGCUUCUACCAGUUCCUCAUCUUCACCUUGCGCUAGCUCCAUUUUCCAUGGCUCCCAGACGAGAGUUCGUAUCUUCCAAAGCUCAAGGCAAGCGCCCAACUGAUCCGUCUUAGCCAGAGACAUGCCGAAAGGCGUGUUUUGAGACCGCCUUGUUCAGUACCGUGGAGGAGUACCAACGGUACAAGCAGCAUUUUGCUUAGAGACGAGUAGUUCCGAGGAGAAACAUCAACUUUCUACAGCUUCAACACUUUGGAUUUGAGGGAUUGUUCACUAGGAUAGGCUGGUUGUUAGCUGUUACAAUUUAUGAGCCAGUUUUUUCGACAUUGGUAUGAGCAUUCUACUCAAGGGUGACUUACAGCAUGGGUGGCCCGAUCAUAUCCACUGUUAGAGGAGUUGAGAUUCGUUUGGACUCGGAGAACAUUUGUAGUAUUUUUUAUAUUACUCAUGUUGAACUCAGAGUAUAUGAGUCCAAGAUGUGGCCCACUGUGCUAGGAUUUGAGCCUAGAAAGGUUAUUUAGAGGACUUGUGGACUGUCAGAUGCCCAUGGGAUGGGCAAGACAUCGACACACAGCUUGAUGGUCAUUAGUAGAGUGCUACAUCAUAUGCUAUGUUUCAUUUUCCUACCAUGGGGUGGACACCGAGAUGAGGUCUCCUAUUACAAGGCAUUCCUUAUAGAUUCUAUUCUAACUAGGAGAAGAAUCCAUGUGAGAUAUCUGAUGAUGAUGCACAUGAUUGCAUGUUGCGAGAACACGACUCGAGUAUUCCCCUAUGGUCGCUUCCUUUCUUGAGUAUUCAAGAAUAGAGGCCUUGACCUUAGUAGACAGACAGACUUUGAGGUCCCCAAUACAUAUGAGACAUUGAUGAUCAAUCUAUGGGGUGGAUGACAUUUGAGAAGGCUCCAAAUGGUUCUUGGAUUAGAAAAGCAGAAAGAACACAACCACAGGGAUAGAGAUAGGCACACUCUGGAGUUAAGGAAGAGACAGAGAUUAGAUAGAUGGAGGGUGGAGUAAACCCUCAAGAUGGCAUAGACCUUCAGAGUGGCCACCAGUAGAGAGGACUUGAGCUUGGUAUUCCCCCACUUUAAACAAAGAUUCUUUCACAGACCGAGGAUUUUCAAUUUGAGUCCACUUUCUUUGAGUCGAUGAUGACAUAGCCUGCUUUUAUAAAGAGAACAUCUACUCAGUCAUCAUACACUGAGCCCUCCUUAUUUGGACCAGUAUUCACCGAGCCCACCUAUAUUAAGAUACCACCUCCUCAGGCACCUCCUACUCCUGACCAUGCUUCUUGGAUGGAUUUAUCGGCUCAGAUUGACUCCCUUAGUACUCGUAUGGAGGAACUUGCAAUGGUCAAUGACACACAAUUUUACUUUAUGAAGGAUACAAUGGACUAGUAUUAGACUAGGUUCACUACUCAAUUUGAGUAUCUUUAGUAGAGGAUUGAUCGCAUGGAGUAGAGGAUUGAUCACAUUGAGGAUCACAUAGAGCGUCAACAUAAGGAGAUGAUGACCUACUUGCAUUUCGUGUUUCCAUAUCCACCUCCUCAACCUUGAUGACUAGUUGGGAACCCCUUUAUUCUUUUUUUAUGUUGCCAAAGAGUGAGAUAUUUUAGGAUCUAGGAAUAUCUAUGAGGGUAGAUAUAGAAGACUCAUACUGAUAGAUGUAUAUCAUUUUUUGUUUGGAUCAUAUAUUGCUUAUCUCUAAUUACUUUAGUUUGUUGGACAUAUGAUGCACUGACUGAUACAUUUGACAUGAUAUAUGAUAUGCUUAUAUAUUUGAUGACUUACAUUGGAUGUUCCUUGUUGCAAUACUUUCUAACAUGUCUUGAUCAUCGUGUUUUUAAUUUCUUAAAUAUUGAUUGUUGAUACAUGAUUGGUUUGAGGGGAGAUUUUUUUUUCCUAGAUAACCAAGGUUUUUUAUCAUAAAAAAUGGGAGAUUGUUAGCCCAAGGAUUCUCAUAAUCAUGUUUUGAUGAUAACAAACCAUGGUUAAGUUUCUAAUUGGUUUGAAUUAUAAAGAAUUUUAGGUAUUAGUUUGAAAAUUCAUCAAAUGACCCAAUGGAUGCAAGAUCAAGGAAAUUGGAAGACCUUUAAUCAUAAGAAACAUAUGUAAGAUGAAUGCAUGGGUGCACUUAGGAUUUUCAUAUCUUUUCAUGCAUCUUUAAAAACUCAGUUUAUGCAUUAAAGUUAUAUUUCCAUCAAAACCCGAGUUUUACCAAACGAACCUUAGGCAAAUCAUUUCAAAAUUGACACAAUAAUUUAUCUAAAGACCUUGACUAAGUGUUAGAAGAGAAAAUAAUAGAAAAAGAUAGGUUUUUCAGCCAAAAAUGGUGAACCGAUCGAGACACUAGCCAAUCAACUCAACUGACUAGGGUAUCAGUAGACCGGUUACACUAUCCGGUCGAUGUCCAGUCAAGAGAUACAAAGAAUCUUCUCUCUAUUCCAGAAUGCUUGUUUAACCAGUCAAAGUUAAACCUCAAUCGAUCGAGGUUGAACCUCAACCUAUCGAGAGGCGGUCAAGGGGCGAUCGAGGUCCAACGGUCACCUACCAAGCAUUAAAUGCUAACGACUAGUCAACCGGUGAAAUCGAAACUCGACCAGAUGAACCCCUAAUGACUAGUUUGGCAUUUUUACUAUAUAAAAAGGCUCAAAUCUUCAUUAUUUCAAGAGUUUAACCUUCCUAAAAAUUUCUUGAAUAUAUUUGAGCUUUUGUGAGAGUGUUUUUGAGUGCACAUUGUUCUAAAACUUGCAUAUCAUUAGUGCACCAUUCAAUCCUAAUUUUUCUUGUACAUUUGAGCCUAAAGUUUUGUAUUGGGAUUUUGUGAGAUUAUUUCUUCAUUUGUAAAUAUUUGAAAGGAAGAAUCUAAGUGUGAGGUAUCACUUGAGGGGUUAUUCAAGAAUGAGGUAUCUCUUGAAGAUUAUAAAGGGUGUUUGGAGCUUAAAGUUCAAGAGGGUGGAUUGAAACCAUAAUCCAAUCGUAUUGCUUGAAAGCUUGGUUUGGAAGCCUUGAAUUAGUGGAACCUCAAGCUUAAGAUUGAAGGUAGAGGAGAGUGGACGUAGGUCGGGUUGCAUCGAACCACUAUAAAAUCUUGUGUUUGCAUUCUCUUUUCCCUACUUUUUUUUACUUUAUAUGCAAUUUGUCUUUAUAUUAUUUUAUUAUAUAUUUGCAUAUAAUUAUCUUUUGCAUUUACAUAAUUUAAAUUUGUAAAAAAAAGACCAUCAACCUAUUCACCUCCCUCUAAGGUGAUUACUUUAAGUUAGAUUAGCCCGAUUUUUCUAACACCUUUGUAUAGCUCUACCAACAUCAAAGUCAUCUGGGCUUAACCACCCAUUCAUCUUAAAAAGACAAAGGCCUAUCCACUAGAUAUCUAGAAUCUAAUAAAGGUUGGAAGAAUGUAGCUCCAUAUGAACUCCUUUGACUAGUGAAAUGAUUGGGCCACCCAUCUCAUACCGCAUGUUUGAAUAUAACAUGUGUACCAAGGUUAGGCAAAAAAACUCUGAGCAAUUCACCAUAGAUAGCUAUCACAUCUUGGCGAAUAACUCCUCAAAUUGAAAAUAUGAUAAUUAGCCAAAAUAAAUAUUACAACUCGGAACCACUAUCUAGGCUGCAAACAAAUAAGUGUAUCACUGGUAGUACUCCUCCAUGGAUGCUAAGCUCUAGAUGUUAAAUCAAGCUUUUCUCUUAGCCUCAACUUUAAAACUCUCUAUAUAUAGGAUAGUUGCCUUAGACCUUUGAUGUUGUAGUAACUUUAUGGGGAGCCAUGACACUUUAGUACAUUCAUAGGAAUAAAGGGAAAAGUCCAAGAAAUUGAUAAAAUAAAAAAAAACAAAGGAAAAAGUGGAAAACGGCCACAGUUCAAGAAAUGAAAGGCAAAAACAUAGAGUUCCAAGGAAAAAUAUCUCAAAAUGGCCUACAUAAGAGUUUUGGAGAAACCCUAAAGAGAGAAAUUGGUUUAGACCCUAGGGUUCAAACCCUCUGCUGGUUGAGCAAUUGGUUCAACUAGUCCUCAAUCGGUUGAGGCUCUACCUCAACCAGCUACACCACAACUAUUGUAUGUUAAGGGUGCACAAAGUGCGUCAUGAUUAGUCAAUGCCCAAUUGGCUCAACUAGUUCCUUGGGCCCUCAAUUGGUUGCAAUGUGAAGUGCUUAAGAGACUUGAUUUGAGGUAUGGAACCUUUAGAAACUUGUGUAAACCUUCUUAAAGAUAAGUUUAAAAUAAAUUUGGCUUAAGGUUUUAAUUUAAAACAAAAAUUUAUUCAAUGCUUUGGUAAAAAUGAUCGUUUUAAGUCUAAGGAAUGAUGAAAUUGAAUUUUUAAGUGCAUGAAAAUGAUUUAGACAUUUGAAAGUUGAGUUUAGGUUUGGAUAUUGAUCUUCACGGUAUUGAUCUUCUUCCAUUAUUCUUUGGGUUUUCUUUGAAUUUUUGUAAGUAAACCUGAAAACUUAAUUUGAUCUAAAUCAUUAGUAACUUAGUCUUAUUUUGUAAUCACCAAAAUUCAAUUAGAAGAACCUUUGAGCUAACACCUAUGGUGAUAGCAAAGACAAAGUUAUCUUGCUUAUGGAUAUAUAAAUGACCUUGAUAAAAGGGCAUUUGCAUGUUGUAAAAACGUAGUAGGAACCAAGAGUCUCUGAAUGAGUCAAGGGACAAGUGACAAAUGAUUGAAACUUUCGGAUAUGCUAAAGCCAUUUGAAACUAAAACUUGAGUUUCAAUUUAAAAGAGUUUGAAUUUGAAUUGAACAUUUGUUAUGAACAAAUGGACAUUGUCACCAAGGUUUUGUUGAAAUAGGCUUUCACUCACCCUUGAGGCAAGAUGGGUCUCCAUGCACUAGCAUUCCCACUUAGCUUGAGCGAGGUGUUAAUGAAGAUAAUCUUAGUAUUCACGAAAGAACGUGAUUGACAAAUCAAACCAACUCAAUAACCACAAUAUUUAUCGACAAUUCAACCCAGAUUAUAAAAAACAAUUCAAUGCAGCAUGUGCUGAUUCUAUUCUCUUUACUGUUGUUAUCAUGAUAUGUAUUUUCAUAAUUUUCCUUUUAGUACAAGAACUUGUUUGUUUAUACAAAUAAGAUUGUAUAUUCUUGAUAAUAUAAUUUAGAUCUUCCAUAACCAAAUUCUGAAAAAACUUUUCAUUAUUUCGUGUCAUGAUCGAUUACUGCAAAACUAACUUAUAUUUUAAUAUUUUUUUCCUUUUUUUUUUUUUUAAUAAUUUGGUCCAUUAUGUUUUAUAAUUUAAAAUUUUCAUUUUAAAAAUUGUAUUGUAACUUGUUUGAUUUAAUUUAACCAAAAAGUUAAAUUCUUUAACCUCUUUACAAACAAUGUAUGUAUGAAUUUUUUUUUUUUCCUAUUUAGUAUGUAAGAGCAUUUAAAUAUUAAUUCAUCUUUUUAAGAGCACUUAACAAAAGUAAGUUUUUUCAACUUGAAUAAAGCUUUGAUAUUCCAAUCAACUACUAUAACAUUUUAAGAUUGGCCAAAAGGAACAUAGUGUUCUAGGUAAGUUGAUUGUGUGAAAGGGUUGAAUGCAUAUGAGACUUUAAUUUCGUAUUGAAGAUUUUUUUUAAAAAAAAAUCUAAUUUAGGUUUAUUUUGAAAUAUUUUUCGAAACAAUUUUGAAAAAAAUGAUUAUUGAAAAUAGUUUUCAGAAAAUGCUUAUGAUAUUUUUUAGAAUAAAAGUCUAUUUCAAAACUUAAAAUAUUCUUAAUUUGUUUUUUGUAUUUCAAAUUUUUUCUUAAAAAUAAUUAAAAUAUAUUUUAAAAAAUAAUUAGAUUAUUCUUAUUUUCAAUCAUUCUCCAUAUUUUUUCAAUUAUUUUUAAAAAUAAUCCAAAAUUAUUAAUAUAUAUAUAUAUAUAUAUAUAUAUAUAUAUAUAUAUAUAAUACCUUAUUUUUGGAACUAGUUUUCAAAACACUAAUUUUUAUUAAAAAAUUAUCAAACUUCUUUUUGAAUUUGAAAAAUAUUUUCUAUUUAAUAGAAUAAAAAAAUUAGAAAUAGUUAUCAAACUAUAAAGUUUUGUUUCUUUUUUUCAAUGUUUUUAGGUGGCAUUGAAUAAAAAUAUCAUUUUAAAUUUUAAAAUAUAAAAAUUAAAAUUUUAAACAUAUUUCAUCAUUUCAUCAUUAAUACUGAUAAAUUAAAUUAUGAUAAGGAUAACAGAAGAUUUAUUAAAAUUUCUAAUGUUAUUAAACAUGUUUAACUUAUAAUUAUUUUUUAAAAUAAUAUUUUAUUAUUUAAAGCUGUUUAAAUUUUAAUAGUUAUAUAUUUUAUCAUUUUCAAAAUUAUUAGUUGUUUAUUUAUACUAUUUUGAUGUUUAUUAUCCUAUAAUAUUUGAUAAAUUACAAAUCUUUAUAUUUAUUUUUAAGUUAUGAAAUUAUAUUACAUAUAUUUUAAAUACAUUUAUAUACACCCUUGUCUUUUUCCCAAUAAAGACCCAAUUAAAUCCUCAUUCCUCAUCCUUCCAUGCCUUUUAAGCAGGUUCGUCGAUUCACCUGAUUAGGUGAACCGAACCAGGUUAAGGUCCGGGAUUCGGGUUUGAUCCGAUUUUUAAAAUAUAGACUGAACAAAGAAUUGUCCUUAUCCUCUUUCCCCUUUUCGGCGAAGACUUGAGUCAUUUGCCAGAUUUAAGUCGUGAAGGUCUACAGAUUCAGUCUCCUAAGAAAUUGGGCAUGAAUCGCAGCCACCAUUCUUGACUUUUGCUUUGUUUCGCAUGAAUGCGCAUGUACUAUCUAAUCAGACUGGGGACAACACAUUUACCACCAUUUUUGCCCGGGAGACUCGGUUUGUUGGGUCAACGGUGGAAUCCAAGUCUACUGAGAAAUAAUAUAAAUAUUAUAAAUAUAAUCUGAACAAAAUAAGUACAUGGUGAUUUUUUAUAUUUAAAAUAAAAUAUUAUAUUACAAGCAUUAAAUAAGUUUUAUGUAUGGGAUCGUUUUUAUAAAUAGAUAUAUUUUUAAAUUUUUAUAAUAUAAAUAUUAGUUAUUUUUUAUUGUUUUUAUUUGUUUUCUAAGUAUUAUUUAAAAAAAUAUACAAAUAUAUAAAAUAAUUAAAAAUAAAAUAUUAGAUAUAAAAAUAAUUUUUAAAACAUAUCUAAAAAUAUUAAAAAUAGGUUAAAAAUAUUUUAGGUUUCAAAUAGAUUUUUAUUUUUUAAAACAUCUUACAACAAUUUUUAAAAAUUAUUUUUUAGAAUUAUUUUAAAAAACAAUUAUUAGAGAGAAACUUUAUUUUUUAAAAUAAUUUUUCUUUAAUCAAAAUCUUUUUAAGGAGAGAAACUGAGGAAGAAAGGUAGGACUUUUCUCAAUAGUACAGCAAUUUAAAAAAGUUAUGCUUAAAUUACUGUACUGGCAGAAGUUAUUACAAAUAUAGGGUAGUUUUUGCCACAUAGGAGAGAGGAGAGAGGAAAGAGGAGAGAGGAGAGAGGAGAGAGGAGAGAGGGUGAGAGAAGAGAGGAAAGAGGAGAGAGGAGAGAGGAGAGAGGGUGAGAGAGAGGAGAUAGGAGAGAGGAGAGAGGAGAGAGGGUGACUUAAAAAAAAAGCAAACUCGUCUCUUGAAGAGACGAGUUCCAUGAAAGAAGAGAGGAAAGAGGAGAGAGGAGAGAGGAGAGAGGGUGAGAGAGAGGAGAGAGGAGAGAGGAGAGAGGAGAGAGGGUGUGUAAAAAAAAGCAAACUCGUCUCUUGAAGAGACGAGUUCCAUGAAAAAAAAAAAUAUAUAAUUUUAAAAAAAUUCUAAACAAUUAUUCAAGGGAACUCGUCUCUUGAAGAGACGAGUUCCAUGUAAAAAAAUCCAAGAGACGAGUUCCAUGUAAAAAAAAAAAUAUUUUUUAUUUUAAAAAAUCCCAAAUUUAAAAAAAAAAAUUCCAAAAAAAAAAAAAUUCCAAAGGGAACUCGUCUCUUGAAGAGACGAGUUCCAUGUAAAAAAAAAUAUAUUUUUUAAAAAAUAUAAUUUUUAUUUUAAAAAAUCCCAAAUUAAAAAAAAAAAAAAUCCAAAGGGAACUCGUCUCUUCAAGAGACGAGUUCCAUGUAAAAAAAAAUANNNNNNNNNNNNNNNNNNNNNNNNNNNNNNNNNNNNNNNNNNNNNNNNNNNNNNNNNNNNNNNNNNNNNNNNNNNNNNNNNNNNNNNNNNNNNNNNNNNNNNNNNNNNNNNNNNNNNNNNNNNNNNNNNNNNNNNNNNNNNNNNNNNNNNNNNNNNNNNNNNNNNNNNNNNNNNNNNNNNNNNNNNNNNNNNNNNNNNNNNNNNNNNNNNNNNNNNNNNNNNNNNNNNNNNNNNNNNNNNNNNNNNNNNNNNNNNNNNNNNNNNNNNNNNNNNNNNNNNNNNNNNNNNNNNNNNNNNNNNNNNNNNNNNNNNNNNNNNNNNNNNNNNNNNNNNNNNNNNNNNNNNNNNNNNNNNNNNNNNNNNNNNNNNNNNNNNNNNNNNNNNNNNNNNNNNNNNNNNNNNNNNNNNNNNNNNNNNNNNNNNNNNNNNNNNNNNNNNNNNNNNNNNNNNNNNNNNNNNNNNNNNNNNNNNNNNNNNNNNNNNNNNNNNNNNNNNNNNNNNNNNNNNNNNNNNNNNNNNNNNNNNNNNNNNNNNNNNNNNNNNNNNNNNNNNNNNNNNNNNNNNNNNNNNNNNNNNNNNNNNNNNNNNNNNNNNNNNNNNNNNNNNNNNNNNNNNNNNNNNNNNNNNNNNNNNNNNNNNNNNNNNNNNNNNNNNNNNNNNNNNNNNNNNNNNNNNNNNNNNNNNNNNNNNNNNNNNNNNNNNNNNNNNNNNNNNNNNNNNNNNNNNNNNNNNNNNNNNNNNNNNNNNNNNNNNNNNNNNNNNNNNNNNNNNNNNNNNNNNNNNNNNNNNNNNNNNNNNNNNNNNNNNNNNNNNNNNNNNNNNNNNNNNNNNNNNNNNNNNNNNNNNNNNNNNNNNNNNNNNNNNNNNNNNNNNNNNNNNNNNNNNNNNNNNNNNNNNNNNNNNNNNNNNNNNNNNNNNNNNNNNNNNNNNNNNNNNNNNNNNNNNNNNNNNNNNNNNNNNNNNNNNNNNNNNNNNNNNNNNNNNNNNNNNNNNNNUCUCUUCAAGAGACGAGUUCCCUUUGGAAUUGUGUUUUUUUUUUUUUUUUUUUAAUUUGGGAUUUUUUUUUUUAAUAUAUAUAUUUUUAAAAAAAUAUUUUUUUUUUUACAUGGAACUCGUCUCUUCAAGAGACGAGUUCCCUUUGGAAUUUAUUUUUGUUUUUUUUAAAUUUGGGAUUUUUUAAAAUAAAAAAUAUAUUUUUUUAAAAAUAUUUUUUUUUUUACAUGGAACUCGUCUCUUCAAGAGACGAGUUCCUUUUGCAAUUUUUUUUUUUUUUUUUUUAAAUUUGGGAUUUUUUAAAAUAAAAAAUAUAUUUUUUAAAAAAUAUAUUUUUUUUUACAUGGAACUCGUCUCUUCAAGAGACGAGUUCCCUUUGGAAAUUUUUUUUUUUUUUUUAAAUUUGGGAUUUUUUAAUAAAAAAUAUAUUUUUUAAAAAAUAUUUUUUUUUUCCUAAAGGAACUCGUCUCUUGAAAUUUUAUAUUUAAAAAAAAAUAUUUUUUUUUAGAUGAGAACUCGUCUGUUAGGAAUUUUGAGGAAUUGUUUUUUUUUUUUAAUAUAUAUAUAUUUAAAAAAAUAUUUUUUUUUUUACAAGGGAACUCGUCUCUUCAAGAGACGAGUUCCCUUUGGAAUUAAAUUUUUUUUUUUUUUUUUUUUAAUUUGGGAUUUUUUUUUAAUAUAUAUAUAUUUUUAAAAAAAUAAUUUUUUUUUUACAUGGAACUCGUCUCUUCAAGAGACGAGUUCCCUUUGGAAUUUUUUUUUUUUUUUUUUAAUUUGGGAUUUUUUAAAAUAAAAAAUAUAUUUUUAAAAAAAUAUAUUUUUUUUUACAUGGAACUCGUCUCUUGAAGAGACGAGUUCCCUUUGGAAUUGUGGUUUUUUUUUUUUUUUUUUUUUUAAUUGGGGAUUUUUUUUUUUUAAUAUAAAAGANNNNNNNNNNNNNNNNNNNNNNNNNNNNNNNNNNNNNNNNNNNNNNNNNNNNNNNNNNNNNNNNNNNNNNNNNNNNNNNNNNNNNNNNNNNNNNNNNNNNUUUUAAAAAAAAAAAAGAUAUUUUUAAAAAAUAUAUUUUUUUUAAAAAGGAACUUGUUUUUUGAAAAGACGGGUUCCCUUUGGAAAUGGGUUUUUUUUUUUUUUUUUUUUUUUAAUUUGGGAUUUUUUUUUUUUAAAAUAAAGAGACGAGUUCCCUUUGGAAUUUAUUUAUUUUUUUUUUAAAUUUGGGAUUUUUUAAAAUAAAAAAUAUAUUUUUUUUUACAUGGAACUCGUCUCUUCACUUUGGAAUUGUGUGUGUGUUUUUUUUUUUUUUUUUAAAUUUGGGAUUUUUUAAAAUAAAAAAUAUAUUUUUUUUUACAUGGAACUCGUCUCUUCAAGAGACGAGUUCCCUUUGGAAUUGUGUGUGUGUUUUUUUUUUUUUUUAAUUUGAGAUUUUUUUUUUAAUAUAUAUAUUUUUAAAAAAAUAUUUUUUUUUUUACAUGUAACUCGUCUCUUCAAGAGACGAGUUCCCUUUGGAUUUUUUUUUUUUUUAAUUUAGGAUUUUUUUAAAAAAAAUAUUCUUUUUUACCUGGAACUCGUCUCUUGAAGAGACGAGUUCCCUUUGGAAUUUUUUUUUUUUUUAAUUUGGGAUUUUUUAAAAUAAAAAAUAUAUUUUUUAAAAAAUAUUUUUUUUUUUACAUGGAACUCGUCUCUUCAAGAGACGAGUUACCUUUGGAAUUUUUUUUUUUUUUUAAAAAAAAAUUUGGGAUUUUUUAAAAUAAAAAAUAUAUUUUUUUUUACAUGGAACUCGUCUCUUCAAGAGACGAGUUCCCUUUUUGGAAAUUUUUUUUUUUUUUUUUAAAUUUGGGUUUUUUUAAAUUAAAAAAUAUAUUUUUAAAAAAAUAUAUAUUUUUUUUACAUGGAACUCGUCUCUUCAAGAGACGAGUUCCCUUGAAUAAUUGUUUAGAAUUUUUUUAAAAUUAUAUAUAUAUUUUUUUUCAUGUAACUCGUCUCUUCAAGAGACGAGUUUGCUUUUUUUUACACACCCUCUCUCCUCUCUCCUCUCUCCUCUCUCCUCUCUCCUCUUUCCUCUCUUCUUUCAUGGAACUCGUCUCUUCAAGAGACGAGUUUGCUUUUUUUUUUACAGUCACCUUCUCUCCUCUUUCCUCUCUUCUCUCACCCUCUCUCCUCUCUCCUCUCUCCUCUUUCCUCUCUCCUCUCUCCUAUGUGGCAAAAACUACCCUAUAUUUGUAAUAACUUCUGCCAGUACAGUAAUUUAAGCAUAACUUUUUUAAAUUGCUGUACUAUUGAGAAAAGUCCAAGGUAGGUAUAUGAUUGUAAUAAAGAGAUGAUUGAUCAUUUUGGACAAUUAAAACACGGAAUUAUUUUGAAUUGGAAAAUUGUGAUUUCUUCUAAGUUAAAAUCCAUACAUUCCCUCGUAGCAAAAACAACUUAAUGAUCUCUGUGGUAUAAAUAAAAUUUAUCUAAACGAGAGCGAACAAAAGUUGGCAUGAGAUAUUUUUCUUCAUAAAAAAGAAAAAUGCAUCAAAAUAAAUAUAUUACUUGUCAUGUCCAUGUCAAAUAGCGGAGAAAGUUUUUAGUCGUAUAAAUGUACGUUUUGAUUUGUUUAGGUAGGGCCGUUACAUUACUCAUAUGGCAUUUUCAGCAACUAUUCUAAAGAAAUUUUAGGAGAAAACUCUACUCAGUAAAUAGCAACUAUACAACUAUGACUGCUGUUAGAGUUCUCCAGAAAAGGACGCUGUCCAACGUAGUUGCCUGGAGGAUCAUAGUUGCAAGUGACAAACCACCCACCCGUGUUGCACUGAACCCUAGCGCACCCAAGGUGCAAUGAGUUGCGCCAAAUAACUUUAAUAUACUGCAGGCAUUCCCCACCAACGCAUGAGUUGGAGUUGUAGUCAUAAUAAGGCUUCUCCCCCACCCACAUGUUCACUGCAUCGGUGCCUGUCAAUGAAGGGGUGCCCCAGGCAAUGUUCUCACCGUAAGGCCCACUUGAAUGCACUAAAUUGCAAUCGCCAAUCCUCUGGUUAGCAUAGUUCUGGGCGUAGGCAGCUACAGUGUCAUUCCAUGUCAUAGAUUCAACACCAACUUCUGCACGCGCGGCAUUGUGAGCAUCGAGGAAGUCUUGUGGAGAGUUUUGGGCAUAGGAGAUGUGAGCAAGGACUAACCCCAUGAAACCAACAACUAGUGAAGAUGAGAUCUUACACAACCCCAUCUUUUAGUUUCUUAAUCUGUGUAUGCAAAGUGAGAGUUGAGAAAUGAGCAUAUAUGGUUUGAAGGGAAUGAGAAGAACUUGCAAUUUGGUCAGUCAAAAGCAUCAUUAAUAAAGCUUACAAGCAAUCUUUAGGCCACCAAAACUGGGCGCCCAUGGGCUGUUACGUGUGAAGGACGUUGAGAAAAGGAAAAUUCUACGAAGUGGGUACGUACCUCCAAAAUUCCUGGCCGUUGGAUCAAAAGAUUCCAAUCAAGACCAUCCAAAUGAAAAAUAGAUUAAAAUAAAAAAUGCAAAAGAAGGGUGCAAAAGGUUGCCAGUAGAUAUGCCCCCCUUUAUCUCCCCUCUCUCAAUUUUUGUCACACAUGUCAACAUCAAUUUCAAAAUUUUAAAUUAUUAAUUCUACAUUUGUUUUAUCUAUUUAUAACAAAUAUUAUCUUAGAAAGUAAAUUUCAAUCAAUUAUUAUAUUUAAGUAAAAGUUAUUACUAUAUUUUGAUCUAUCUUACAAUGUUUUUCAAUAUAAUAGGAAAGUGUAAAUACAACUAUCCAAUUACAAAUGCCCUCCAAAAUUUAUUUAAAAUCUAUAGAUUUUUUUUAUUUUUUUAUUUUACUUUAAAUAUUAAUAAAAUUGUUAAUUCGUAUAAUUUCACUUAGAAUUCAUAAAAAAAAAUAUGAGGAAAAAAUAAAAAAUAAAAAUAUUAAAAUUCUUACCCUCACUUAAUUUUAAGAAAUUUUUUUUUCAACUUCAAAUGCCAAUUAAAUUGUUUUUUCAUACUAAUUUCAAUUAGGAUUUUUGAUAAGUAGGAGGGUACGAAGAAGUGUUAUUCGUCAUUUUUAUCAAUUGUAAGUAUAAUUAAUAUUAAUAAGCACUAUUAGUACUAUUUGAAGUAGACAAAAAUUGGUUAAAAUUAAAACAAAUAGAAAAUUUGGAGGUACAAAGAAUAUGGGGAAAAGUAUAGAGAAUGUGAGGAAUAAUAGUGUUUAUUCCUCCCAUUUUUGUACCUCUCCAAUUUUGUAAUUUUUCUACUUUUAAAUUUUUAUUUUUUUAUUUUUUUUUUGUAGUAUUCAUACCCUCUCCAAUUUGGUAGUUUUUUACUUUUAAUUUUUUUUAUUUAUAAUUUCGAUCAAAUUUAAGUAUAAUUAGUAUGAAUAAAUGCUAAGAAAAAAAAAAUCUUAAAAUUAAAACAAGCGUAAAUUUGGAGGAUACGAAGAAUGUGGGAAAAUAAUAUUCACAUUCUUCACACCCUCCAAAAUUUUCAAUUUUCUAAUUUUAAGAAUUUUUUCCACUUGAAAUAACAAUUAUAUUGUGUAUACAUACUAAUUACAUUUAAUGAUGAUAAAAAUUAUGUGCAAACAAAUUUAAAACGAAAAAUACUAAAACAUUGGGAAGGGACGUAGAAUAUGAGACCCUUUAGAUUUUUCAUUUUUUUGAAUUUUAAGAAUUUUUUAAAAAUUUAUUUUAUUUUUUAUAAUAGUUAUAAUUGUCAUUUUUUAUAUUAUUAGAAUAUAAUUCAAAUUUUUAUUAUUCAUAGCCUAAAGUUAUAUAAAAGAAAAAAGGGAUAGUAAAUUAAUAAAUGUCAAAACUCGUAUAGGUAGAAACUAUAUAAUUAAAAUUUUAAACAUAUUUCAUCAUUAAUACUGAUAGAUUACAUUAUGAUAGGAUAACAUGAAGAUUUAUUAAAAUUUUAGUAUUUCUAAUGUUAUUAAACAUAUUUAACUUAUAGUUAUUUUUUUAAAUGAGAUUUUAUUAUUUAAAGUUGUUUAAAUUUUAAUAGUUAUAUAUUUUAUCAUUUUCAAAUUUAUUAAUUGUUUAUUUAUACUAUUUUGAUGUUUAUUAUCCUAUAAUAUUUGAUAAAUUAUAAAUCUUUAUAUUUAUUUUUAAGUUAUGAAAUUAUAUUACAUAUAUUUUAAAUACAUUUAUAUACACCUGUGGACCCCGCAUUUCGGCUCAUGCGUUUCCCACUCGAUGGCGAGCUCGAUUUUAAUUUGAAAAAUUGAUCUUUAUUGAUUAAGAAAAAUUGACUUGGAGUCGCCACUUAUUUUUAUUUUAUUUUUAAAGGGUAAACAAAAUAAGAAAGAAAAACCCUAAGUGUGACUCCUUGUUUUGGAAAAGGUGGUCUGUGAAAAACCGGAUCGGGUUCGGGGGUCAGGUUACUUAUCGGGAAGGUACGGUAGAGACCGUAGCACCCCUCUAAGUCCCUAAAUUCGGGUCUCUACUAAUAAAGUGAAACUGACGUGGCAAUCGAAUAAGAAAGUCAAUGGAUACUCACAUCAAUCAUGCAUAUAUGAGAAUCAGAAUAUGUAUACUGAAUGAUCAGAAUGAGUGAAUGCGUACCUGGGCAGCAAAUAGCAAACAGCAACGCGCUAUCAUGGAAUGAGGUUAGUGAAUAAACGCAAAAUGAUUAUAUGUAUAUCAAGGAACAAAGUAAAUCGAUCACACAUGGCAAAUGAAUCGAUCAAUCAGUCAAUCAAUCAUGGAAUCUCAUAUGUGGGACCCCCACCAAAGCCCAUUCUAUUUUGCACGAAUUAGUCCCACAAAUUCCAUUAUUCUGGAAUUAUGAAAAUAGCAUUCGUGCUUAUAUAAAAUCAAGAGAAACCGAAGAUUAUUUGAAACCCGAAGAGAAUUAAAACUGUUAGAGAGAAAAUUGGAUUUUUGAAAUUUAUUUGAAAAUUGGAGUAUUGGGAAUUAAAUUUAAGAGUUGGAAUUUUAGGAUGUCAAACUUGAAAGAAAUUAGAAUUUUAGAAAUCGAAAAUUAAGUUUGGAAAUUGGGAUUCAAAAAAAUGUUUAAAAAUGGAAUUUUGAAAUAAAUAAAUGGAAUAAUAAUAAUAAUAAGGACGAAAAUAAUGAUUAAAUAAAUGAAUGGGAAUGCUGGAAUUUUUGAAAUUGGAAAUUAGAUUUGAAGGUCGGAAUUGUUUAAAGAAUGAAUUUUUGAAAUAAAAUAAAUAGAAUAAUAAUAAUGACGAAAGUGAUGAUUAAAUGAAUGAACGGAAUUUUCGGAAUUUCUUCGUAUUGGAAAUUAGAUUCGGAAGUCGGAAAAUUGGAACUGCUUCAUGAUAGAAUUUUAAAAUAAGCAAAUAAAUAAAUGGAAUAAUAAUAAUAACGAAAAAAUAAUGAUUAAAUAAAUAAACCUGAAUUUUGGAAAUUUUGAAAUUGGAAAUUAAAUUCGGAAGUCGGAAAUUUUAAAGAAAUGUUUAAAAUAGAAUUUUAGAAUGAAUAAAUAAACUAUUAGUGAUAAAUUAAUGUGAAUGUGAGAAUUUUUCGAGAUUAGGAAUUUAAUUCGAAAAUCAAAAGUUUUAAAGAAUUGAUUUAAAAUGGAGUUUUAAAAUAAAUGAAUAAAAUACUAAUGAUUACAUAAAUUAAUGGGAGUACGAGAAUUUUCGGGAUUAAGAAUUUAAUUCGGAAAUUAGAAGUUUUAAAGAAUUGAUUUAAAAUGGAAUUUUGAAAUAAAUGAAUGAAAUAUUAGUGAUUAAAUAAAUUAAUGUGAAUAUAGGAAAUUUUGGGAUUAGGAAUUUAAUGCGGAAAUCAGAAGUUUGAAAAAAAUUUGUUUAAAGAUAGAAUUUUUAAAAUAAAUAAAUAAAUGGGAUAAUAAUAAUAAUGACGAAAAUAAUAAUUAAAUAAAUGAACGUGAAUAGUGGAAUUUUUUUAAAUCGAAGAUUAAAUUUGAAAGUUGGAAUUGUUUGACGGUGGAAUUUUAAAAUAAAUGAAUGAAUAAAUAGAAUAAGAAUAAUCGCAAAAAUAAUAAUUAUUAAAUAUGUAAAUACGGGAAGACCUAAAAAGAAUCUAAAGAUGAAAUAUUAGAGAGUUGAAUUACUUAAAAACUAGAUUUUAAAAAAAAAACAAUUUUUAAAAUUGGUGGGCUUUGGAAGUGGGCCAAGCAAGGUGGCCAUGCAAAGGUGGAGGAAAUAGGGUUGAUGGGUAUUUGGAAAAUGGGUAUGUGGUGGGCUUUGGAAGUGGGCCAAGAAAGGUGGCCAUGCAAAGGUGGGUUGAUGGGUAUUUGGAAAAUGGGUAUGUGGUGUAGAGAGAUAACCGGGUAGGGAGUAGAAAAUGAAUGAGUUAGUGAGAAAAUGAGGGCUUGGUGGUAGUGGGUAUGAAGAUGGGAGGAUGAAAGACGGGUUUAAUAGGUAUGCAUGGAGAUGACUUAGAGAGAGAAAAGGGUAUGAAGAUGGGUAUGGGGGGGAUGAGAAUGGUGGUGAGUAAAAAAAAAGAUGGGUAUGGAGAUGGUUGGCAUGAUGGAUGGAUAUGAGUUGUAGGGAAGAUGGGUAUGGGGGGUGAGUGUGUUUAUGCAUGCAUGAGGGUUGGUGGUAUGGAGAAAUGAGAAGAAUGAAAGCGGGUAGCGAGAGAAACGGGAAAUGGGUUUAUAUUCUUGUACAUGGGUGGCAUGGGUGAUGAGAUAUGAGUAUGAAGGUGAUAGGAAGAUGUAUGCACGAGAUUGGUGGUAUGGAUAUAAGGGAGAAAUGGGCAUGGCAUGGCCAUGCAAGAGUGGGGAGAAAUGGGUUUGGCUGGUAUUUGGGAAAUGUCAUGAAGGGUGCAUGGUGUGGUGAUGAGAGAGAAAAGGUGGUGAGAAAAAAAAUGAAGGCUUAGAGAGAGGAAUGGGUUUAAGGGGGGUGUAGUUAAAUGAGGAUAUGUAUGGGAUGAAAAAUGAAGUAUGGAUGAUGGGCUUGGGAGGCCCGUGGUGUAGAGAGAGAGAGUGUGUGGUGAUGGGUAUAUGAAGGUUUAGGUGGGCUAUAGUGAGGGUGAACACGUUAAUGAAUGGAUAUGGAAGACAUGGGAUGAGAUAAGUGGAAUGGGUAGUGGGAUGAUGACCUUGUGCAUGAAAGAGAGGUUGAAGGGAUGGGUGAGUGACUAUGCAUGUGCAAGGAUAGGCUGCGGGUUGGUGGAGUGAGUAGGGUGGUGCAUUUCAAUGACGGUGAGCAUGGGCACGGGUAUGAAGGGCAGUGUUGACUUGUAGGAUGAGGACUCCCUUUCUAACAGCUUCCUGCAGCUUUUCAGCUAUUCCGGUUGGAGCAGAGACACUAGGGAGUUUACUUGAUGACAUAACCCAAUAAAUUGCCUUACAACAUUCAGCAUACCCACAAACAACCAUGAGCCUUCAUUAACCAACACAAGUAACUUCUCCACCAAGAUUAAUUACACCAAUGCACUGAAAAGUUUGACAAUCUCGCAUCCUCAUAGUCUCAUCUUCACUUCCAGUAUAAGGCUUAUCCAACCCAGACGGCAAAGUAAUCCCAAAUACAAAACUUCUAUUCAACUCCAUGGCCAAUAUUUUGGACUAAUAAGCUAGAGCACAUAUAUAAUCACAGAAGCCCUCCAUUGAGUUCAUGUCUCUUCACAAACUCACUUCUUCAGUCUCGGCAAUUUGGCCAUUGGUCACCUCAGUCCCACCACCAACAAGAAACAGAGCAAUACAUAGAAAGGAGAAUCAACAGGAAACGAAACAUGAUCUUUAUAUAAUCGGGUUCAGGGAUGAAACUAUACAUCAGAUACUUAAUGAGGGAGUCGAGGAAACCAAGAUAAAGUCAAACAAAGCAUAUAUGCACACAAACAGAUUCAGGAAAACAGGCCAGUAAUCCUAGAUGCCCAAACCUAUCAAUGAAUCACACCCAGGAAUAUGCAGAAAGAUUUAGCAGAAUAGUGUGAUAACAGGAAAAAGUGAAAAUCAUAGGGACGUUACCUGGAAGUUUCUUCCUCGAGCAGAGUAUGCUUGUCCUCAAGCACUCUCUCUCCCUCCAAAAUAUCUCACCCGGCCAUCCCCAGCAUCACACUUCUCCCGCUCCAAAAAAUCAUUGUAUAGAAACCUCCGAAACGUUUUUUUUUCACCCCUCUCCGGCUCGCUCUCGUCUGAAUAUCUCCCACACGGACGUCCUCUGCCUCCAGAAAAGCCCCCCGUCUCCUCUGCAGAUCUCCCCUUCUUUUCUUCCUAUCUAGCCUCUUUUUUCUUUUUUUUUUUCUCUGUUCCUGUCUUCCUGCGCAAGCCAGCCAUCCUACUGCUACACAUCCCAUCUGCCGCCCCCCAGAGCAGCCCACUCGAGAGCCGUCAGAGAAAACCGCAAAAAAAUAAUCAUAAUCCCCCGAAAGCUCUGCUCUUCGGGUGGGGGGGUCUACAACACCCUUGUCUUUUUCCCAAUAAAGACCCAAUUAAAUCCUCAUUCCUCGUCCUUCCAUGCCUUUUAAGCAGGUUCGUCGAUUGACCCUAUUAGGUGAACCGAACUAGGUUAAGGUCCGGGAUUCGGGUUUGAUCCGAUUUUUAAAAUAUAGACUGAACAAAGAAUCAAUGUUUUAAAAACCGGACCGGUCAUUGAACCGAAAAAGUUACCGGUUCACGGUUCACUGGUCGGACCGCCGGUCGAACCGCUAUCGAACCGGUGACGUCAUAAAUAUAUAUUUUAUUAUUUUUUAUAAUAUAAAAAUUAAAAAAUUAAUAAAUUCUAUGUAAAUUUUGAUAGCAUCUACUUUGUUUAUUGAGUAACUUGAGUUUUGUCACAAAAUUUUUUACCUGUAGAAGUCAUCAAUUAUCAUAUAUGAUAUUUAUAACACAAUAUAAGAUAUUAUACAUUCAUAAUGUCAAUAAACUCAAUAUUUAUCAAAUAAUCAAACCAUUACUAUCCUAUAAUAACCAAAUUAUCAAAGAGUUGUUAACUUAACACAUUGUCCAUAACAAAUAAUACAAAUGUCAAUCAUAGGUCCACAACACUUAAAUAAUUACUCAAAAUAAAAACAUAACAUGUCAAUGUUUGAAUAUUCAUGAAGAUUUUUGCAUACUAAUAAAUAUAAAAUUCAUGUCUUCAUUUAUUUUGGAAAUUGGAAUAUGGAGAUUGAAAAUGAGCAUUUGGAAAACCAAAAAAAAAAUUAAAAUAAUUUGAACCGGUUUUUUCCCUCAGAACCGGCCGGUUCGUCCGGUUCACCGGUUGGACCGCCGGUUCAAACGGUCCAAUCCCGGUUCGGUCUCCAUCCGGUCUAAUGACCGGACCGAACCGGAACGAUGACCGGUUGGCGGUCCAACCGGUCGGACCGGCCGGUCCGGUCCGGUUUUUAAAACCAUGCAAAGAAUUGUCCUUAUCCUCUUUUCCCUUUUCGGCGAAGACUUGAGUCAUUUGCCAGAUUUAAGUCGUGAAGGUCUACAGAUUCAGUCUCCUAAGAAAUUGGGCAUGAAUCGCAGCCACCAUUCUUGACUUUUUGCUUUGUUUCGCAUGAAUGCGCAUGUACUAUCUAAUCAGACUGGGGACAACACAUUUACCACCAUUUUUGCCCGGGAGACUCGGUUUGUUGGGUCAACGGUGGAAUCCAAGUCUACUGAGAAAUAAUAUAAAUAUUAUAAAUAUAAUCUGAACAAAAUAAGUACAUGGUGAUUUUUUUAUAUUUAAAAUAAAAUAUUAUAUUACAAGCAUUAAAUAAGUUUUAUUUAUUGGAUCGUUAUUAUAAGUAAAUAUAUUUUUAUAUUAAUAAGUAAUUCUGGUAUUACUUAUAAGCAUAUUAGACCGUGUUAUCACACCAUCAUAAAAAAAUAAAAAUGAAAAAUUAGACAAAGAAAAUGAAGGAAAAAAGAAGAAGAUGAAAAAUAGAAAAUAAGGGUAAUGUCACGUUGAAUAAGGGGUGUUUGUUAAAAUUUAAUAGUUAUUAAAUAAUGAUUUAAGUUGAUUUUAAGUUAAAUUAUAUUUAAAUUAUUGACUUAAAACUUAUUAUUUAAUUAUUAUUUUAAGUAUUAAGACUGUUUCAUAAAAUUAACUUAAAAUUUAUUUUAAAUCAUCAAAUUUACUCUUAUAAAUUAUAAUGAGAGCAAAGAAGAUUGAGUAACAGUGGAGAUCAUUAAGGCAAUUAAGACAAAUAAAGGUAAAAAAAUUAAAUAAAUAUGUGAACUUAAAAAUAAGUUAAUUAUUUUUAUUUAUUACUUGAAGUGGUUUUUUUACUUAAAGUCAUACCAUUAAAUUAUUUUACCAAACAUACUUAAUGAUUUAAAUUAAGUUAUUAAGUUACUUUAAGUUAUUAAGUUGAUUUAUCAUAUACCCUUUAAGUUACCGUAUGUUUAACAUUAUAUAAAAUACAUUUUUAUUUUAUGUAUGAUAUCACAUGUAAAAACACUAUACAUGUAUCCUAAAAUAUAUUGUAAUAUUACCCCUUCAUACUAAUAUAUCUCAUAACAAAUGAGGUAAAUGUCAUAUAACUUUUGGUUAUAUUCAUUUUACAAUGUUUUUUAAUUUAACCAAAAACUCAAUAUCGAGUAAUUUUUUUUAAAGAUUUUGGAUUUAUUUGGCAAUUGUUUUAUAGAUCAGAAAUCUAUUUUUGAGAAUAAAAAAAUAAGAAAACAUAUUCGAUAAUUAAAAAUUAUUUUCUAUUUUCUAUUAUGGAGAAUAAAAACAAAAUGUUUUAAGAGAACAUCUUUUAGUUAUUUUCUUUUGUUUUCAUUUGUUUUCUAAGUGUUAUUUUUUAAAAAAAAAAAUUAACAACCAUAUAAAAUGAUUAAAAAUAAAGUAUUGGAUAUAAAAAUUAUUUUUAAAACAUAUUUAAAAAUAUUAAAAAUAGGUUAAAAACAUUUUAGGUUUCCAAAAAAAAUUUUAUUUUACAAAACAUCUUAAAAUAGCUUUUAAAACCUGUUUUUUGGAACUAUUUUAAAAAACAAUUAUCAUACAAAACUUUUAUUUUUUAAAAUAGUUUUUCUUUAACCAAAAUUUUUUUAAGGAGAGAAACUGAGGAAGAAAGGUAUGUGAUUCUAACAAAGAGAUGAUUGAUCAUUUUGGACAAUUAAAACACGGAAUUAUUCUGAAUUGGAAAAUUGUGAUUUCUUCUAAGUUAAAACCCAUACAUUCCCUCUCAGCAAAAACAACUGAAUGAUCAAAAACCAAUGUUAAAUCAACAUAAAUAUGAACACUUCUGUGGUAUAAAUAAAAUUUAUCUAAACUAGUAUGAAUAAAAGUUGGCAUGAGAUAUUUUUCUUCAUAAAAAAGAAAGAAAAAAGAAAAGUGCAUAAAAAUAAAUAUAUUACUUGUGAUGUCCACGAAUAGGGGAGAAAGUUUUUAACUAUGUAAACGUAUUACUCUCCUCAGUAAAUAGCAACUAUACAACUAUGACCGUUGUUAGAGUUCUCCGUAAAAGGACGCUGUCCAACGUAGUUGCCUGGAGGAUCAUAGUUGCAAGUGACAAACCACCCGCCACUGUUGCACUGAGCCCUAGCGCACCCAAGACACAAUGAGUUGCGCCAAAUAACUUGAGUAUAGUGCCCGCAUUCCCCACCAACGCAGGAGUUGGAGUUGUAGUCAUAAUUGUUCAAAUUGAUAAAUGAUAGUUUUUUCAUUCAUAUUUUCAUUCAUUCAUGUACAGAGUAUAUAUAGAGGGUAUCACCAUUCUAAGAAUGGGGAAGAAUUAUACAAGGAAAGAAUGACAUAAGGAAAUAACAAUUAAUAUCUUAAUAUCUCAACUUUCCUAAUAUCUCAAUAUUCAUAAUAUCUCAACUUUCCUAAUAUCUAAACAUUCCUAAUAUCUCAACACUAAAUGAUAUAAGGAAAGCAUUACUAAUAUCUCAACACUCCCCCUCAAGUUGGUGCAUAGAUGUCACACAUGCCCAACUUGUCUAAAAAUUUUGAGAACACUUGACUUGAGACAACUUUGGUAAGGAUAUCGAUCAAUUGAUCUUCUGAUUGAAUCUUAGGCAAUUCCACAAUCUUAUCAUCCAACUUUUCCUUAAUGAAGAAUCUAUCCACCUCGACAUGCUUUGUACGAUCAUGUUGUAUUGGAUUAUGAGCAAUGUCACACGCGGCUUUAUUGUCACAAAACAAUCGGAUUGGUUGCCUAGAUAGGUAACCUAAAUCCUGUAAGAGGAGUCUUAGUCAUAAUGCCUCACAAAGUCCUAGAGUCAUACCUCUAAAUUCCGUUUCUACACUUGAACGAGCGACGACAUUUUGCUUCUUACUUUUCCAUGUUACAAGAUUACCACCUACAAAGGUAAAGUAACCAGAUGUAGAUCGCCUAUCAUCCACUGCACCGGCCCAAUCAGCAUCAAUAUAUACUUCUAUACUUUGAUGAUCAACAUUUUUAGCGAACAAAAUUCCCUUCCCAGGAGCAUUCUUCAAAUACCUCAAAAUACGCAUGAUUGCAUUCAUAUGUUGCUCUCCAGGAUUAUGCAUGUAUUGACUCACUACACUCAAUGCAUAAGUAAGAUCUGGUCUUGUAUGAGCUAAGUACAUUAAUCUCCCCACAAGUCUCUGGUAUCUUCCCAUAUCAGUUGAUACUUGAUUAGGCUCAACACACAAUUUCAAACCUUCUUCUAUUGGUGUAUUAACAGGUUGACAUCCCGACAUUCCAGUCUCCUGUAAAAGAUCUAAGGUAUACUUUCUUUGAGACAGAAAAAUUCCUUCACUUGAUCAAGAAACUUCAAUCCCAAGAAAGUAUUUUAGAGGACCUAGAUCUUUCAUUUCGAAUUCUCUAAAUAGAUAAUUUUGCAGAGCUUUUCUUUCUUCAGGAUCAUUUCCUGUAACUACCAUGUCAUCCACAUAUACGAUGAGUGUCGUAAUCUUACCAUGUUGCUUUUUCAGAAACAAAGUGUGAUCUGAAUUUGCUUUGACGAUAGCCAAAAGCUCUCAUUGACUUUGUGAACCUUCCAAACCAUGCUCUCGGGGAUUGCUUCAACCCAUACAAUGACUUCUUCAAUUUGCACACCUUCUGACAUUGCUUUUCUAACACCAUGCAUCCUGGUGGAAGAUCCAUAUAUACUUCUUCAGAUAACUCACCAUGCAGAAAGGCAUUUUUCACAUCAAAUUUUUGUAAUGGCCAAUCUAGGUUUGCAGCUAAAGACAGUAAUACUCGAACUGUGUUGAUCUUAGCUACAGGUGCAAAUGUCUCUGUGUAGUCAAUUCCAUAAGUUUGAGUGUACCCUUUUGCUACCAGUCUUGCUUUAAAUCGUUCAAUACUACCAUCUGCCUUGUACUUCACAGUAUAGAUCCAACGACACCCAACUGGCUUCUUUCCUGGUGGACAUUCUACGAGUUCCCAUGUUUCAUUCUUCUACAAUGAUUUCAUCUCUUCAUUCAUAGCUGUUUUCCACCUUGGAUCAGCUAAGGCUUCUUGCACACUAUUAGGAAUAGCUACAGUAGAUAAUUGAUUUACAAAUGACUUGUUUGAUUCAGACAAACGAUGGUUAGACACAUAGUUGCUUAUGGGAUAUUUGACUUUGGUAGACAAUUCAGGUUCAUAUAUGGGUUUAGGAAUACCUCUAUUAUGACGGUGUGGUAACCGUUUCAUGAAUGAAUCGGGUUCCAAAUUAAGAACACCCUCAACAGACGACGAUUGGUUUGGUAUUUCAGUGAAGACAUUUUCGGACCCAAAUUGUUGACCACUCAUAUCCAACUCACCCACUUCCUGGUUCACUAGUUCAGAUUGUCCAUAUUCAUCUUCCUCAAAUAUAUGAUAAUCAUAAUCGAGAGUCUGAAUUUCCUUAUGGUACUCCCCCUGAAGUUCAGACUCAGAUGAAAAAUACAUCGAAUCUUCAUGAAACACCACAUCCAUUGUAAUAUACAUUUGUCGAGUUGGAGGAUGGUAACAUCGAUAUCCCUUUUUGUGCAAUGCAUAUCCAACAAACACACAUUGUAAUGCAUGAGAAGUUAACUUGGUGCGUUGGUGCUUGUGUAGAUGCACAAAUGCCACGCAACCAAAAACACGAGGAGGUAGAUUUGGGACAGUUGGGGCAACUACGACAUUAGUAAGAGCUUGGAGUGGUGUUUGAAAGUUAAUUGAGCUAGAAGGUACCCGAUUGAUCAAGUAUGCAGCAGAUGUGAUUGCUUCUCCCCAAUAAGAUAUCGGUGUUUUUGCUGCUAUCAAGGAAGCACGAACAACCUCUAACAAGUGCCGAUUUUUUCGUUCAGCGACUCCAUUUUGCUGGGGUGUAUUGGAACAAGUAGUUUGAUGAAUGAUGUCAUGUCAUUCCAAAUACUUUUGAAGAUCAGAACUUUGAUAUUCUCCACCAUUAUCACUACGCAAAACCUGAACCUUUGCAUUGUACUGAGUUUCAAUCACUUUAUGAAAUUUUUGAAACAAUAAGUUCACUUCAUCUUUGGUCUUCAUCAAGCAUAACCAUGUCAUUCUAGUACAAUCAUCAAUAAAAGUAACAAACCAACGUGAGCCACUCAAAGUUGGGACUUUGGAUUGGCCCCAAACAUUAGAAUGUAUAACCAUAAAAGGAAACGAACUUUUAUUUAAAAUUAACGAAACGAAGCACAAUGACUUUUAACCAAUUCACAAAUAUCACAACGGAAACCAGAAAUAUCACUCUUUGCAAACAAACUAGGAAACAAUUUUUUUAAAUAACCAAAGGAAGCAUGUCCCAAACGUCGAUGCCAUAACCAAAUUUCAGAUUUUUUCUUCUCUCCCUCAAAUUCAUCUGCCAUCAAGGCUUGUUGCAACUUAUUUGAAUCCUUUGACUGCAAGUCUAAGUAAUAGAGUUUUCCCCGCUUAAUACCACAACCAAUCGUUUGUCUUGUUUGGAUGUCCUUAAUCACACAAAAUUCAAGCCAAAAAAUGACAAUACAAGAUAAGGUUGCAGUGAUUUGAGAAACUGACAAAAGAUUGUAAUCUAAAGAUGGAACAACUAAAACAGAAUUCAAAUUCAAAGUAUCAGUAAGAGUUAAUGAUCCUUCCCCAAUGACUGGGGUUAUGUUACCAUUGGCUGUGGAAACAAUUUUUUGUAAGGAAGGUCUAAGGGUUGAAAUGUCUAGAAUCAAAAGUCAUAUGAUCUGUAGCACCAAAAUCAAUUAUCCAUGCACUAUUAAUAACAGGUGUAAAAGUAUUUAAAAACUUACCACCAUGAUCUGUAGCGGCUACCAAUGUAGAGGCUUUCUCAGCAACAUUAACCUCUGUUUUUAUUUCGGCAAUAGUUGCAGUCGAGGUUUUCUUGGAAUCCUUCUUCCGUUGAUCACAAUUAUUAUCAUUAAUAACAAAGUGUUGAUAACCUAAACAUGAUUUAAAGGUCCAUGGUUCAAACCCUCGGUUCCUUAUUUUUUUCUUGAUUAUACCAAGAGUCGUUGCUUUGAAAUUGUGGGAUAUCCAGAUUGGUGGGAUCAGUCUUAUUGCAGUGAGUGCCUUUGAAGGUUGACUUAUCAAUAUUAGGGCUUGUCUUAGGAUGGUUGAUCGCUGUCGGACUACCAUAGUGACAAAAUAUCCAGGAUUUCAGUUUCAUGGCUCUGAUACCAUGUUCAAAUUGAUAAAUGAUAGUUUUUUCAUUCAUAUUUUCAUUCAUUCAUGUACAGAGUAUAUAUAGAGGGUAUCGCCAUUCUAAGAAUGGGAAAGAAUUAUACAAGGAAAGAAUGACAUAAGGAAAUAACAAUUAAUAUCCUAAUAUCUCAACUUUCCUAAUAUCUCAAUAUUCCUAAUAUAUCAAUAUUCAUAAUAUCUCAACUUUCCUAAUAUCUAAACAUUCCUAAUAUCUCAGCACUAAAUGAUAUAAGGAAAUAAUGAUAUAAGGAAAGCAUUCCUAAUAUCUCAACAAUAAUUAGUCUUCUCCCUCACCCACAAGUUCACUGCAUCGAUGCUUGUCGAUGAAGGGGAGCCCUAGGCAAGGUUCUCACCGUAAGGCCCACCUGAAUGCACUAGAUUGCAAUCGCCAAUCCUC
rnacentral:lncRNA from 1 species